rnacentral:lncRNA from 1 species
AUUUCUAAAUAAAGGUGAUUGCUUCAUUGACAAGUACAUAUUUAUAUUCUCUAUUAGUAUUUGGGUUGUAAACUUUGUUUAUAAAGUGAAUAUAUUGUGGUAAGCGAUGUGGGCAAUAUCGGAUGCAAAAUAUUGAGAGAUCAUUAACGCAUAUAUUUAUUGAAGACGCAUAUAGAGGAAAGAGUGUAGAUCCGGCCGUAACAAUUAUGAAGCUUUCCCCAAGUAUUCUCACGCUUCCUUAACUGUUGCAAAGUAUUUUUCAUAGUGUGCAGAUUUACUUUAUGGUGUCUUAAUUCGUCUAAAAUGAUUACUUUAGUUCUUUUGGGAUGAAAGGUCAUUUAUUGUGUUAGUAUUAAACAAUAGAAAAAAUAAGUAAUGGUAACGAAAGACUAAUUUGUGAUAUUGAAGCAUACAUGCUUAACUCAAUCCAAAACUUAGUAAGUUAGCUCAAGAGUUAAGAGUUGUCCAAAUCUUAUAUGCUGAACCCAAGUUCAAUACUCAAUUGAUGCAGGAUGUUAUUCCUAACACCGCCCCUCAUGCGUAGGAUUGGCAAAAAAACUCGAGUCAGUCCCGCCUAGACCUGCAAGCUUUAUUUAUGGCCAGCAUGAUGAAGUUACAGAUAUUAACCUAAAAAUUUGAAACUUACUAUGAAUGGCCUUGGUUAAAGACUUUUGUAACUUUAAUUUAUAACAAGUAUGUAUACACACACACACACAUGUUUAGAUUGCAUUUGGAUGACUUUUUUAUCAAUGCAAACAAUAUCAAAUUUAUCGGAUUAAUUUGAAUCUGAUCUAUAUCCGAUUUUGCCCGCCAUANNNNNNNNNNNNNNNNNNNNNNNNNNNNNNNNNNNNNNNNNNNNNNNNNNNNNNNNNNNNNNNNNNNNNNNNNNNNNNNNNNNNNNNNNNNNNNNNNNNNNNNNNNNNNNNNNNNNNNNNNNNNNNNNNNNNNNNNNNNNNNNNNNNNNNNNNNNNNNNNNNNNNNNNNNNNNNNNNNNNNNNNNNNNNNNNNNNNNNNNNNNNNNNNNNNNNNNNNNNNNNNNNNNNNNNNNNNNNNNNNNNNNNNNNNNNNNNNNNNNNNNNNNNNNNNNNNNNNNNNNNNNNNNNNNNNNNNNNNNNNNNNNNNNNNNNNNNNNNNNNNNNNNNNNNNNNNNNNNNNNNNNNNNNNNNNNNNNNNNNNNNNNNNNNNNNNNNNNNNNNNNNNNNNNNNNNNNNNNNNNNNNNNNNNNNNNNNNNNNNNNNNNNNNNNNNNNNNNNNNNNNNNNNNNNNNNNNNNNNNNNNNNNNNNNNNNNNNNNNNNNNNNNNNNNNNNNNNNNNNNNNNNNNNNNNNNNNNNNNNNNNNNNNNNNNNNNNNNNNNNNNNNNNNNNNNNNNNNNNNNNNNNNNNNNNNNNNNNNNNNNNNNNNNNNNNNNNNNNNNNNNNNNNNNNNNNNNNNNNNNNNNNNNNNNNNNNNNNNNNNNNNNNNNNNNNNNNNNNNNNNNNNNNNNNNNNNNNNNNNNNNNNNNNNNNNNNNNNNNNNNNNNNNNNNNNNNNNNNNNNNNNNNNNNNNNNNNNNNNNNNNNNNNNNNNNNNNNNNNNNNNNNNNNNNNNNNNNNNNNNNNNNNNNNNNNNNNNNNNNNNNNNNNNNNNNNNNNNNNNNNNNNNNNNNNNNNNNNNNNNNNNNNNNNNNNNNNNNNNNNNNNNNNNNNNNNNNNNNNNNNNNNNNNNNNNNNNNNNNNNNNNNNNNNNNNNNNNNNNNNNNNNNNNNNNNNNNNNNNNNNNNNNNNNNNNNNNNNNNNNNNNNNNNNNNNNNNNNNNNNNNNNNNNNNNNNNNNNNNNNNNNNNNNNNNNNNNNNNNNNNNNNNNNNNNNNNNNNNNNNNNNNNNNNNNNNNNNNNNNNNNNNNNNNNNNNNNNNNNNNNNNNNNNNNNNNNNNNNNNNNNNNNNNNNNNNNNNNNNNNNNNNNNNNNNNNNNNNNNNNNNNNNNNNNNNNNNNNNNNNNNNNNNNNNNNNNNNNNNNNNNNNNNNNNNNNNNNNNNNNNNNNNNNNNNNUACCUCUUUUAACGACAAGAUUCGUAGUAGAUGAUAAAAAGAAAAUUAACUUCAAAUUUUUUCAUUAAAUGUAAAUCUGAUUGAAGUAGUUUAAAUUUUUCUAGUAGACUAAUAUAUAUAACUUAAAUAAUUAAUUUCAUUAUUAAUUUUUAAAAUGUUAACUAAUAUAUUUUUAAUUUAUUAUAAAAAUUUUAAAUAAAUCCUUGGAUUAAAUAGAUUUUACAAUUAAUGUAAUACUUCUGAUUUAUUAAUAAUAUUAAAAUUAUUUUAUAUGAUAUUCAAAAUAAUUUAAACUUAUAUAUAUAUUAAUAUUAUGUCUAUUUAUUAUAAUAUGGUUUAAUAUUAUACGGGAUUGUAAAAUAUUAAAAUAUUUUUCAAUAUCCAAUUAUUUUAAUAUGUAUAUAUCAUUACAUUUAUUUUAGUAUCGUAUUUAUAUUUAUUAUAAAAUAUAAAAUUAAUAAAAUUAAAGAGUAUUGCAGUAAAGUAAAAAAAAAAAGUCUUAUUAUCUCUUAUUCACAAUAUGAGAUUCUACAAAAUUAUUUCCCGAAACGGGUGUCCUUUUCUUAUUUUCAAAAGAAAAAAUAAAGUAAGAAUAAGUCCAUGGGUUUCAAAAACUUCUAGUCUUAUCCCGGGACUACAUUGUCUGCCACUAUAACUAAUGGAAAUGACAAUACAAUUGACAUUGCCUUUCGCAACAUGACAAAUUUUUGGUGGGAUAUGGAAGAAUUGUCAAAAGUUCACGCCAUGUAAGAGUUUUUGGUGGGAUGUGGGAGGAUUGUCAAAAUAUCACACCACGUGAUAUAACCACAAUUGCUAUGGUUUUUAUUUUUUAAAUAAUGAUGGGAGUUAUAAAUUAUUUAUAUAAAUUUGCGUAGAAACUAAUGUAACAUAAAAGAAGUAGCUGAAUAAUAAUAUUUGGUGCUUUAGGUAAUUUUUAUAUGAGCCUUUCUUUUAUUUAGCGGCUCUAGUGCUUAAACAAACUUGUUCUCGAUCUUAAUUUACUGACCCCAUUUAAGCCUAUGAUGACAUAAUUAAACAUAUUCUUUUGUGACGAAAACAUCAAGAGAAGACAUCUCAUGUUUUAUUAUAACAGAAAAGAAGUGAUCCAAACGUCUAUUCGUUAUUUUAUUUAUUCAAUAUAAAUGGUCAACUUUAAAAAAAUGAUAAAAAUCACACAACGCUCAAGUAAAAAUUUAGAAUUACAUUUUUUAAAACUCUCUGAGUCUCUCUCUCCUGCCCCCCCCCCCCCCUCUUUUUUUUAAAAUAAACCUUAGUGUAAAAUUAGAAGAAUUUUAGAUAUAAAAUUUGGCAAUCGCUAAACAGAAAAGUAGCGGAUUGAAAAUAAAAAAGCUCUAUUAUCAUAGGAAUAUUGAUUAUACAUAAUAUAAUAACUUGUUGUGGUUCAUUGUAGCACUCUGAGCCAUACUUUAAAAUUUACUGGUUUGUUAAUGCUUUUAUUAUUGACAUUAUUGUGUCAAUAUUACUAUAAUUUAUUCAUUUUAUUGUAAUGAUAAUUUGUGUAGUCUUAGGUACUUAUUAUAUUAAAUUAUGUAAAUUAAUUGAGAAUACUUUUAGAGACAAAAGAAACACGUGUAUGUAGGAUUAAUAAUCGAAGAAUUGUAAAUGAAGGUGAUUGCUUCAUUGAGAGGCAUAUUGAAUAAUUAUGGAGGUUGCACUAUUUCGGAAGCACAUAUUUAUACUUCCCUAUCAGGAUUUGGGGUAAACGAAGUGCUUUAUCUAUUGCAGUAAGCAAUGUGGGCAAUAUCAGAGGCGAAAUAUUAAAAGAUUAUAACGCAUAUAUUUGAGCCAUUUAUAUUGAAGACACAUAUAGAGGAAAGAGUGCAGAUCAGGCUUUCCUCAAGUAUUCUCAUGCUUCCGCAACUGUUCUGAACUAUUCUUCAUUGUGGGCAGAUUUACUUAAUUACCAACACUAUGAUUCAAUACUUCAAAGGUUGAGGAAAUGUCAAAAUAUGAAAUGAAAAUACUUAAAUACCCUUCUACCUAACAAAACUUGGUACUUCUAACUGCACUCGCAGAGAAUAUAUAAAAUUAAAAAAAUAUAUAUUCAUCCAUGAAAAGCUUCGUAACAGAAAAACCAUCUUUAAAAAAAAUAAAAAUAAAAUUAAAAAAAAAAAACAGAAAAACCGACUCAUUUAUCUGCCAAUGAACCAAUUGGGACUCAUUUAAAAAAGAAUACAAAGCAAAAGUGAAUGACACAAAUUGCAUAGAUAUCUAGGUAUAAUUUGUCCAAGUAAUAAAUUCUCCUAGGUCAAAAGCAAUUAACGAUGAAAACUUUCUUCAUUAAGGUUCUGGCCUACGUAAAAAAACAGAAAAAACCACCCCAAGGUCAAAGCACAACGAUAAGUUUAGAACUGCAGUUUUUAAUUUUUUUUAAUAAAUCAAUGUGUAUCAAAAAUAGAUAAUAAUUUUGGAUAACUUUUUUUGAUAAAUAUAGACAUAAAAUUUUAAAAUCACCAAACAGAAAAACAGGGGAAUUAAAAGAGAGCCCUUGUUUCUCCUCUGUUUUGUUUGUUAUCAAACAGUGAAAUGAAAAGAUCGCAAGCGGAAAUUUUGUUUCUGCGUUGUAUCUUCUCAAUGCUGCAUGCAUUCAAAUUAAACCUUAUAUAUGCUAGCAAACUAGCUACUCUGCAUGUAAGUUCUCGAUAAGUCCAAAUAAUAGAAUAAUUGUAAAAUGUUAAAAUUCAGUAAUUAAUUAUACAUAUUUAUUUAUUCAAAAAUUAUUAUUAUUAAUUAUUGUCAAUAUAUAUUAAUAUUCUGAUUAAUUGUAAAAAAUUUAUCAUUCAUAACAAUAAUAAUGAUGAUGAUGAUAAUAAUAAUAAUAAUUCAAAAUAUAUUAAUUAAUUAUAAUAAUAUAUUAAUUAUUUAAUAAUAGUAAUAAAUGUAAAAUGUAUAAAUUGAUUAGAAUAGUUAUAUUAAUAAAUUAUAAACAUAUAUUAAUUAAUCAUAAUAAUUUUUUAAUUGAGGACAAAAUAGACAUUUUAUAGUUUGUGAGAGGGGGUAAAAUGGUCAAUCUUGGGAACGGGGGAUUGAUUCCCACCACCUUCCUUGGGAAUCAAUCUUCCAUUCCUCAUUCCUAAAUUUGGGUGGCCCCAUAAUUCUGAUUUGGAUCCCUGCCUCCAUCAUUAAUGAUUUCGAUUUCGGAUUCCGAUUCCCCAAUCCAAGAAGUAAAGGCACCAUUAUUGUUAAUUGGUUCAAACACACAAAGAGAAUGUACCAUGUAGCUAGGCGUCAAGGUUGUGUUGCACAAGUAACCUUUUUCUUUUCUUUUUAUUUUUCUUGUUUUCCUUAACGGAUCAGAAGAAAUUGGUGCCUUUGAGAUACCACAAUGUAAAUAAGUACUUGUGGUUCAUUGAAUCGGUAACACUCGGUACCCUAAGGUUGCUUUGGAAAAAAGGCUUUUCUCACUGAUCGCCAAUAUCCAAGUAAGUUUGUUUCAUUUCAGAAGGUGCAAAGUUUCAAACUUGUUGUAUUGGGAUGUAACAAACUUUGGCCUCAUAUGCCUGCUGUGACGUUAGACUGUUCAUUUUGAUUGUUUCCUACCUUCCACUUACGCCAUUGUAGCACUGUAUUAUUCACCAUUUUAACUGUUUAAAUGAAAUUUUAUUUUUGUCAAAAAUAAAAUGACACCAUUAAAAUUUAGAAAAAUAAUAAUGUAGAUCCCAAAUUUUUAAAAAAGAAUACCAAUAUUCCCCUUGACUACAAUACCCUUAGUAGGUGGUAAUAAAAAAAAAUUGGCUUAAAAUUUUUACGAAAUGUAAAUAUGAUUUAAAUAAUUUAAAUUUUCCAGUAGACUAAUAUAUAUAAUUUAAAUAUUAAUUUUUAAAAUUUAAAUUAAUUUAUUUGUAUUUAUAAAAUAGUUGUAAUUAUUUUAAAAUUUAACUAAAUCCUUAGGUUAAAUAGAUUUUACAAUUAAUAUAAUAUUUCUCAUGUAUUAAUAAUAUUAAAAUUAUUUUAUAUGAUAUUGAAAAUAACCUAAAUUUUUAUAUAUUUAUUUGAAUAUUAUGCUCUAUUUAUUAUAAUUUGGUUUAAUAGAAUACGAGAUUGUAAAAUAUUAAAAUUUUAAAUAUUGAAAUUAUUUUAAUAUGUAUAUAUUAUUAUAUUUAUUUUAAUAUCCUAUUUAUAUUUAUCAUAAAUUAUUAGAGUUAAUUUUUUUAGUUAAUAAAUUUAAAAAAUAUUAUAAUUUUAAAAAAAAAGUCUUGUUGUCCGUUAUUCACGAUAUGAGGUUCUACAAAAUUAUUUCUCCAGGCGGGUGUCCUUUUUUUAUUUUCAAAAGGAAAAACAAGUUCAGGGCCUCAGGGGUUUCAAAAAAUUCUGGUCCUAUCUACCACUAUGACUAAUGGGAAAUGACAUUGCAAUUGACAUUGCUUUCCGCAAUAUGACAAAUUAUUGGAGGGAUAUGGGAGAAUUGUCAAACGUUCACACACGCGAGAGCUUUAGGUGGGAUAGGGGAGGAUUGUCAAGAGUUCACACCACGAGAAACUAAUGAUAGGCCUAAUUUCGUUGUCAGUUCUUUAUUUAUUUAUUUUAUUUAUUUCAUACAUUAUUGUUUUUAUAAAGGUAUAAAAGUAAAGUAAAAUACCAGGGGUGCUGUUAAGUUACAACUUAUGUAACUUGCAAUUUUUUCAAAAAUAAUGUAAAAAAUUUAAUAGGUGGUGGGACCCACAUAUUUUUUAAGAGACUUAAGUUACAACAGUUGUAACUUAACAAAAUCUAAAUAUUAGACAAUAAUGCAUAUAAUUUGGGUUUGAUUUUUAAAAGAUUAUUUGAGUACCACCUAUCCUUAUGAUAUUAAUCUGAUUAUAUCUUAAUAUUAAAUAAUCAAAAUUUGUUUAAUUAUUAUUUGUAUUUCAUACAUUACAUAUUAGAUUUGUUUGAAUUUUAAGUUGUUGCUAAUAAAUAUUUAUGUUGUCAAAGUCAAAGUCAAUAGCUACAAAAGCAGAGAUAAUGGUAUUGUAUAUAGUUUUUAAGAAUGCAAGGAUAAGCUGGAUAAUUGACUUAAAUUCUAAUGAUUAAAAGAGCAACUAUCCCUUAAGUUAUAAUGUCAAUUUCUUUAAUUAGAAAUUUUUUUUUUCAUGUGAUAUAACCUCAAUUGCUACAAUUUUUUUUAUAAUAAUAAUGGGAGUUAUAAAUUAUUUAUAUAAAAUUUGGGUUGAAACUAAUGUAACCUAAAAGUGGUUGCUAAAUAACAAUAUUUGAAACUUUAAGUAAUUUUCAUGAGUCCUUUUUAUAUUCAGCAACUUGAAUUGGGGGAAAUCCGACUUGAAUUGGCGGUUGAUUUUGGUGAUGUGGCUUUUGGUUUACGCCGGCUUUACAGUGGCGGAAGACUGGAUUUACGGUUGCCGAAUGCUAGGGAUUAUGGUGGUGGUGUAAAUUGACGGAAAAAGAAGGUGUUUUGGUGGCGGCGCAUCUAGGAAGCACUCGUGGGUUGUCGUUUCGUGUGCUGACAACGGGCGGCGAUCAAGGGCUGAAGUUGGUUGGUUUUUGGUCAACGGAGGCCGGCGAGUUUGUUGGUGGAGGUGGUUGGUGGAGAAAGUGGCUGAAUGGUGGUGGGUUGCUUGGUGGAGCCGUGGGUUUGGGUUGGUGAUUUGCGGCUGUUGAGGCAGCGAUGACUGAGGCUUGGUCAACUGUGGCUAGUGAGGUUUGUGGUGGUGUUGGCUGGCUGAUCGGCGGUGGUGGGCGGCGGUGGAGGUUGAUGUGACGGGUUGGGUUUUCAAAUUUGUAAAUUUUGUUUUUUGAUGGAUUUGGUUUGGAUAGGUAUGGUGUAUCUAGGAAAGAUGUGCGAUUCGCACAUAAUCAUCUUGAUACCAAUUGAUGGAGCGAGGCGUAGCGGAAGCAGAAUUGAUAGGGUAAGAAACAUUAGAUAUUGUUCUAGUACUAGACCAAGCCAACGCGAUUAGUUCACGCUCUAAUCGAAGCAUGAUUAGAUAUCGUUAUAAUCCAAAUGACUCAAUGAGAUUUUUAAUAAUGCGUAAUACGAGAUUAGAUGACACUCUAAUCCAAACGACUCUACAAGAGAGAUUUUGAUAAAUAAUCCUAGAGAAAAUUAUAAAAGAGGGGUUUUAUUUAAUAAUUGAACUUGAAGUUAUGAAAAUAAUGACAAGACAUCUUUAUUUUUUUUAUUACAAAUAUCUUUAUUUAUAAUAGAAGAAACCCGCUUUCCUAAGUUAACCUAAAAAGAAAAUUUAAAUCAUAAUUAUAAUGGAAAUAAAAGAUUAAAAUACAUACCAUAAUUAACUCAAACUAAAAUAGAAAAUCAUAAAAUAAUAAAUAUUCUAGAAUUAUAAAUUAUCUAAAAUAACGUUAAUUAACUUCUUAAAUCACUUCUUUGGUGUUAACCAUUUUGCAUCCAACCUCGCUUUAAAGGUUUGAACCAACGUUACCAACAAUAAUGUAUCAAAUUCCAAUCUAACUUAAGAUCCUGAUACAUCUACCGAUGUCCUUGUUUGAUUAGACAAUAAUGAGUCUAUCUCAUCACUUGUUACCUCUUUCUUGAAGGCUGCAUCUGUUGAAGUGAUAGUCUCGUUUAGAGUUUAAAGAUCUUCUUCCAUGUUAAAUAAAAUGGGCAUUUGAUUAAAAAACUUUAUCUCUAUCUCCUUCUAUCAAAUAACGACAACUAUCCGAAGGGAAAAAAAAUUAGAAAAGUCCAUGGGUCACAAUAAUUUAUGGUCUGUUCCCGGACCCCAUUAUCUGCCACUAUCAAUGAUGAAAAUGAAAAUAAAUGGCAUCUUCCCAAAAUGGCAAAAGAUUUUUGGGGGAUAUGGGGGAAUUGUCAAAAGUUCACACAACGCGAAACAAGUGUUACAUCCAAUUUUAUUUCGUCAUAUAAUGAUAAUAUCAAAUAAUGACAACCAUCCAAAAGUAUGAUGGGUCUUCCACAAUUUUGAAAAUGUCGUCAACAUUUAAUCUUCAAUGCUAAAGAAGAUGAAAUGACCAAAAAUGACACGCAGGACCAACUUACAGACUAAAUGGCUCUGACCACAUGUAACAAACUUUGGCUUUAUGUCCUUGCUGAGGCGUUAGACUGUUGGUCAUUUUGAUUGCUUUUUACCUUCCAUUUACGCCAUUGUAGCAUUGUACUAUUCACCAUUUUAGCUGUUUAAAUGAAAUUGUUAUUUUUUUUUCCAAAAAUAAAAUGACACCCUUAAAAUUUUAGAAAAUAGCCAUGUAGAUCCCAAAUUUUUAAUAAAGAACACUAAUAUCAUUUUUGACUAUAGUACUCUUAGUAGAUGGUAACAAAAAAAAAUGACUGCAAAAGUUUUUACUAAAUGUAAAUAUGAUUUAAAUAGUUUAAAUUUUCUAGUAGACUAGUAUGUCUAAUUUAAAUAAUUAAUUUUUAAAAUGUAAUUUAAUAUAUUUAUUUUAAUAAUAUAUUUAUCAUAAAAAUUUUAAACAAAUCCUUGGGUUAAAUAGAUUUUAUAAUUAAUAUAAUAUUUCUCAUGUUUUAAUAAUAUUAAAAUUAUUUGAUAUGAUAUUGAAAAUAAUUAAAACUUUUAUAUAUUUAUUUGAAUAUUAUUUCUCUAUUUAUUAUAAUUUGGUUUAAUAGAAUACGAGAUUGUAAAAUAUUAAAAUAUUUUUAGGUAUUAAAAUUAUUUUAAUAUGUACAUAUUAUUAUAUUUAUUUUAAUAUCCUGCUUAUAUUUAUUAUAAAAUAUUAAAAUUAAUUUUUUUAGUUAAUAAAUUUAAAAAUAUAUAUUAUAAUUAAAAAAAGAGUCUUAUUGUCUGUUAUUUACGAUAUGAGGUUCUACAAAAUUAUUUUCAAAAGGAAAAAUAAGUCUAAGGGUUUCAACAAAUUCUAGUCCUAUCUGCCACUAUGACUAAUGGAAACGACAUUGCAAUUGACAUUGCUUUUUGUAAUAUGACAAAUUUUUGGAGGCAUAUGGGAGAAUCAUCAAAUGUUCACACUACGCGGGAGUUUUGGAUGGGAUCAGGGAGGAUUGUCAAGAGUUCACACCACGAGAAACCAAUGAUAGCCCUAAUUUCGCUGUCAGUUCUUUGUUUAUUUAUUUUAUUUAUUUCAUACAUUGUUGUCUUGUUGGCAUUGUUUUGUAAAAUAAAAGUAAAGUAAACUAUUAGGGUGCUGCUAGGUUAAGUUGUUGUAACUUACAGUCCCUUAAAAAAUAAUGUAAAAAAUUUAACAUGUGGUGGGAUCCACAUAUGUUUGAAGAGGCCGUAAGUUACAGUAGUUGUGACUUAGCAAAAUCCAAAUAUUAGACAAUAACGCACAUUAACAAUGCAUAUAAUUUGGGUUUUAUUUUUUUUUAAUUAUUUGAGUAUUAUCUAUCCUUAAGAUAUUAAUGUGAAUAUAAUUUAAUAUUAAAUAAUCAAAAUCUAUUUAAUCAUAAUAUAUAUUUCAUACAUUGCAUGUUUAAUCAAAAUCUGAUUGCUUUUUACCUUCUAUUUCGCCCACUGUAGCAUUCUACUAUUUACCAUUUUAGCUAUUUAAAUGAAAUUUAUUUUUUUUCCAAAAAUAAAAUGACACCCUUAAAAUUUUAGAAAAUAGUCAUGCAGACGCCAAAAUUUUAAUAAAGAACACCAAUACCCUUUUUGACUAUAGUACUCUUAUGGUAGCCACAAAAAAAAAAUGACUUCAAAUUUUUUUACUAAAUGUAAAUAUGAUUUAAAUAGUUUAAAUUUUCUAGUAGACUAGUAUGUAUAAUGUAAAUAAUUAAUUUUUAAAAUGUAAUUUAAUAUAUUUAUUAUAAAAAUUUUAAACAAAUCCUUGGGUUAAAUAGUUUUUAUAAUUAAUAUAAUAUUUCUCAUGUUUUAAUAAUAUUAAAAUUAUUUUAUAUGAUAUUGAAAAUUAUUUUAUAUGUAAAUCAUAUUUACAUUUAAUAGAAUACGAGAUUGUAAAAUAUUAAAAUAUUUUUUGGUAUUGAAAUUAUUUUAAUAUGUAUAUAUUAUUAUAUUUAUUUUGAUAUCCUACUUAUAUUUAUUAUAAAAUAUUAAAAUUAAUUUUUUUAGUUAAUAAUUUAAAAAAAAAUAUUAUAGUUAAAAAAAAAGAGUCUCAUUGUCCGUUAUUCACGAUAUGAGGUUCUACAAAAUUAUUUUCAAAAGGAAAAAUAAGUCCAGGGCUUUCAACAAAUUCUAGUCCUUCUGCCACUAUGACUAAUGGAGACGCAUUGAAUUGACAAUGCUUUUUGCAAUAUGACAAAUUUUUGGAGGGAUAUGAGAGAAUCGUCAAGCUUUCACACCAUGCGAGAGCUUUAGGUGGGAUAUGGGAGAAUUGUCAAGAGUUCACACCACGAGAAAUUAAUGACAAGCCUAAUUUCGUUGUCAGUUCUUUAUUUAUUUAUUUUAUUGAUUUCAUACAUUAUUGUCUUGUUGGUACUAUUUUGUAAAGAUAUAAAAGUACAAGUAAAAUAUUAGGGAAAGUAAAGUAAAAUAUUGGAGGUGAUGCUAAGUUACAGCUGCUAUAACUUACAGUUCCUUCAAAAAUAAUGUAAAAAAUUUAACACGUGGUGGGACCCACAUUAUGUUUGAAGAGGCCGUAAGUUAUAGCAGUUGUAAACUAGUAAAAUCCAAAUAUUAGACAAUAAUACACAUUAACAAUGCAUAUAAUUUGGGUUUGAUUUUUAAAAAAAUUAUAUGAGCAUUACCUAUCCUUAAGAUAUUAAUGAGAAUAUAUUUUAAUAUUAAAUAAUCAAAAUAUGUUUAAUCAUAAUAUGUAAUUCAUACAUUGCAUGUUAGAUUUGUUUGGAUUUUAAGUUGUUGCUAAUAAAUAUUUAUGUUGUGAAAGUCGAAUUCAAUAGCUACAAAAGCAGAGAUACUGGUAUUUUAUGUAGUUUUUAAGAAUACAAGAAUAAGACCAUAAUGCAUGAGAUAAUGGUAUUUUAUAUUAAAAGACCAUAACACAUGUAUUUGAGCCAUUUAUAUUGAGGACACAUAUAAAGCGAAGAGUGCAGAUCCGGCCGUAACUAUUGUGAAGCUUUCCUCAAGUAUUCUCAUGCACACAGCCCUUAUCUGGUCAAGUUCUCUGAUUCAAUAUAAUCAAUUUCCGAGUAGUACUGACGACAGCUUCUCUGUAAAGCUCUUCAACCACAAGCAUUUCUACAAGGCAAAAGACUAGGACGUAUUGGAAUGAAUAUCAAUAAGGGAAUGUCUUAUGAAUUUAGUUUAUAUCCUAAUAUAAGACAAUCAGUAAAUAUUGGAUGCAAUCUAAGGGCUAACAUUUGAUUGAUCAUUAUACGAAAAAAAAAAAAGGUGCAAAAAUACAAAACAUAGCUGAUUGAUGGCCUCUCACAGUCAGUUAUAUGACAAAGUAGCCACCACAACAAACUUUUUUUUUUGAACUGAUUAAGCAUCAGGUUACUGUAUUACACAUAGAGAUAUAUAUAACUGCUAUGACAGCAAGUCAUUAUACUGAUAUUUACAAUCAGAUAUAUACAUGAGACUUAUAUUAUUACAUUUUUAUUAUAUGAAGUACAUGCCCAUCCAAAUCUCCCUCACGGAGGAGGGAUGUCUCUACUCCACUCACAUUUCGCAAGGGAGAAAGACGUUAUAAGAAGUUUUCACCACAACAAACUUGAACUUGGGUGGAGGUCUCAUUAGUAGUAUACCUCAGAAAUUAAGACAAAGACUUUAAAAUGCAAACUUAUGGAGCAAUUUAAGCACUGAAACUAAUAACAGUACGGUAUUAGCAAUUGACCUCUGCUUUUGCUUAGACAAAGGUUUUCAUCACAAUGGACUCAUUAGUUGCCCUUGCCUCACACGUUUGGAUGCUAAGGGGAAAAAGGAAGCUUGAAUUAGUCAAUCUCAUUUCUAAUGGCAUUCACAGAGAACUUAUAAAACAAAAAAAAAAAAAAAUUAUAAAAAAAAAUUCAUCCAUAAAAAGCUUAGUAACGGAAAAAUCGACUCUUUUAUCUGCCACUGACGAAAAAAAAACUGAAGUAUUAAAUAGAUAAAGAAUUUAAUUUUUUUCUUGGAAAAACUAAUAAUAAAUUAACAAUUAGAUAAUACUAUUAAUUAGAGAUCUUUAAUAUUAAGGUUGUCAAAGAUAGAAUGUGUAUAAAAAUUCUUAAUUAUAAGAUAAUUACUAACUAAAAAGAGGCCUAAAAAAGAAGAUUUGCUAUUAUAAGUAAUACCAAAAAUAAAAAGGGAGACUUCCUAAUUGUGUAAUUGGUUAAAAAAGAGGAUUUGCUAUUAUAGGCCUAAUUUGCCUAUGCUUAAAACCGUUCCUGGAUGUAAAAAAAUAAAAAUUAUUGUUAAAUUCCUGACUAAUAAGGUCAUUGAAAGUAUUCAAAGGACCUGAACUUAUAGGAAAGCCAGCCAUGAUGAACUAUACCACGUUGCAAGUGAGCUCGUAUCUUCACCCCUUGAUCUGCCAUCGGCAUUUCUCUUCCACUCACUAUACCAUCCUUUUCAAUCGAUUUUUAUAGAUCAUAAGAGACCAUGUGGCCCACCUUAUUUUUAUUUUGGAUCCAUAACCCAAAGCUGGCCCAAGUUCUGAUUCCAGAAUCAUUUGUCUACAAAGUGACCUCAUUCCGGCAAUUGGUUUAUGCUAAUAGCACGUGCAAUUUUCAUUUUCUUCUUUUUAUUAAUUAAUUUCAUCAUUAUUAUUUGCUUAUUAUUUUAAAAUUAAAGCUAGCAUUUUUCAAAUUAAUUAAUUAAAUUGUAUUAAUGAAAUUAAUCUUUCAUUUUCUUUUCUCUUUCAAUGCACAAAGCCAAACAACCAUUCUCGCUUCAAAUACCGAAGAGCUCCUGACUACGGCUGUCAAUGCUUCUAUAUUUACGUGCUGUGCUGCAUCACUCUUAGCGAAAGCUUGAAUGAAUGAUUAAAGACAAAAGCUUAUAUAAAAGCAGAUGCCGGAGGCAGUCAAAAAGCAUUUGAGAGAGAAGCUAAACAGCAAAUCAUCAAACGCACUUCAAUGACUUUAUUUUGAUUUUGAUUUUUGUUUCGAAAGAAGUAGAAAAGUCCAUGGGUCACGAUAACUGCUUGUCCUAUGCCGUGACCUCAUUGUCCACCGCUAGUGUCAAAUAGAUUAAUCUUUCUAGUAGAUUAAUAUAAUUUAUAAUUUUAAUUUCAGUAUUAAUUUUUAAAAUGUUAGUUGUUAUAUUUAUUUUAAUAAUAUAUCUAUUUUUAGUAUAAAAAAUUUAAAUGUAUAUUUAGAUUAAAUAGAAUUUAUAAUUAAUAUAAUAUAUCUCAUGUAUUAAUGAUAUUUAAAUUAUUUUAUAUAAUAUUAAGCCUAACUUAGAAUUAUAUAUAUUUAUUUUAAUAUUAUGUUUCUAUAUAUUAUAUAAUAUUAAGCCUAACUUAGAAUUAUAUAUUAUGUUUCUGAGCCUCUCUCUAUAACACUAUAUAGAACCCUAAGCCUAAGUGUCACGGGAUGAGUGUUUUGCGCAGCUAACCCGUGCGGCACUUAGACAACUUUGCCGAAUGUUGCUAAGUAAGCCUAGAGAUUCUCGAACAAGAGAAGAGAGCAAUUGAGCCAAAGAAACUUGUAUUGCACAAAGAGAGAUUACAAUGCUUGUUGGAUACAAAUGCCUAAUGCCAUCCCAUAUUUAUAGGGGAGGCUUUGUCAAACUUGGCCUAACUUUGCCAAACUUUGCCAAACUCUAGAGUAUUCUACAAUUUCCUAGCUAUUUACAUGUGCUGGAAUUGUAUAAAGAAUUCUAGAAUAUUUACAUGUUCACAUGUGCUAGAGUUUCCUAGAACCUUCCGGAAUUGGGCCAAGCUAGCACUCUUGGCUUUGUGUUGGCUCUCUAGCUCGAAAUUGGGGCAAUUGGGCUAGCGAAUUGGGCGGUCCGCAACAACCUCCCCCACCUAUGCUCGCGGCGUCCUCGUCGCGCUCUCAUGCUUGAACCUCUGGAUGUGCUCAGCGAAUUGCCACAAACCAUCUUCACGUUCCCAAGUGGCUUCACUCUCGGGGAGGUUUUUCCAUUUCACCAAGUACUCGCUAUGUGCUGGCACGCCCCUCCUCGAAACCGUGCGGUCCGCAAUGAUGUAGUCCACAUCUUUGUCGAAUGCGGUGACAACGGCAGUUGGUGCGCGCCUUGAUUCUCCGCGACCUGGUUCUCCCAUGUCUUCGUGAUAUGGCUUGAGAAGGCUCACAUGGAAGACCGGAUGGAUCUUGAGUCUUGGCGGAAGUUGGAGUUGAUACGAGACGUUGCCCACACGUCGAACAACUCGGAAGGGUCCCUCGUAGCGCCUCACUAACCCCUUGUGAACUUUCCGCAAUGUCUUGAAUUGUUGGGGUAGGAGCUUGAUCAUGACUUGAUCUCCUUCCUUGUACUCAACAUGCCGUCUCCUUGUAUCCGCCCAUUUCUUCAUUUUCCUCGCGGCUUUGUCGAGGUAGGCUCGCGUGAUGUCCGCUUCCUCAUGCCAUUCGCGGGCGAGCUUGUGUGCCGCGGGGCUUUUCCCUCCGUAAGUCGAGGCUAUGGCAUUGGGAGUCAUUGGCUGGAAUCCCAUGAUGAUCUCGAACGGACUCUUGCCCGUAGCCUCGCUUCGCUGCAAGUUAUAAGAAAAUUGGGCGAUGUCGAGUAGCUUCGCCCAAUCCCGCUGGUGAGCGCUCACAUAAUGCCUCAGAUACAUCUCGAGGAGGCCGUUAAUGCGCUCGGUCUGCCCAUCCGUUUGUGGGUGGAAGCUUGUCGAGAACUUGAGAUCGGUCCCCAACAUCUUAAAGAGUUCCGUCCAAAACCGCCCAGUGAACCAAGGGUCUCGGUCGCUCACAAUGCUCUUCGGAACUCCCCAAAGCUUCACAAUGUGCUUGACAAAUAGGCGGGCUGCCUCAUCCGCUUUGCAAUCCACUGGUGCGGCAAUGAAUGUGGCGUACUUGCUGUGUCGGUCGACAAUGACCAUGAUGCUUCCGCAACCUUCGGACUUGGGCAGCGAUGUGAUGAAGUCCAUGGAGACACUUUCCCAUGGCCUUGUUGCUAGUGGUAGCGGCUCCAACAAUCCCGCUGGAAGUUGAUGAUCCACCUUGUCUUGUUGGCACACAAGACAAGUUCGCACAUAUGCCUCGAUGUCGUCCCUCAUGUGCGGCCAAAAAUACGAGGCUUGAACUAGUGCGGUGGUGCGCUCGAUUCCUGGGUGACCAGCCCACUUGGAGUCGUGGCACUCCUUGAUAACUUCCUUCCGCAAAUUUCCCCACCUUGGCACAAACAGCCGAUCUCCCUUGGUGAGGAGGAUGCCUUCCUCUUGCCAAAAUCGCCUUGUCUUCCCUUCGAGCACCUUCUCCAGCAAAUCCUUUGUUAGCGGGUCUUGUUGGAGGCCUUCCUUGAUGCGUGAGACAAGGUCGGACUUCGGUUGGCUCAUGCUAAGUGUUGCCAAUUCCGCCUUGCGGCUUAGAGCGUCCGCAACGACAUUGGCUUUCCCCGGUUUGUACUCUAGCCGAUAGUCGAAUUCCGCAAGGAAAUCUUGCCACCGUGUUUGCUUCGGACUCAACUUCUUUUGAGUUUGAAAGUAGCUUGUCGCCACGUUGUCCGUUAUGAUCGUGAAGUGUGAGCCAAGCAAGUAAUGUCGCCACACUCUUAGACAAUGGAUGAUGGCUGUCAUCUCCUUUUCUUGCACCGUGUAGCGGCGUUCCGUAUCAUUUAGCUUUCGACUCUCGAACGCUAUUGGGUGGCCUUCUUGCAUAAGGACUCCACCUAUGGCGAAAUCCGAGGCAUCUGUUUGAACUUCGAAGGGCUUGGUGUGGUCCGGAAGAGCGAGGACUGGUUCCUCCGAAAUUGCCUUCUUCAACUCCUCGAAUGGACGUUGGCACUCUUCGGAUCAAUGCCACGUUCUGUUUUUCUUGAGCAUAUCCGUCAAGGGUGCCGCCUUGGCUGAAUAGCCCUUGAUGAAAUGGCGGUAGUAAUUCACCAACCCAAGGAACGAGCGAAGCUCGGGUACUUUCGAGGGAGGCUCCCAAUCGAGGAUGGCCUCUACUUUGUCAUUCUCCAUCAUGAUCUUCCCGCCCGCAAUCUUAUGGCCAAGGAACUCCACCUCUUGUUGGGCAAACGAGCACUUCUCUAGUUUGAGGAAGAGCUCAUUGUCUUGAAGUACUUGGAGGACUUUUUGCAAGUGUUGGGCAUGAUCCUCGAGUGUGGUGCUAUACACCACGAUGUCGUCCAAGUACACGACCACGAAGCGGUCGAGGAAUGGUUGGAGUACCUUGUUCAUGAGUGUGCAAAAUGUGGCGGGUGCAUUAGUAAGGCCAAAAGGCAUCACAAGGAAUUCGAAAGACCCGUACCUUGUUGUGCACGCUGUCUUUGGUUCGUCUCCCUUGGCGAUGCGCACUUGGUAGUACCCGGAGCGCAAGUCAAGUUUGGUGAAGUACCGCGCUUUGCCAAGCUGGUCGAACAAGUCCGCAAUCAAUGGAAUCGGAUACUUGUUCUUGAUGGUGAUCUUGUUGAGCGCUCUAUAGUCGAUGCACAUCCGCAGCGAUCCAUCCUUUUUCUUUUGGAAGAGGACCGGUGCACCGAAUGGGGCCUUUGAGGGGCGAACGUAGCCUGCGUCCAGCAAGUCUUUGAGCUGUCUCCGCAACUCCUCUAAUUCGGGUGGCGCCAUGCGGUAGGGCGCCAAGGCUGGUGGCUUCGCGCCUUGUUCUAGCUCAAUCGCAUGAUCUACCUCUCGCGGAGGUGGGAGCUUCUUCGGAAGUUCUGGAGGCAUCACGUCCUUGUACUCAUUGAGGACGGCUUGAAUUCGCGGAGGGACUUGGCUUGGCGACGUUCCGCUAUUUCCUUCCUCGUUUAGUUCCCGAAUGGAGACCAAGAAGCUUGGGUCCUUCUUGAAAGCCCUCUUGAAUUGCAUGGCGGAGAGUUUCUUCUCCUCGGACUUGCCUCGUUCGGUGGGUACCAUGCAUGCUUUGCUCCCAUCGAGGAUGCUUAGGGAGUUUGUAGCGGGCAGCGGGAAGGCAUGGACUUGGUCGAAGAAUUCCAUGCCAAGGACCAUCUUGAAGUCAUCCAUGGGCACAAUGGAGAAAUCAAGCUUUCCGCUCCAUGUACCGAGUGUGAUGUGCACGCCUUGUGCAAUUCCCGCAAUUGGUUUGGCGGGUGAGUUUACUGCCUUCAUUGUGCCUCCUUCCUUGGUGGCCUUGAGGCCUAAACGCUUGGCCUCGUCUACGGACACGAAAUUGUGUGUUGCUCCCGUGUCUAGCAGCGCGCGAACAGACUGGCCGUUUACCUUUGCGCUAACAUACAUGAGCCCUUUCUUGGCUAGUGCGGGCUGUUGGCGGUUGAGUGCCCCGAGGCGUUGGAGAGAACCCAUGCUGAGUUGGGGUUCCUCCGUGGACAUUGUGGGGUUGCUCUUGAGUUGGGCAGCAAGAACAUUAAGCGACCGCUUCUCCGGACAGUCGCGUACCCAAUUUGGACCGUUGCAUAUGAAGCAUGGGCUUCGCGGCUUUGGCGCCUCCUUCUUGCCCUCCGAUUUUCCUUGCCAACUCUUGUUGCUAGACGGCUUUUUCUGCCCCCAAUCUUUGCGGUUGUUACCCUUGUCCUUGCGACUCUCUCCCCCACCUUUGCCUUGGUUGGCCUUUUUGUCCUUGGAUUGGGUAGAGUAUUCGGUGAGCGACUCCGCAACGGCGAUGGCGUCGUCAAGUGUUUGAACACCACGCCUAUCAAGCUCGGUCUUGGCCCAAUCCUUGAGGCCAUCUUGGAAGUAGAAGAGUGAAUCUUUGUCGGACAUGUCACUUAUCUCCAACAUGAGGGUAGAGAACUCGUUAAUGUAGUCCCGAAUGCUACCCGAUUGCUUGAGGCGACGUAAGCGCGCUCGCGCUUCCUUCUCUGCAUUGCUUGGGGUGAACUGCUUUCGGAGUUCUUGCUUGAAGUCGGCCCAAGUGUCGAUGGUGCAAAUGCCCUUGCCCAUCUCGCCAUGCUUGCGACGCCACCAUAGUUGUGCAGCGCCUCUAAGAUAGGUGGGUGCAGUGCCCACUUUCGAUGCCUCAUCUCGUACACCCAUGGCAUCGAAGUAUUGAUCCAGCCCGAACAGGAAGUUGUCCACGAUUGUGGCAUUGCGUGUGCCAUCGUAGGUGUCGGGCUUUGGCACAUCAAUGCGGCGCGCAUCACUCGAGUUUGCGGAAGCUGGACUUGCGGAGAGUGUGCGCUUGUGCCAUGCCCAAUCCGAGCGGACUUCAUCCACUUCCGCACGGACAGCACGUAGUUCGUCCUGAACAAAACUACGAAGUUUUAGCAACUCAUCAUGGAAAGAAUGAAACUCACCUCGGAGAAUGUUCGCUUGCUCAUGCAUGAGAGCUUUUGUGGCCACCGUGAACUCGGCGUAUUCUCCCUCGAGAUUGUCCACUCUUCUCUCUAAUCCCUCAAGGCUAUCUUGAGUGGCGGACAAGGCUAUUUCGAGAGUGCCUACACGAGGCUCCAAAGCAUCCACGGAUGGGGCCUUGGACUUGCCGCGAUUCUUGCCUUGGGCGCGUUCUCCCUCUCGGCCGCGGCUUGGUUCUGGUGGAACAUCCACACCAACAAAACCCUCUUGUGCUACGUUUGAAGGGUUGGCCAUUGCUUUGUGAGCUAAUUUGCGUGCGUGCAAACCUUAGCUCUGAUACCACUUGUCACGGGAUGAGUGUUUUGCGCAGCUAACCCGUGCGGCACUUAGACAACUUUGCCGAAUGUUGCUAAGUAAGCCUAGAGAUUCUCGAACAAGAGAAGAGAGCAAUUGAGCCAAAGAAACUUGUAUUGCACAAAGAGAGAUUACAAUGCUUGUUGGAUACAAAUGCCUAAUGCCAUCCCAUAUUUAUAGGGGAGGCUUUGUCAAACUUGGCCUAACUUUGCCAAACUUUGCCAAACUCUAGAGUAUUCUACAAUUUCCUAGCUAUUUACAUGUGCUGGAAUUGUAUAAAGAAUUCUAGAAUAUUUACAUGUUCACAUGUGCUAGAGUUUCCUAGAACCUUCCGGAAUUGGGCCAAGCUAGCACUCUUGGCUUUGUGUUGGCUCUCUAGCCCGAAAUUGAGGCAAUUGGGCUAGCGAAUUGGGCAGUCCGCAACAUAAGUCUCACAUUCGCAACCGCCCCACAUAUCAGAACCACAGCGAACUGCCUCCGACCCUUCGGACCCAAAAAAAUGAUUGUAUUCCUGCUCUUUCACUUUAAUAAUUUUUUGUAUUAUUCCAUAUCUUUCACUUUAAUAACCCAAAAGCUUUCCUCUGUUUCAACCCAAAAGCUCAAAUUCCUUUUUUCAAUCGAAAAUUGUGUUUGCCUAAUUUUUUAACCAUUUUUAUAUGUCCGUUAAACUUGACAGCCAAUGUGGUCUAUUCGCUAAACAGAGUAAACGAUAACAAUCAAUGGAAAUUGAAACAAAACCCACCAAUCAACAAAACAGAAUAGCCGAGGAAUCCAAUUUCAGGAAACAGCAGUUUCAAAACUCACCAGAGACAAAUGAUAAAACGAAGCUACGCCGUUCCUCGAUCGGUGAUAACUGGCUACAAGGUUUCUUCGCAUUCGUUGGCCUAAUUUUUUAACCAUUUUUAUAUGUCCGUUAUGCUUGACAGCCAAUGUGGUCUAUUCGCUAAACAGAGUAAACGAUAACAAUCAAUGGAAAUUGAAACAAAACCCACCAAUCAACAAUGUGGUCUAUUCGCUAAAUGGUUAAAAAAUCUAACCUUUGUUCACAAUAAUUGUAUUUGCCUCACUGUUUUUGUUUUAUGAGAUCUAUAAUUGAUCUUGGGAUAUUACUUUCUAGUUCUCAUGCAAGCAAGUUACUACCUUCCCACUGCAUCUCCUCCUUUAUCUGCUAUUCAAGAGUUGCGUGCCAUAAUCUGGUGUUACCUCUGCAAGAUUGUGAAUGAAUAUAACGCCUCUAAAUUUAUUUUAUACAUAAUGCUGAUGCUGAAUAAUAUAUUGUAGCUCCUGUCAUAUUCUACUUUGACUUUUUAUAUUCUGUUUCAUAUAAAAAUCUUAUUCAACUUUAGUUGUUCAUGAGCAAAUGUCACAUGUAUAAGCCCAAAUGAUGUUUAAAGGUAGCGCGGCUACCUUUAGUUUGAGCUGACAAUGGAUGAAAAAGAUAUUGAAACUGAUAUUUUGCUGUUUUUCUGAUUUUUCAAAGUAUUUUAGAUCCUGACUUUUGUUAAGUUGUUUCCAACACCUCGUGCCAAAUGAAAGCACAAUCUUUCUGAUUCAGAUGUCUUGUUAAUUAUGCUUCAUUUUUUCAUUAAAGAUUGGAUGGUUACAUGGAUUGAUGGAGUUGGAGUUCAACCAAUAAUUCUAAUUUUUUGGACUUAAAAUGCCUUUUUCUUCUGUAUAAAAACUUUAGUAAGUGCUAUUGAGUUGACAGAAGUUGCAUACUUACAGGUUGUUUCACACUUUUUAGUAGUUUUACAUAUAUGAAUUUCUGUUUUUUGAAUUGCAGAAAGGAGGUGGAACUAUUGAUUUGGAGCCUUAUCUUACUCACUCAUCGACAACGGAGCCUACCCUCACUCCCAUGGCAGUGGAACGGACAACGACUACUAGGGCUGCAACAUCAGUUGGUUUGGGUCUGUUUUGGGUUUAUUGUCAUUUAUUUGGGUAUGUUUUGAUAGCGAAUUUUGAUAUGUCAAUAGAAUGUGUAAUUGUUUUGGGUUGAGCUGGUAAUUAUGCUGGAUUAGAUUGGUUUGGUUUUGGUGCUUCUCUGAUGGAACACUGCUUUUUUUAGAAAUUUUGAAUGUAAUAUGAGACUACAUUUAGUUUAAUUGAACACUGCAUCUAGUCUAAUUACUAGAAGUGUGGCAUUUGGUUUGGUUUAUCCGAUAUUCUCCAGAAUUUCACUUGCAUCUGGUUUUGUUGCAUAUGUUUGUUUGCUUGCAUUUGAUGGCAGUAGCAGACUGUUUGUUUUUGUGACAUUUGAUGGCAGUUUGGUCUGUUCUUGGUGUUGAUUUAAGAUUCUUCCUGUUGUGCUGAUGUUAAUUGCAGGUGCUUGAAUCAGCUAGGGUUGCUGGUUUAUUCAGAUGGUUGACUCAGGCGUUGCUACUGGUUAAUUCAGGUGGCUGACUCAAGUUGUUCAUUUAAUGUUAGGAAGCAAAUUAGGAAUUAAUGAAGUAUUCAUUUAACUAUAAUUAUUGUAGUUAUUUUAUUUCAUAACUGAAUUAUAAUCUAUGAUACUUGUGAACAAAUUAGAGAAUUUUUAUAUAUGAAUUAUAUAUAUGUGUGUGUAUGUACAUUUUGCUAUUUAUAUAAUAAUUUAAAGAAUAUAUUUCAAUUCCCACAAAAAAAAGGCUCCAAUUUCAAUAAUUCCCGCCAAAUAAUUAAAUUUUUUUAAUUUACCACCAAAAUAUAUCUUAAGUUAUUCUUGCUAGAUUUAACAAAAAUAAUUUGUAGGAUUAACAUUUAAUUAAAAUAAUUAAAUAAUUUUAUUAUUCCAAUUAAAUAUGUCAUGCUUAUACGACAGACAAUAAUCAUGAAUGGGAAGUAUUAGUAACAUAUUCUUCCUUGGGAUUUCAGGCAAAUGAAAAAAAGAUUGAGAAUGAUUUCAAGAGGACAGGUGGAUGAUAAAUAUUCAUUUUUGUAUAUUUGGCUAAUGUCCUCAUUAGUGGAUUUUUAUGGUAUUGAUCUUUUUCUUUUUUUAAAAAAAUUUUCAAUUAGUUGCAGCCCUAGAGGAAGAGCAGGCUGAUCAAAUUGAUUUGUCUUGUUUUUCGGGCAAUCUACGACACGAUGACCGUGAUAAUGCUCGUGACUGCUGGAAACUUUCUGAUGGAAAUAACUUUAGAGUUCGUAGCAAGCAUUUUUGUUAUGACAAAACAAAGGUUCCCCCAUAUUUUGUUUGUUUGUUAUGGUAUUUAUAUAUCCUGCAUAGGCUAGGUAGACAGGUUAUGAUGUAGUUUGGUUGGCUCUUCUUGUGCUUUGUGCAAUUUGUAACUGCAGAUACCUGUGGUAAAACAUUUAAUGGAUCUUGUUGCUGUUGAUUGGUUCAAAGACACAAAGAGAAUGGACCAUGUAGCUAGGCGUCAAGGCUGUGCUGCACAAGUAACUAUUCUUUUCUUUUUAUUUAAAAAAAUAAAACACAUUGCCAACAAGGAUCUCUUCAUUGAACAUGUGUCUAGUUCUGAUAAGCUAGCUGAUGUGCUUACCAAACCUCUGAGUUUUGAUCAUUUUGCCUAUAUGCAAACUAAGGUCAAUGUCUGCCCAUGACCUUGAGCUUACGGGGGCAUUUUAAGAAUAACAUAUGCUGAGUCAUCAAGCCAUGCUGGAAGUCAGUUUUGCAGUUAGUUAGAGAGCUUAUCAGCUUCCCUCCAAAAGUUUGUUAUGUGUAUUAGAAUCUGGGCUCACGAGUUUUGUGAGAUUGUAACCUUGAGAAGAUUCUCACACUACUAUAAAUUGUAUUGUGACUCAAUUAAUAAAAUAAGUUGAAGCUUUGCAUUUUCUCUCAGUCAAAAUUUUCUCUCUAUUUUUCUAAGUAACCAAACAAGAUCUACAGAGCAUUUUGUAUUUUAACUGGAGCGGCUGAUUGGUGCUGUACGUGUUACAUUUUUACUUUUUUAACUCAAGUCUGCUGUUGUCCCAAAGUUGGAACUAGAGAUAUCAUUUCACCUCAACUGUGUUUUUUUUUUAAUUAAAAAAAUCAUUUGUUUUAGGUAUACAUACAUGUAUUUUAAUUCUAUUUUCCUUGUAAUUUCUCCUUUACUUUGAAUGAAAGUCAUUGGUGUUUUCGAAUGGGAAUUUUGCAUUAAAAAAUUAAGAAUAGUUAAUAGGAAAUUUCCUGAUUCUUUAGUUACUAUUUUUGGUAUGAGUGUAAUUAGUAGUAAAGUUGGUUUCUACUCGCAAACAAGUGAACUGCUCGAUUCCCAAGUGCUAUUAACCAGUUUCCAACUUUUUAAUAUACACUAAUUGUUCCUGUUUAAUAGCUACUACUAUUAAAACUCAACAGCUAACAAAAAUACUAAAAAAAAAUGAUUUUUUCUUAUGAUGCUGUGAAAAAAAUUACGGGUUUACUUAUUUCCACGAGAUCUUGUAUAGUGUUCUUGUAUAGUGGAAUUAAGAUUGUCUUCCCGAUGGUGCAAUUCACCCUCUUCCUUUACAGUCACUUGCACUUUGUGCAGCUUUGGUGUGGAUAAGAUUCCCAGGGAAAAAGUCUUCAUGUUCGGACAAUGUGUCACAAAUACUCGUUCCAAUGAUGGGAAUUCAAGAGUGUAAUUCUCCAAACAAAAGCUGGUAAGCCUUGGUAAAUCAUCAAGUUCCAAAAGUUUUAAUUCUUUGAAAGCAAUACGAUUCUCCUUCGUUUCUUCUCCAGCAUGUCCUACGAUUUGUUCUAAUUUUUUGCAGUUCCAUACAUAAAGAUUCACCAGACUAGUAGGAAUUCCAACCUGAAAAUAAGCAGAGAGUGUGUGUGUGUGUUAAAAAAGUAAAAAUGUAAGAGUGUCAUUCAACUAAGCUCAAAGUAUGUUUGAUAAUACAAUUAUACGUUUUAUGAACAUAACAAACUGUGAAAUGUCUACUAGAUAUUUUUUGUUAAACAAAAAACGUAACAAGAUAAAUAAAUAAAUAAAUAAAAGCCAGAUAAACAAAGAUGAUAAAAAUGUAUUUACACUAUUUAGUAUUAGGGACGUAGAAAGAAUUUAAGGCAAUUUCUAAAUAUUUUAGACUUAUUUUGCAUCUUGAUAUAAGUUUUUAAGCAUAAAUUUGCACAUUUCAACUAUUCCUUUAAAAAGAACUCAACUAAAAUGCCUCUUUUUCCCUUUUCCUUGGUCCCCUUUUUUUUAUAUAUAUAUAAAAAUGGAAAAAAAAAUUUGGAAAAGACUUCUUAGUACUGUCAACAAGGGAUUGCUGUAAAGUGGAUCUUUAUUAAGUACUUCCAGACUCGAGGAAAUUUCUUUACAAUCUCAAAAAAAUAGUAAACAAUCAUGAAUUUGUGGUUAAUUAAUGGCAUAAUCAAUUCUUAACUAAACUGGAGAUAUUAAUUAAAUUUGAAGACUUUUUUUUUCCGAUCGAAAUGUGAAGAACUAUGGAACAGAGAAAUAUAUAGAUGAAUUUGUGAACUUAUAAGAUGAGUGACUAUCCUUUAAUUUUUGAAAAUCGUACUUAUUAAGAUAUGAGCAAAAACAAUUAAAUUGAAUUAUAUUAUGCUGUUGAAUCUGUUUAAAAAAAUUAUAUUGUUGAUUCUAAUGCUGGUGAACCUAAAAACUAGACUUAAAACGUAGAUUUCAGAGUGGUGGUUUGAAGUACAAUAUUUGAAAUAAAUAAUUAGUGGCUGAAUAUCAUUUGUAAACACAGAAAUGAUUAAAAAAUUGUUGAAUGUUAUUUGAAAAAAAAAAUCGAAAUGAAUACAGAAACCUUACCAAUGGAGGAAAAAUAUUCAUUAGGUUAUCACACUCUUCUAUCUCCAAAUUCUUCAAUUUCCUGAAAGACUCUGAAGCAAGCUGGUGGUGCCAUAUUGUUCUUAGGUUAUCCAUCCACGCAAUAUAUAAUACCUCCAACCUAGGAAGUCGUACCUGGCAGUUAAAGAUUAAAUAACUAAUUAAUCAAUUAAUGGCAUAAUCAAUUGAUAACUAAAUUAGAGGCGGAUAUUAACUAAAUUUGAAGACUCAAGGAAAAGACAAAUCAAGUAUUGUGACUAAAAUUAUUUUUUUAAUUAAAAAAAAAACCUUUUCAUCAAAGAGAGGAGGAGGUUGCAUUUCAGAAUGAAUGGUAUCUUCUGGUGAGCUCGUAGAGAUGAAUCUUAACAUAUUACUGCAACAACCAAUCAUGAGGUUUAGCAAAGAAGGGAAUUCAACAACUAAAUCUGUAUGAAUAUGUCCCAUAUUGGCAAAGCUACUUAGUCUUGGAAGCCAUUCUAGCUGCAGGGAGUGUAGCUUAGGAAAAACCUUUAAUUCAAUCAACUUUCCUUCAUCUCUUUCUGACCAUCCCGUGGUGUCGACUACCCCUUCCAUUGACUCACAAUAGCUUAUCUCAAGAUGUUGGAGUUGCAAAAGGCUAUUAACCAUAGAAUAUGAAAACAGAUACUUCAGACGAUAACACCUUUCCACAGUCACUUUUGUUAAAUUUUGACAACAGUACAUUCUUUGAUUAUGAUCGGCCCAUAAUUUUUUCAUGUUUCUUAAGUCCCUGAGAUUCAAUUCCUCUAAGCUCGGAAGAAUAACCUGCAAAGAAAACCCGUACAUUUUUGUUCCUUCAAGUACAACCGUCUAGUAUAAUAUUCUUUUGAUGAUCGAAGAUUAAUCGUGAUAAUAAAUUAAUCAAUUAAUUAUUGAACAGAAAAUUAUCACCUUUGGAGCAGGAUCAUCAUCAGCAAUGAGUUCCUUGAAUCCCAAAGAAGUUGUUGGUUUGUCCAUGUCGGGUCCUAUAAACAAACAAAAACAAUAUACAUAAUUAAUCUUUGUCGUUGUCUUUUUUUUAAAAAAAUAAUUGAGGCGAAGUCCAUAAAUCCACCAACACUUAAUUUCAACACUUACCAACAAUCAUUUCCAGAUCAUCGCAAAAAAACACUUCUACCUUUUGAAGCCGCAGUAGGUUUUUGGCCAUGGAGAAUGAGAAAAGAUGCUUCAAUUCGUGACAGUCUGAUACUUUUAUAAUCCUUAAGUUGCUGAAAGAUUGAUCUUCUGUGAGUUGGAUGUCACAUAUUGUCUCCAAAUUGAUCAAACGACGAAGAGACAAUGACUCCAGCAAGGGGAAGACUUUGCGACGAACCCGUCCAACUGAACAGACAAUAUGCAAAAUCUCAGAACAACUUUUUACAGAAAGAUGCUUCAAUCGUGGAAAACCUUCCCCAUCAUCUAAUUCAUGAACAACAUUCUGAACACCCUUCAGUUCUCCUAGAUAGAGAUAUUCAGUUCUCUUCAACAACAGUUUCAUCCUGUAAUUCUGCAAAAGAAUGCCAAACUUUUCUAGCCCCUGGAGCUUCAUCAAUCUUGAUAAUCCAGUUUUAACGGACCAGCUGCUCCACCACUUAUUUCCUAUACAUAUCUUAUAGCUUUGCAAUUCCACAGAGACCAAAUCCUGCGGUAGAAUUUCGGCAUCCCGAACGUGUAUCUCCAAAGUAGUUAGCUUUGACAACCCCUUCAACUCAACAAGACUGGCGUUACUUCCUCCUUCAACCUUCUCCCACAGUGAAAAGCUGUUACCAAUAUAUAGUUCUUCUAAUCGAGAUAAUUUUGAUAUGACAUUUGGAGCUAUCACCACAAGGCUGCUACAAUUGCUCAAAUCUAGCAACUGUAAUCUCGUCAAUUGUCCAAUUACAAGUGGCAACUCCUUAACAUCAGAAUCUCGGAAGCUGAGAAUCUCUAAUUUCCUUAGCUGUCCAAUUAUAGUUAUAUCGUUCAGUCGGCAACCAUCUAAACAUAAUGUUUGAACGUUAAUGAGGCAACCAAGUGAUGAAGGUAAUGAAGAGAAAAAUAUUCCAGUAAAAUCUAAAACUUUGAGUUCUUCUGUCCCUUCAAAAAAGAGGUCUGAAAUUUGCAAAGAGCUAUCACGCUUUGAAAACAACAAAAGAACUCGAGACGGGGACAUUCCAACCUUUCGGGAAGCUCUUGAAUAUCUCUAUAAGGUAAAGAAAUAGCUAUUGGACCUUCCCGUAUUGUCUCUUCCAUCUUUUUCUCCACGUAGGCAACAUUUGGAAUAUUAAACAUGAGCUCCUCUUCUGCAAUUGAUACAGUAACAGCAUGAAUGAUGUCAUGCAUUUUAACUUCAUCUUCGGCAUCACUGUCCAACAAUAAGCACGAAGAUUUGAGUUUGCCGAUCAACGUAUGCACUCUACUCCUUGCUUCUUCCAGUGUGUAAACGUUUUUAAAAUAGCCCAUACCCAUACCAUAUCUCAAUAAGUCAGAAACAUGUAUACCACGACCUUCAUUAUAUAGACCACAAAGAAGGAACAGAGAUUUUGCUUCCUUACUUCCCAGUAAGUCGUAACUCAAUUUUAUGGAGAUGUACACAUUUCUUUCCAUUCCAUCAAUUUCUUUUGCAUUGGAACUUCUUAGCUGACGCAGCACAUCCUUCCAAGUGUCAAGCCUCUCAUUUUUCAAAGCUUUUGCAAGUGUAAUCAGUGCAACAGGCAAUCCUCCGCAUUUUUCAACGAUCUCAUCUGCUAAAGGUUGAAAAGCAGAUGCUUUUGCAGAAUUACACACUAUCUUUCCAAACAAUUGCAAUGCUUCUUCCUUUGAUAAAACUUCAAUUGAGAAAUCCUUCUGAGAUUUCAUAUCAUUGCGCAAUAAAUCUCGACUUCUAGACGUCAAUAUUAUUGUGCGUCUUCUCCGAUCGUCCUCUCUAUCUUUCUCAUCAACAUCCCCAUAAGGAAUUCCAACUGUAUCGAACUCAAGUUUUGUCCAAAUAUUAUCCAGUAUAAUGAGGAGCCGCUUCUCUUGCUUCAACCUUUGACACAGUCGAGAAGCUCUUUGAAAUUCAUUCUCAUUCAAGUCAAAUUCCAUGCCUAAAUCAAAAGCAAGUUUGUCUUGAAUUUUAUGAUGAUCUGGGGUCUGUGUUAUCUCAGCCAUAACGAACUUAUCGAACAACUUAUCUUCCAUCACUUGGUUUGCAACUUGUUUGACCAGCGUGGUUUUGCCCACGCCGCCCAUCCCAUAGACCCCAAUUAUGUUGACUUUGUCAUCCUUCACCGCCUCCACAACAUCUUGAAAUACUUUCAUUCUUGAAUCAAACGCCUCGAAAUCUUUCACUUGCAUAUGUUCUGCCCGCUUUGGAGCAGGACGGUAGGAAACAUUGGAGAAGUUGCCUUUUCCCACGAGACUAGCGGCAGCUUCUGCCGCCUUUGCUGCUUGUUUACUAAGCUUGUAACGAGAAAUCAAGUUUGGGCAUAAUCCUUUGAAGCAGGACUUCUUAGCUCUAUCUUCAUCAUCAAUGACGGAUUUUGCAACCCCUUCACUGAUGAAUUCAUUAACGCUAUGUAGCCAGUCUGUGACACCCUCAUAAAGCUCAUCCCCUUGUAGCCUAGCAUGAUUAACUGGUUGCUGCACCAUUUCUCUCUUAUAUCCCAGCUGCUUCACUUGAACUUUUAGCUCAUCUAUGUAGCUCUGGUACUUGAACACAUAAGAUAUCUGCCGUGUAAUCGGGUUGAACAGUGACUUUGCACCUUCUGAUACACAGUUGGUUAAAAAAGCGAGACACGCUUCUAUAGCCAUUGCCUGUUGCUUAACAAUAUAUAUCUAGUUUUUUGGCUGUUGAAAAAAAAAAAUGGAUUCAAAUAAAUUAAAUGAACUAGCGGGGAAGAAAAAGAAAGAAACGACAACAAACAACUUUUUAGAAAAAGGUUUCAGGGGCCUGAAUGGAAAACCAACAAUUUUUUGAGGAAAGAAAACUUUUUUGGAAGAUGGAUGCAAAUUAACCAUUAAUAAUACUGCAUAAGAACACAGAAGUUGACAAUAAACAGUAACUUAAAACUCAAGAAAAUUAAAUGACAAGAUUAAGACAAACAAGAGAUAGUUUUUGUCGGACAUUAAGAAACAACUGCUAUCAAGAUCAAAGAUUAGAAAUUAUGCUAUUGAAAGAAAUUAUUAAAGUAUUUAGAACAAACGCACCUCUUCAAUUAUCUAGGAUCACGGAGUUUAUGAGCUUCACUCUUGGCCUUCGAUUUAUAAGAAAAAAUUUAAUGAGCAAAAGAUCACUGUUGACUGCAGAAGAAUGUGAGUAAGCAAUACAAUUGAAUUGUAAAAGAACAAGACUUAAAGCGUGCACCCCGUGUUCAUAUAAACAGAACACAUGUUCAUUUUUAACAAAGUGAUCAAUAACUAUAUUCGUUAUUUAAUUGAUAUUGUAACCAAUUCUAAGAGAAUAUAAUAAUAAUCAUUCAAUCCAUAAAUUUAGAAUUAGAUUUUUUUAACUCUUUAUUUAAAUAUAAACCUUAAUGGAAAAUUAUAAAAGUUUAGAGAUAAAAUUUUUCAAUCACCAAACGAAAAAAACAGGGGAAUGAAAACAGAGGAAUCUUGUUUUAACUAUUUUUUUUUCCUCAACUCUUGUUCUUAUAUUAAUAAUCUUGUUUUGAUGAUAGUGCUCGUGACUGCGGGAAAAUUUGUACUGGAAACAACUCAAUUUCGGAAGAAAACUUAAUUUUGCAAGUGAUGAAUUUGAACUCGUUGGAUUGGUUGAUUUAUGAUUGACUGAAUUUCACUUUUGCCCAAAAGAUCUUUAACCAAAGUUUAAUAGCCAUCAUGUACUCCUUAAAAGCAAUUUUUUUUUUUAGAUUUGACUGAAUUUGAACUUGUUGGAUUGGUUGUUUUUAGAUUAUUAAUAUGAGAUAUUACAACGUAAAUAUUUUCAUGUGGUUGAGCCCUAUUCUAAAAUCUGUAUAGUUAGCUUUAGAAAAAGGGCUUUUCCUGCUGAUCUGUAAUCUUCAAAUAAACUUAGAUACAAAUAAUGAAAUAAAAGACAACAAACACGCNNNNNNNNNNNNNNNNNNNNNNNNNNNNNNNNNNNNNNNNNNNNNNNNNNNNNNNNNNNNNNNNNNNNNNNNNNNNNNNNNNNNNNNNNNNNNNNNNNNNNNNNNNNNNNNNNNNNNNNNNNNNNNNNNNNNNNNNNNNNNNNNNNNNNNNNNNNNNNNNNNNNNNNNNNNNNNNNNNNNNNNNNNNNNNNNNNNNNNNNNNNNNNNNNNNNNNNNNNNNNNNNNNNNNNNNNNNNNNNNNNNNNNNNNNNNNNNNNNNNNNNNNNNNNNNNNNNNNNNNNNNNNNNNNNNNNNNNNNNNNNNNNNNNNNNNNNNNNNNNNNNNNNNNNNNNNNNNNNNNNNNNNNNNNNNNNNNNNNNNNNNNNNNNNNNNNNNNNNNNNNNNNNNNNNNNNNNNNNNNNNNNNNNNNNNNNNNNNNNNNNNNNNNNNNNNNNNNNNNNNNNNNNNNNNNNNNNNNNNNNNNNNNNNNNNNNNNNNNNNNNNNNNNNNNNNNNNNNNNNNNNNNNNNNNNNNNNNNNNNNNNNNNNNNNNNNNNNNNNNNNNNNNNNNNNNNNNNNNNNNNNNNNNNNNNNNNNNNNNNNNNNNNNNNNNNNNNNNNNNNNNNNNNNNNNNNNNNNNNNNNNNNNNNNNNNNNNNNNNNNNNNNNNNNNNNNNNNNNNNNNNNNNNNNNNNNNNNNNNNNNNNNNNNNNNNNNNNNNNNNNNNNNNNNNNNNNNNNNNNNNNNNNNNNNNNNNNNNNNNNNNNNNNNNNNNNNNNNNNNNNNNNNNNNNNNNNNNNNNNNNNNNNNNNNNNNNNNNNNNNNNNNNNNNNNNNNNNNNNNNNNNNNNNNNNNNNNNNNNNNNNNNNNNNNNNNNNNNNNNNNNNNNNNNNNNNNNNNNNNNNNNNNNNNNNNNNNNNNNNNNNNNNNNNNNNNNNNNNNNNNNNNNNNNNNNNNNNNNNNNNNNNNNNNNNNNNNNNNNNNNNNNNNNNNNNNNNNNNNNNNNNNNNNNNNNNNNNNNNNNNNNNNNNNNNNNNNNNNNNNNNNNNNNNNNNNNNNNNNNNNNNNNNNNNNNNNNNNNNNNNNNNNNNNNNNNNNNNNNNNNNNNNNNNNNNNNNNNNNNNNNNNNNNNNNNNNNNNNNNNNNNNNNNNNNNNNNNNNNNNNNNNNNNNNNNNNNNNNNNNNNNNNNNNNNNNNNNNNNNNNNNNNNNNNNNNNNNNNNNNNNNNNNNNNNNNNNNNNNNNNNNNNNNNNNNNNNNNNNNNNNNNNNNNNNNNNNNNNNNNNNNNNNNNNNNNNNNNNNNNNNNNNNNNNNNNNNNNNNNNNNNNNNNNNNNNNNNNNNNNNNNNNNNNNNNNNNNNNNNNNNNNNNNNNNNNNNNNNNNNNNNNNNNNNNNNNNNNNNNNNNNNNNNNNNNNNNNNNNNNNNNNNNNNNNNNNNNNNNNNNNNNNNNNNNNNNNNNNNNNNNNNNNNNNNUAAACUUUUUUUUGGGGGGGGGGGGGGGGAGCAUGCAAAUUUACCAAAAGAAAUAAUAAGAGCACAGGCUUUAACAAUGAAUAGUAACUUAAAACUCAUGCAAAAUAAGUUACAAUAUGAAAACAAACCAGAGAAAAUUUUUUCUUGGAAAGUAGAUGGAACUUAAGAAAGAGCAGAUGUCAAGAUCAAGGAUCAGGGAUUCUACUAUUAAAAAAAAAAAAAAAUUAUUCAAGGAUUUAGAAAACGUGCACCUCUUUAAUUAUCUGGGAUUAGAGAGUUGGUGAGCUUCUCUAUUUGGCCUUCAAUAUUUAAGAACAAGUUGAAAGAGGAAAAAGAUCACUGGUAACUGCUGAGGAAUGUGUGAGAAAAGAGUUGAUGAGAGCAAUAACAAUGACCUGCAAAAGAAAAAGAAUUAGUCACGCACCGCUUUUCUAUAUCAUGUAUUUGGUUAUUGUUGCCCUGUUGACGCAUGUUGAAGAAGAAAGCACUAGUACACAACUCUAUGUUUUCAUAUAUUCUAAAGAAAUAAUUAAGUUUUCAUAGAAUAAUACCUGUUGUGUUUGAAUAAUUUGGUAUCUACAUUGCUUGUGUACUGUGAAAUUGAAAUGAAUAUUGAUUGACAGAGCAAUGUAUAUACCUAAUAAAACAUAAAGCAAAUCCUUGAACGAAUGAUUCGGGACUAAAACUUUUAUAAAAGCAAAUACCGGAAACACACAAAAAGCAUUUAAGAUAGAAACUAAACAGCAAAUAAUCGAAGUAAGAUCAAUAAUAUAUGAUUUGAUUUAUGCAUAUUCAAAAACCAAAAUUUAAAAUAAAAUAAAAAAUAAAGUUUGAUUUAUUCUUUCCACAAAAAACAGGGGAGUGAAAACAGAGGCAGCUUGUUUUACCAAUUUUUUCUUCUUAAUUUCCGGCAAAAAAAAAAAUUCAAUAAACAGGGGAAUGAAAACAAAGGAACGAAAACAGAGGAAACUUGCUUUUCAGGCUAUCUUGUGACAUGAUGAUAUUGCUCGUGAAUGCAUGAAAAUUUCUAAUGCAAACAGCUCAAUUUGGGAUGAUAAGCUUAAGUUUGCAAGUGAUGCAAGUAAAUAAGUUUUUGCGGUUAAUUGAAUCUUUAAUACUCUGGGCCCUAUUCUAAAAUUUGUAGGUUGCUUCAGAAGAAAGGGCGGUUCUCACUCAUCUUUAAUCUCCAAGUAAAAUUAGAUACAAAGCAAAUCUAAUAAAAUGACAAACAAACAAACAAAACAAAGAAAAGACAGGAGGCAAACAACAUUGAUCUUAAGCCAACUGAUAUUUAAACAGAGAAUUCUUUUCUUUUAUUUUUUUAACCACCUUUUGCUCAAGGAUUAGAGUUUUUAUAUUAACAGAAAGGUUUCAGGGGUCUGAAUAAAAGCCCACAAUUUCUCUAAUUGUUUUUUUUUUUUUUUUUUUGGGAAAAAUGGAUGCAAAUUAUCCAAAGCUAAUAAUAAGAACACAGACAUUACAAAUGAACAAUAACUUAAAACUCAAGCAAAAUAAAUGACAAGAUGAAAACAAACAAGAUAAAUUUUUUCUUGGAAAUUAGAUGGAAAUUAAGGACUGCUAGUAAAAGAUAUUAUUAGAUGAUUUAGAACAUGUGUACCUCUUUAAUUGUCUGGGAUCAAAGAAUUGAUGAGCUUCUCCAUUCGCAUUGAAUAUUAAGUAAGAACGGGUAUUCAAAGAAAUUAUUAGGAAAAAUUUUAAUGAGUAAAAGAUCACUGUUAACUGCAGACGAAUGUCCUAGUAAAAUGUUGAUUUGUGUAAUAACAAUGAAUUGCAAAAGAAGAAAACUUAAUCAUGCACCCCUUUUAUACCCGAGUUUUAAGAUUUAAUUUUUGAAGUUCAGAAUCAAGACCAAAAGCCGAAGCUUUAACAAGGCAUGCAGUGAGAUACAAGAAAUGGAUCGGGUAAAAUACUUUAAAAAAUGUUGUUCAACUCAAUUAACUUGAAGAAAGCACUAAUUUCAUAUGUUCUAAUGAAAUAAUCAAGUUAAAAGUUUUCAACGAAUAAAUACCUGUUGCGCUUGAAUAAUUUUGGCAUAUACAUUACUUGUAUCCUGUGAAAUUGAAAAGAAUAUUGAUAUGCAGAGCUUAUUAGUAGAGAGAAAGCUUUGUAAGAUGCCUGAUAAAAGAGAAACCAAAAGCUUGAAUGAGGAAUGACAUCUUAGAAAGAAACUAAACAUCAAAGUAGGAUCAAUAAUGACUUGAUUUAUGCUUUUUUGUUAUUUCAUUUGUUCUGUCAACAAAUGAUGCCUCGUUAUUACGAGUUCCAACCUGGACGUUAUGCACAAAUUGUUUUUAUGUUUAACAGAAAAAAAUGAAAGCAGGUCACCAUACAAAAUUGCAUGAACAAAUCUUCAAUUUAAUGAUUAUAAAAUAAAAUAAAUUUUAUUAAUAGAUUAUGGGUAUGUUAACGUUAGGGAUUUGAUCAGAUGAUCAUAUGAUUUACUAAACGCUUUAACAAGAACAAGAAAAAGAAUUAAUGGGUUAAAAAAAAUUUAAAAAUAAAAUAAGAGAGAAGUAAAGAACUUAUUUGCAAUUACCAAACUGAAAAAAUGCGAAAUGAAAACAAGGGAGCCCUGUUUUUCCUCACAUUUUUUUUCUCUCUUUUUCAAGUGGUGAGAAUGAUAGCAGAAAAUGCGAGCUCACUAUUUUCAUUUGUUGGCCUAAAAGCCUUCCUCCAAGAGAUGCAUAAAUUUUAUUUGUACAUUUGUUCCAUUUUAAGUACACAUUGUUGCAUGCAUUUUGAACUGUAUUAUCAAUCCUUUUUGUUUUCAGUUGGUUAGUUCAUAAUAACAAAUGAAUUAUAUUAUUUUGCAUGGAUCGAAAUUUAACUUUCCCUCUUUAUUUGUCCCACAACUAAAUAGUCUCAUCUUUUGUAGUAAGCUCGCAGUACGUACGGGGAACUACUGUAUGGGUGCUUUAGCCUAAAAUGAAGAUCUAUUAAAAAUUUCCCUAAUAUCAUGAUAUUAAACAUUAAAUAAUAUCAACAUUUUGACUUCCAUUUUGUUUUUUGGAUGGAGGAUGUUCCAUCUUCUAUUUUAGGUGCUUUGUAAGACUUUUAAUUGAACAAUUGAUGCAAUCAGUAACAAAGGCUUUACUUACAUAUGCAAGUAAAAUUUGCAGGUUGCUUCAGAAGAACGGGCAGUUCUCACUCAUCUUUAAUCUCCAAGUAAAAUUAGAUACAAAGCAAAUCUAAUAAAAUGACAAACAAACAAACAAAACAAAGAAAAGACAGGAGGCAAACAACAUUGAUCUUAAGCCAACUGAUAAUUAAACAGAGAAUUCUUUUUUUUUUUAACCUUUUGCUCAAGGAUUAGAGUUUUUACAUUAACAGAAAGGUUUCAGGGGUCUGAAUAAAAGCCCACAAUUUCUCUAUUUUAUUUUUAUUUUUAUUUUUUGAAAGGAGCUUCACUAUUGGCCUUGAACAUAUAAGAAUAAGCAAAAGAUCAAUGUCAACUGCAAAGGAAUGUGAGUAUGUCAAAGUCAUGGGCGGUUUGGCACCAUUAACAUAUUUCAAAAUGGCCACCCUAAUUGAAGGAAAUUAAAGGCCAAGUAGAUGCCGCCCAAGGAAAGAAACAAAAGAGAAUGAAGAAAAAGAAGAAAGAGAGAAGAAAAAGAGAUGUCGGGCCGAAGAAGGAAAAGAAAAGAAAAAUUAAUAAAAUAAUAAUAAUAAUUAAAUAUUAAACAAAUAGUAGCUAAUUUUGGCUAUAAAACCGCUAGCUCCCUUCAUUUGUAAAUCAUCUAGUUCUUCAGUUCUUUUCUUUAUUUAGAGAGCGAUUUUAAGAGUCUAGUGAUUUGAGAGUUUAGGUGUAUUGGGAUUUUGGGUAGUGAGCUAAAAUACCACAAUACUUGUAACUUCUUUUCACUAGUAAAAUACUUUCCUUCUGUUUUCACCUGUGAACGUAGGCUAAAAGCUGAACCACGUAAUUUCUUGUGUCUAUUUUUUGUACUUGUUCUUUAUUUUCUUCCAAUUUCACUUUAGCUGCGUGUUUGCUUCACUCACCAAUUUUGUAAUAGUGAAUCAGAGCUAUUAGUUGUAUUUUUUGGAGUCGGGUACUGUUCACGUAAGGGGUACUAUUCACGUAUAUGGCACUGUUCACGUAUACGGUACUAUUCACGUAAAACGAUGGGAGGAUCCAAGAAUUUUGCGGUGCAAAGCAGGGAAUAGUGGUGUGAGUAAAACAACUGUGUGGUUUUGUACAUGUCUAGGAAAGUUCUAUCACAAAGGCGAUAAGAGCUUAAGGAGUCUGGGUUUUAAGUGGGACCAUUGUGACCCCUCCAAUGUUUCCUGGGAACUUUCUUGGUGUGCAUUCUCACACAUACUCACAACUAUUCAAGGUGGUACACUUGCUUGUGUGCGGUAUUUAUCAAUAAAAUGGCGGCAAAGUAUGAAAUUGAGAAAUUUAACGGAAACAAUUUUUCAUUGUGGAAAAUGAAGAUGAAAGCUGUAUUGAGAAAAAAUAAUUGCUUAGCAGUAAUUGGAGAAAGGCUUUUGGAGAUAACUGAUGACAAGUGGAACGAGAUAGAUGGCAACACCAUUUCUGAUCUACACUUGGCACUUGCAGAUGGAGUAUUAUCUAGUGUGGCAGAGAAAAAUACAGCGAAGGAAAUAUGGGAUACUCUCACAAAAUUGUAUGAGGCUAAGUCACUACACAGCAAAAUCUUCUUAAAGAGGAAACUUUAUACUCUUCGAAUGGUGGAAUCUACAAUGGUGAUCGACCACAUCAACACCUUGAAGACUCUAUUUUCACAACUCACAACGUUGGGUCAUAAUAUAGAGGAGAAUAAACAUGUAGAGCUUGUACUUCAAAGUCUACCAAAUUCGUAUGAUCAACUCAUCAUCAACCUAACGAACAACAAUCCAGCGGAUAGUCUAGUUUUCGACGAUGUUGCAGCUUUCCUAUUAAAUGAGGAGAGCAGGCGAAAAAAUAAGAAAAACAGACAAGCAAUUUCGCAGCAAGCGGCGGUGCUAUCGGUGACGAGAGGGAGAUCAACGGAACGUGGCCCUAGUGGGAGUCAAAAUCAUAGUAAAUCAAAAUCCAGAAGUAAGAAGAAUGUUAAAUGCUACAACUGUGGCAAGAAAGGACACGUCAAGAAAGAGUAUUGGAGUAACUAGAAGAGAAAAGAGGAUAAAGAACCUGAGUCAUCAAAUGCUCAGGGGUGUGUAGCAAGUACCUCAGAUGAUAGCGAAAUUCUUUACACUGGGGCAAUAACUAUUUCAGAAGGCAGAAAACGACUAUCUAAUGUCUGGCUUAUAGACUCAGGAGCUACCUGGCACAUGACGGAGAGAAUGGUUCUAGACAUAUGAACCUAUCUCAGGAGGAUCUGUAUAUAUGUGAGAUGAUCAUGCCUUGGAGAUCGCUGGUAUUGGUACUAUCAAAAUAAAAAUAUUUGAUGGUACAAUUCGCACAAUUGGGGAGGUACGACAUGUCAAUGACCUGAAGAAAAAUCUAUUGUCUUUGGGACAAAUAGGCAGUUAUGGGUGCAAAACUCAUGUGGAGAAUGGAAUUAUGAAGAUUGUUAAAGGAGAGCUUGUAUUGAUGAAGGCAGAAAAGAUCGGUGCUAAUCUAUUCAUGCUUAAAGGAGAGUCACUACAGGAGGCUGAUGCGUGUGUCGCAUCAAAUGGAGAAGAGUUAAUGAUGAUGUGACAUCUCAAACUUGGCCACAUGUCGGAACAUUGUUUGAAGAUUCUCUCUGAGCGAAAAUUACUUCCAGGGCUUAAAUCGGUAAGUUUACCUUUUUGCGAGCAUUGUGUUACCAGUAAGCAGCAUAGAUUAAAAUUUAGUAGAUCUAUUCUAGAAGUAAAUAUAUUCUAGACUUGAUUCAUUCUGAUGUUUGGAAAUCACCGGAUAUAUCCAUGGGAGGUGCAAAGUACAUGGCGACUUUCAUUGAUAAUUAUUCCAGAAGAUGUUGUGUGUAUCUAAUUAAGAAAAAGUUAGAUGUAUUUCCAGUGUUUAAAGAAUACAAAGCGCGGGUGAAACUUGAAUCUGGUAAAAAGAUUAAGUGCUUGAGGACGGAUAAUGGUGGAGAGUAUACAGACGGCGAGUUUCUUGCUUUCUGUAAGCAAGAAGGUAUUUAGAGACAGUUCACCAUAGCAUACACUCCUCAACAAAACGGAGUGGCGGAGCGGAUGAACAGAACUCUUACAGAAAGAAUAAGAGCUAUGUUGAGGACUGCUGGUCUACCUAAUUCAUUCUGGGCAGAAGCAGCCAAAACUGCUUGUUAUAUAGUAAAUCGGUUGCCAUCUACAGCUAUUAGGCUAAAGACAACGAUGGAGAUGUGGACUGGAAAGCCAACUGAUUAUUCCUACCUACAUGCAUUUAAAUGUCCUGUGUACGUGAUGUACAAUGCCCAAGAAAGAACAAAGCUGGAUCCAAAAUCUAGAAUAUGUAUCUUCUUGAGAUAUGCUGAUGGAAUAAAGGGGUAUCGUCUGUGGGACCCCACUGCCCACAAGAUCGUUAUCAGCAGAGAUGUUAUCUUCAUAGAAGAUCAACUGCAAAGGAAAGAUGAAGAUGAUAGUAGUGUAAAAGAAAAGUCAGAGACUAUACCGGUAUAUGUGGAAAAUAAUCCAUAAGAUUCAGAUUCUUCUGAAGCAGAACCAGAGCACGAGCAACAAAAACCAGUCGAGUCUGAGGCUCCAGAAGUUCGUCGGUCAACUCGUGAGAGACGACCGCCAAUGUGGCACUCGGAGUAUGUUACAGAGAUCAACGUUGCAUACUGUCUUCUAAUAGAGGAUAGAGAGCCUUUAACUUUCCAUCAAGCUUUAGAAAGCUCAGAUGUUGCUUUGUGGAUGACAGCAAUGCAGGAAGAAAUAAAGCUCUACAUAAUAACAAGACAUGAGAACUUGUACCACUACCACGUGGAAGAAAAGCCAUUGGAAACAAAUGGGUCUACAAAAUCAAACGUGAAGGCAAUGACCAAGUAGAGCGGUGUCGUGCGAGAUUGGUGGUGAAAGGAUAUGCUCAGAAAGAAGGUAUUGACUUCAACGAGAUAUUUUCGCCGGUGGUUUGCCUCACGACGGUCAGAGUAGUCUUGGCAAUGUGUGCUACAUUUGACCUACAUUUAGAGCAGUUAGAUGUGAAAACUACAUUUCUUCAUGGAGAACUUGAAGAAGAAAUAUAUAUGCUCCAACCAGAAGGUUUUGCAGAAACAGGAAAAGAGAACUUGGUUUGCAGGUUGAACAAAUCUUUAUUCGGUCUCAAACAGGCGCUGAGGUGUUGGUAUAAGAGAUUUGAUUCCUUUAUCAUGAGCCUUGGAUACAACAGACUCAGUUCAUACCAUUGUGCAUAUUAUAAAAGGUUUGCAGAUAAUGAUUUCAUUAUUUUACUAUUGUAUGUGGAUGACAUGUUGGUAGCAGGCCCUAACAAAGAUCGAAUCCAAGAAUUGAAGGCACAGUUGGCUAGGGAGUUUGAAAUGAAGGACUUGGGACCAGCAAACAAGAUUUUAGGAAUGCAAAUUCACCGAGACAUAAAUAACAGGAAGAUUUGGCUUUAGCAGAAGAAUUACUUGAAGAAAAUCUUGUGGCGCUUCAACAUGCAAGAUUGUAAGUCAAUUUCUACCCCACUUCCUGUUAAUUUCAAAUUAUCCUCAAGUAUGUGUCCUAGCAAUGAAGCAGAGAGGAAGGAGAUGUCUCGAGUACCGUAUGCAUCAGUAGUGGGAAGUUUAAUGUUCGCUAUGAUAUGUACUAGACCAGACAUUGCACAAGUAGUGGGAGCAGUCAGUCGAUACAUGGCGAAUCCCGGUGGAGAGCAUUGGAUAGUUGUGAAGAGGAUUCUGAGAUACAUCAAAGGAACCUCAGAUGUUGCAUUAUGUUACGUAGGAUCAGAGUUUACUGUCAAGGGCUAUGUGGAUUCAGAUUUUGCAGGAGAUCUUGAUAAAAGAAAAUCCACUACUAGUUAUGUGUUUACACUUGCGGGAGCAGCUGUAAGCUGGGUUUCGAAACUGCAGACUGUUGUGGCUUUAUCUACAAUAGAAGCAUAAUACAUGGCAGCUACACAAGCUUGCGAGGAAGCUAUUUGGAUACAAAGAUUAUUGGAGGAGCUCGGGCACAAACAAGAGAAAAAUUAUGUGUUUUGUGACAGUCAGAGUGUCUUUCACAUUGCAAGAAAUCCAGCCUUUUAUUCCAAGACAAAGCAUAUAGGAGUUCAGUAUCACUUCGUUCGAGAAGUAGUGGAAGAUGGAAAUAUGGAUUUACAGAAAAUCCAUACGAAGGAGAACCUAGCAGAUGUUUUGACUAAGCCGAUAAAUGCUGACAAGUUUAUCUGGAGUAGAUCUUCUUGUGGCCUAGCAGAAACGUAGGCAACAUGAUUAUGGCGAAGCAGAAAGGAUGUUGUGGACAUUGAUUGAUUCUCAAUCUAAUCUCCAGGUGGGAGAAUGUCAAAGUCAUGGGCGGUUUAGCAUCAUUAACAUAUUUCAAAAUGGCCACCCAAAUUGAAGGAAAUUAAAGGCCAAGUAGAUGCCGCCCAAGGAAAGAAACAAAAGAAAAAGAAGAAAAAGAAGAAAGAGAGAAGAAAAAGAGAUGUCAGGUCGAAGAAGGAAAAGAAAAGAAAAAUUAAUAAAAUAAUAAUAAUAAUUAAAUAUUAAAUGAACGGUAGCUAAUUUUGGCUAUAAAACCGCUGGCUCCCUUCAUUUGUAAAUCAUCGAGUUCUUCAGUUCUUUUCUUUAUUUAAAGAGUGAUUUUAAGAGUCUAGUGAUUUGAGAGUUUGGGUGUAUUGGGAUUUUGGGUAGUAAGCUAAAAUACCACAAUACUUGUAAAUCAUUUUCACUAGUAAAAUAUUUUCCUCAUGUUUUCGCCCGUGGACGUAGGCUAAAAGUCGAACCACGUAAUUUCUUGUGUCCAUUUUUUGUGCUUGUUCUUUAUUUUUUUUCCAAUUUCACUUUAUCUGCAUGUCUGCUUCACCCACCAAGUUCCUAACAGAGUAAAGAUUUCAUCAGAGUAAGUAAUACAAAUGAAUUGUAAAAGAACAAGACUUAAGCGUGCACCCCGUGUUUUGUUUUAUUCGUAUAAACAUAACAUGUUCAUUUUUAACAAAGUGGUCAAUAACUCUAUUCGCUAUGAAAAUGAUAUUGUACCCAAUUUUAAGAGAGCAUAACAAUAACCAUUCAAUGCAUAAAUUUAGAAUUUUUUUUUUGUAAUUCUUUAUUUAAAUAUAAACGUCGAUGGAAAAUUAUAAAAAUUUAGAUAUGAAAUUUUAAGUCACCAGACAAAAAAAAAAAAAAAAAAAAGGGGAACAGAAAUAGAGGAAUCUUGCUUUACCUUUUUUUUUUUUUCCUUUAACUCUUGUUCUUAUAUAAAUAAUCUUGUUUUGAUGAUUGUAACUCGUGACUGCGGGAAAUUUUCUAAUGGAAACAACUAAUUUCGGAAGAUAAGCUUAAUUACGCAAGUGAUGAAUUUGUUCAAUUGACUCUGUACUUGAACUAGUUGGAUUGGUUGAUUGAUGAUUGACUAAAUUUGAAUUAAGUUUAAUAGCUAUGAUGUGCUCCUUAAAAGCAAACGUAAAUCUUUUUUAGAUUUGACUGAAUUUGGGAACCUGUUGGAUUGAUUGUUUUUAGAUCAUUAAUAUCGGUUACUACAACGUAAAUAUUUUAUUGUGGUUGAGUCCUAUUCUCAAAUCAGUAGGUUGCCUUAGAAAAAGGGCUUUUCUCACUGAUCUUUUUUUUUUCUUUAAUUCACACGCACUUGAUUAUUGACUUCUUUCAUGAAGAAAUAAACUUGUAAUGACUUAAAGAUUUAAUUUCAAGUUAGAAUCAAUACCAAAAGACGGAGGUUUAACAAAGCCGUUUAGUGUGAUAAAAGUACUUUAAAAAAUGUUGUUCGACCCAAUUAAGUUGAAGAAAUAACAAAGUUUUCAUGGAAUAAAUACCGGUUGUGCUUUAAUGAUUUUGGCAUAGACAUUGCUUGUGUACUGUGAAAUCGAAAUGAAUUACUGUGAAAUUGAAAUGAAUAUUAAGUGACAGCGCGAUGUAUAUGCCUAAUAAAAGAUCAGCAAAAGCUUGGAUGAAUGAUUGAGGACCAAAACUUUUAUAAAAGCAUUUUUGAGAGAAACUAAACACCAAAUUAUCAAAGUAAGAUCAACAGUAUAUGAUUUGAUUUAUACAUAUUCAAAAACAAAAUAAUGAUUAAUAAUAAAGUUUGAUUUUGUAUUGCCAACGAUGCUUUUUUGUUGUUUCAUUUGUUCGACGUGGCCUUAUUUACAAAUUGGUUUAUGUUAACAGAAACAUAAAAUUCACAUCACACAAAAUUCCACGAACAAAUAUUAAGAGAACGUAAUAAUAAUCACUCAAUGCAUAAGGGUAAAUUUAGAAUUACAUAUUCUUUUUUAUUUAAUAAAAUCCCAACGGGAAGUCAUAAAAAUUUAGAUAUAAAAUUUUCAAUCACCAAACAAAAAAACAGGGGGAAUGAAAACACAGAAAACUUAUUUUAACUUUUUUUUCAUCUAACUCUUGUUCUUAUAUAAUAUUUUCCCUAGUAUUUCAGGCAAAAAAAAAAAAUCAAUAGAGAGCAAGUUGCUCAAAUUGAUUUAUCUUGUUUUUCAGGCAAUCUUGUGAUAUGAUGAUAAAGCUCAUGAAUGCUAGAAAACUUCUAAUGCAAACAACUCUAUUUGGGAUGAUAAGCUUAAUUUUACAAGCGAUAAAUAUAAAUAACUUUUUGUGGUUAAUUGAAUUUGUAAUUACUCUUAGCCCUAUUCUAAAAUUUGUAGGCUGCUUCAGAAAAGAAAAAAAAAAAUUCUUACUCAUCUUUAAUCUUCAAGUAAAAAGCAAAUCUAAUAAAAUGAAAAACAAACAAACAAGUAAAAGACAGCAAACAAACAACAUUUAACCAACUGAUAUUUAAACAAGGAAUUCUUUCUUCUUCCUUUUUCUUCCCCCCCCCCCCCCCCCCCCCGGGGCUCAUGGAUUAGAGUUUUUGCUAUUAACUGAAAGGUUUCAAGGGUCUGAAUAAAAUCCCAGACUUUUUUUUUUAAUUAACCAAAGCCAUAUAAUAAGAUCACAGACUUUAACAAUGAACAAUAAUUUGAAACUCAAGCAAAACCAAUGACAAGAUUAAAACAAACCAGAGAAAUUUUUUCUUGGAAAGUAGAUGAAAACUAAGUAAGAACUGCUAUUAAAGGAUAUUAUUAAAGGAUUUAGAACAUGUAUACCUCUUUAUUUAUAUGGGAUCAGAGAGUCGAUGACCUCCUCUAUUCGCUUCGGAUAUUAAGUAAGAACUGCUAUCAAAAGAAUGAAUUGAUGAGAGAAAUAACAGUGAAUUGCAAAAGAGGAAGACUUAAUCACGUACCCCUAUUAUACCCGAUUUUUAAGAUUUAAUUUUGAAGUCCAGAAUCAAGACAAAAGACGAAGCCUUAAAAAAUAUGCAGUGAGAAUAAUUAAGUUGAAGAAAGCACUAGUUUAUGGCUCAGUGUUUCAUAUGCUGUAAUGAAAUAAUUAAGUUGAAGUUUUUAACGAAUAAAUACAUGUUGUGCUAGAAUAAUUUUAGAAGAAUAUUGGCUUAUAGAGCAUAUUAGUAGGGAUAAGAUAGAAUAAAUGAAAUAAUAAAAAGCAUAACUGAUCAAGUCAUUAUUGAUCUUACUUUGAUUAUUACAUUGCACAUUAGUUUCUUUCUAAAAAUGUCAUUCUUCAUUCAAGCUUUUGCUUUAUCUUUUAUCAGGCAUCCUACUGUUGAUGCCCAAAUCUGAUCUAGUCUAUUAGUGACUUAAUAUCAGACUUCUACACUAGCAUUAGAUUUAUUUGGUAGAGAAUCGAUUGGUCAAUUGUCAAGAUGUCCUGCAACCACUAGCGAUUAACCUGCGAAUACCUGAAAUCAUAGAAGACGGUCAGAGGCGCUGGAAGUUUUUCCGGCGUGAACCCUCUAACGCUCAAGUCAGUUUCUGGGCCUUUGCCAAAAAACUUGUGCCACCACUCAUAUGGCUUAAUAAACAUUAACUUAAAAACCAAAAGCUUUUUGAGUAACUUGCAGAAAAAUGAAAUAGAGUGUAAAAGAAAGGAUUUUCCAUGAGAAGAAGAGAGAAAAAGAUGCCUUACAGACCCCGAAAAAAUAAAUAAAUCCUCCUUUUAAGGUCACGCCCCACUCCCCUCUUUUCCCCUUUGUUCUCCUCCACUUACGGAAGUUAAGGAUGAGUAAAAGUAAUGCCUCUACUCUCCAUUUUUUUCUCCUUUUUCCGUUACCAAACACUAGUCCCCCAGUUUCUAGUGUUGAGAGUUUUAACGAAUCAAGACUGGAAACUAUAUGAAUUUUAAAGUGACCUUGAUGUGGUUGGCAUAAAUCGGCUCGGGAUUGCUAAAAUUAACCUUACUAUUUGCAAAAAAUUUCAAGUUUUAAACUUUUACAUGCCUUUAAAUAUACCAUUUUCCUACUUGCAUAAUCAUGUAAAGCAGGUUUCAUAAGUUCACGUAUUUAUCUCACCUAAAGUAGGUUUUGAGACUUAGUCAUUUAUCUGCUUUAGAAUAUUUUUCACUCAUAUAACUCUUGCUCGCCUAAUCUUGGUCGGGCAAGAGCAGGCAAACUUUGACUUCAUCUCACUGCGAGGAGGUUUAAAGACUGUAAGCCUUUUACUUGAAGUACCCUUUGUUUUUUUUUUUUUUAACUUUCUGCUCGCCUUCACAUGGUUGAGCAGAUUCUGGCAAGCUUGAUUUCUUAUCUCGCCAUCGAGCAGACUUUGAGACUUUAAAGUCUUUUGUGUGCCUUAGAAACUUUCUUGGGAUUUUUGUUCUCUGCUCGCCUUUACAUGGUCGAGCAGAUUCUGGCGAGCUUGGCUUCCUGUCUCGCCAUCAAGGAGGCUUUGCGACUUUGGAGCCUUUGCUUGCCUUAGAAACUUUUUUGGAACUUUUGUGGUCUGCUCGCCUUCGCUUAGUCGAGCAGAUCCUGGCAUGCUUGGCUUCCUGUCUUGCCAUAAAAUAGGCUUUGAGACUUUGGAGCCUUUGCUUGCCUUAGAAACUUUUUUGGAAUUCUCAUUUUUUGCUCGCCUUCACAUGGUCGAGCAGAUUCUGGCGAGCUUGGCUUCCUGUCUCGCCAUUGAGGAGGCUUUGAGACUUUGAAGCCUUUGCUUGCCUUAGAAACUUUUUUGGAACUUUUGUGGUCUGCUCGCCUUCGCUUGGUCGAGCAGAUCCUGGCAUGCUUGGCUUCCUGUCUCGCCAUAAAAUAGGCUUUGAGGCUUUGGAGCCUUUGCUUGCCUUAGAAACUUUUUUGGAACUUUUGUGGUCUGCUCGCCUUCGCUUGGUCGAGCAGAUCCUGGUAUGCUUGGCUUCCUGUCUCACCAUAAAACAGGCUUUGAGACUUUGGAGCCUUUGCGUGCCUUAGAAGAUUUUUGAAACUUUUUUGGUCUGCUCGCUUUCGCUUGGUCGAGCAGAUCCUGGCAUGCUUGGCUUCCUGUCUCACCAUAAAACAGGCUUUGAGACUUUGGAGCCUUUGCGUGCCUUAGAAGAUUUUUGAAACUUUUUUGGUCUGCUCGCCUUCGCUUGGUUGAGCAGAUCCUGGCAUGCUUGGCUUCCUGUCUCGCCAUAAAACAGGCUUUGAGACUUUGGAGCCUUUGCGUGCCUUAGAAGAUUUUUGAAACUUUUUUGGUCUGCUCGCCUUCGCUUGGUCGAGCAGAUCCUGGCAUGCUUGCUUCCUGUCUCGCCAUAAAACAGGCUUUGAGACUUUGGAGCCUUUGCGUGCCUUAGAAGAUUUUUGAAACUUUUUUGGUCUGCUCGCCUUCGCUUGGUCGAGCAGAUCCUGGCAUGCUUGCUUCCUGUCUCGCCAUAAAACAGGCUUUGAGACUUUGGAGCCUUUGCGUGCCUUAGAAGAUUUUUGAAACUUUUUUGGUCUGCUCGCCUUCGCUUGGUCGAGUAAAUGUGGCUUCCUGUCUCGCCAUAAAACAAGCUUUGAGACUUUAGAGCCUUUGCGUGAUGAUGGGUGUCGAAGCCAACAAAAAUAAAUUCCUACUCUAAAUAAAUUGUGUAUAGUGAUUGAGCAGGGUCGUGUCCACAGAGAUCGGUAAUUAUUUAAAUCCUUUUGAAACGUAAAAAUAAAAUGGGGGUUUUGUUGACAAUAAUAAAAAUCAAAUUAAAAUAACGAGAAUGCAAAUUAAAGUUGUAAUUCAAAUUGGAGAAAGCUCUGGUUGAAGGAAUUAACUCAGCUUGAUUCGACUACUGAUCAUUGAUUCAAAUAAAGAUUAUUAUUACUUAUGAAUAGACCGGUUAUAGCUAUUGAGACCCUCUAAUAGCCAAUCUCUCCUUAACUAGUCGAUAACCAAGGUACGACCGUUGGAUAUUUCCCUAAUCAAAUAGACAACCCUAGAUACGAUCAUAAGAUUUAAUCAAUUGACAGCCUGAAAAACCAGAGAGACCCAAAUCCUAAUCAACACAUAUGAUGAUUCAUUUAAAUUAGAUUGUUUAUUCUCACAACACAACUCUCUGCUAUGUUAUUUGUCACAAAUAUUAAAUUCUUCAUACGAUGAAUCCUUUAAUUGACAAUAGAUUAAGUUGAUAAUUAAAUAGUGGCCAAUUACCUAAUUAACAAACAUAAUCAUGAAACUAAUUCAGAGAAUAAACAAAUACCCAAAGAGCAAUAAAACAAUUAAAGCACAAGAAAGAUCUCACAGUAGUGAUGAAUCAAAGCUUCAUUAUCCUUCAACCAGAAAAUAAGUUUAGUUCUCCAUAGAGAGAAGAGAAAAAUUAGCUCUAGGGUUUCUUUCUUUUUCUCCAAUCCCAAAAAAUCCCCCUUUUCACAAUAGAUUCCUCCCUUAAAUACUCUCUCUCUCUUCUCUUUUAGAGUUCUAUUUAAAAUAAAAUACUAAUAUUUGAAAUAUUAAAUUCGUAAUAAAAAAAUAGCCAAAAAUACAAAACACGUUAAACUAAAAACUGCAAGUCCGCAGUUGACAGCACGCGCCCACGCCUUAUCAACAAAGUUCUUCUGCCGCUCAUAAUUUCUCCAAGAAAACAAUCAUCCUUAAACAUCAUCUUAUAGCUCAAUUUUAUCACCAAUCAAUAGAAUUGCACCUACAAAAGUAAAACACAAGUAAAUCACUAUUAUUAAAUGCAAAACAUCGAUAUUAAGGGAAGUAAACAAUGCAAAACUAGUGCAUAAAUUGCACUCUAACACGUGCCUUCAAUGUGCUCUUAUUUGAGGUUUUUGCUUUAAAUCCUUACAUAUGGAUAACCAUCAAAAAUUUAAUUUCGGACUUGUAACUUAUAACUUGUCCAGAAAAUAGCUCUCAUUUACAACUUGCGCUUUAGCUAUUUAUAUAUGUUUGGGCCUUUGAUGGAUAAACAUCCUUGGUGUUUUUAUUACCAUCUAUAAUAUUUGGUUAGCAAUAUUAUUAAAGACCUUUGCUAAAGGUGCAGAGCACCAUUUACCAACACUAAAGAUAUUAAAAUUUAUAUAUAAAAUAAAUCAUAUUAUAUAAAAUAUGUAAUCAACAAAUAAAUGGUACCAUAAAAGUUUAAGCAAAGUCAUAUCACUGUAUCAAGGAAAUACGAUCUCAUGCUAACCCAAGUUCCAUCAAUCCUUCGGUCAAGCAUGUUGUGUGCUAAUAUAUGACUAUGCUAUAUAUUCUAUAAUAUGUAAUCUUAACUAUUUUCUAUUAACGACUUAAUAAGUCAAAACCCCAUCCAUCAGAUUUUUGAAGUCAAGUAGUGGAUUUAAAGGAUAAAUAUAAAACUGAGGUAUUAGAACAAGUGCACCUGAGAUUGUGCUCUGCAUUAUUUCAUUAGUACUUCAUCAAACAAAUCUCGAGCUUGACUCUGCUUUGCUCCCUUCUUAGAAUUAUUCUUGCAAUAUUUUAACAUGGGCACAAAACGGAUAAAAUAUGAAGGAAACAAAAAUCCAACUUCAUCAAUUCUUUGAAGCUUGAAGACAUGCCUAUCAAGCAUAUAUGUAGUGUAUGUAGUGUAAUCAGCAACAAACUCACUUUUGAACUUUCAUAUCCCUUGAGGCGAUUUAACGAAUAGCUCCUGAUUUGAAUUUUAACAAUUCGGCCUCAACUUGUAAUGAACCGAGUUUCAUACCAGAAUUGUCUAAAUACUUUCCCUGCAUAUUCUUCACAUGAAAACUAGCAGCAUGAUUGAUUGAUGGGGUGUAAAACCAGCAGGAAAUAUCUUGAAGAAACCACAGAUCCGUGGAUUUUUUAUGCUUACCACCAAAUGAAUUUAACAAUUUGUGUGAUCUUUAUUUUAAGAAAUUGAACAUUGCUAAUACCGCAAAUCGAUUGCUCUUUUGAACAGACUUUAUAUCUUGAGUUCGAUGAAAAGAGAACAAUCAAUCAAGAAAUAUAAAUACAUCAGCAAAAUAAUGAUGGUAGCAGCAUUACACAUCUAAUUAGCCAUAACGAAGCUGAAUAAUUAGCCAUAAUAAAUCUGAAAUGUUAACAUUAUGUCAAGCAUGUUGUUGGAAAAUACUAAAUUAAUUCAUUUGCAAGUAUAAUAGCAUGUAAUCUUGAAUUAUGAAUGAAGCCCAUUCUAACAAGCUAAUUUUGUGAAGGAACAUUAUCAACGAAUUCCAAGGGAUAAUAUUCAAUUUCAGCAAAUAUAUCAUGCACGGUAUUGAAACAUGCAUGUUAUUAAAGAAUUUCCAAGCAUCUCUCAGUUGAUAAAUCAAUCAUCAUAGCAAUUGGAAAUUGAAUUUUAAUGACAAUAUACUUAAAGCAAUAAAUAAGCCAAAACCUUUACAGGUAAGCAUUCCAUCCAGCCUUGAUUGGCUUCCGUGUUUGAGCCAGCUUAUCAAUUUGUGCAUGAUAAUAUUAUGCCUUUGGCUUGGCCGGAUGCAAAAUUGGUAGAGACAAGAAGUUGGCUUUUUGUAUCGAUUCCCCACAGACGGUGCCAAAUGUUGAUGCCCAAAUCUGAUCUAGUCUAUUAGCGACUUAAUAUCAAACUUCUACACCAGCAUUAGAUUUAUUUGGUAGAGAAUCGAUUGGUCAAUCGUCAAGAUGUCCUGCAACCACUAGCGAUUAACUUGCGAAUAUUUAAAAUCAUAGAAGACGGUCAGAGGCGCCGAAAGUUUUUCCGGCGUGAACCCUCCGACGCUCAAGUCAGUUUCUGGGCCUUUGCCAAAAAACUUGUGCUACCACUCAUAUGGCUUAAUAAACAUUACCUUAAAAACCAAAAGUUUUUUGAGUAAUUUGCAGAAAAAUGAAAUAGAGUGUAAAAGAAAGGAUUUUCCAUGAGAGGAAGAGAGAAAAAGAUGCCCUGCAGACCCCGAAAAAAUAAAUAAAUCCUCCUUUUAAGGUCAUGCCCCACUCCCCUCUUUUCCCCUUUGUUCUCCUCCACUUAUUGAAGUUAAGGAUGAGAUAAAAGUAAUGCCUCCACUGUCCAUUUUUUUUCUCCUUUUUCCGUUACCAAACACCUACAAAUCUUAUCCCUACUAAUAUCCUCUAUAAGCCAAUAUUCUUCUAAAAUUAUUAAAUGCCAUUCUUCAUUCAAGCUUUCAUGGACAUUAUUUACAAAUUGUUCUUGUAUUUGACAGAAAAAUGAAAACGCCUCGUCAUACAAAACUGGAUGAACAAAUCUUCUGUUUAAUUGUGAUAAAAUAAUAAAUUCCAUUAACAGAUUCAGCUGUAUGUUAAUGUGAGGGAUUUGAUCAGAUGAUCAUAUAAUUUACUACACGCUUUAAGAAGAACAAGAAUUGAUGACUUAAAAAUUAAAAAAUAAACAAAUAAAGAGUAGAUACAAAGAAUGUUAUUUGCAAUCACCAAACUGAAGAACAUGGGAAUGAUAACAGAGGACGGUUGAUGCAACAUUAUGAAGUCAAAAUUAAGAAAGGCCUUUUUUCCUUUUUUUUUUUUACAUUAUUCUAUUUAAUCUUACAUAAGGCGCACACUACGAAUAUAAAUUAAAUUCAUAAUUAAGAAUAAACGAUAAACCCUAACAAUCAUCUAGCAAGUACCGUGUAGACUGCAUCAAAAAUUUAGAUUUAAAUUUUUACAAUCACCAAAUGGAAAAACAGGGGACUGAAAACAAAGGAGCCCUGUUUCCAGAAACCGGGGAGUUUCCGGGUUUCUGGAAACAAACUCAGAAACGAAUGAACUGGCUGCCGGCGGUACUUUCUAGAUAAAUCGCUUGGUGUAUAUAAGCUUUCAUGGUCUGGUUUUAGUCUGGUUAGGUUCAGCCACUGUGACUGUUAGGGAUUCUCGUAAACUGAAUUUAAAGUUGCGGCUUAAAGUGUUUACCAACUUAAAACCAGAGCUAUAAAGUGUUUGAUGAAUUAUUUUUUAAUUUAAAAAAAAAAAACUGAUUUAGCGGGAUAAAAUAAUGCUCCAUUCCGUUUAGUAUGUGAAGUCCAGAGUAUUACCUACUACUAACUAAAUCCGCUUGAUUCACAAGACUACCAAGAGAUAACUGAAUCUUCAAUGUAAUAAAAUAAUAAUCAGCCUCACAGGAUACAUAAAAAGCUCAUUUAUCACAAUCAUAUCCUAGUGCAUCAUAAAUUUAGAUUAUUUACUUUUACUAUUAGGAAACCUACUUAUAUAAGGCGCAAACCACAAAUUCUAAAUUAAAUACCUAACUAGGAAUAAAAGAUAAACCCUAACAGUCAUACACCAGGUGCCGUGUAGCCUGCAUCAUAAAUUCUGAUUUAAAUAUUUGCAAUCACCGAACAGAAAAACAGGGGAACGAAAACAGAGGAGCCCUAUUUUUCCAUUUUUUUAACCCUUAACUCUUGCUCUUCUAAUUAUAUUUUUCCUUGGAAUUUCAAGUAUGAGAUGAAUUUGGAGAAAGUAAAUAAAUUUGAAUUACGUGAAAAAUUCUAAUUUUUUUAACCCUUAACAGUUGGUAUAUUUUUUUUAGGUCAUAUAUUAAUAAUUUCUUUUAAAAAAAAUUUAUAAUAUCAAUUAAUAUUAUAACCUACAGAUUAAUACAGAUAAAAAUAUGAUUGAUUUAUCUCCACCACCUAAGUCUUAGCCAAAUUUAAUUAAAGAUUAAUUUAAUAAAUUACCGAAAAUAAUAAAGUAAACGAAAAAUAAAGCACGCAAUUAAGUAAUCAUGCUUCUAAAGGGCUAAUUAACCAUAAUAGGCAUAGGUAUUAAUUUGACUUCUAUGAAAGUCCCUUCUAGUUUCUCAAAAUUCAAAAAUUACAAUAAAAAGCCAAAGAAAAAGUCAAUGCUUCUAAAGUAGAAAAGUUUGAGUACUAGAUAGGCUGCCCAAAAUACAUUUUCAUUACUCACAUAUCUCUAUAGAAAGUAAUUUUUUUAAUAAAAACAACCUAUUUGGCUAAUAUUCAGUCGUCUUUUUUGUUGAUGGAAUUAUCCUCUUAACAAUAUUUUAAAAAGUUUACAUGAAUAUUCCUUUUUUUUUAAAAAAAAGAAUUAAUAACGUGUAUUGUUAGGAUAAAAAUGAUCAUCAAUACGUAUGUAUAUAGGCACAAAUAUAUGAAAAAAAAUCAAGUUUAAGUACAAUGUAUAGGUCAAUGCCUAAGAGUCAAGCCUAAAUUAGGGCAACAUAUAACUACAAAAUACAAUUUCGUACACUACAAAAUUUUGAUAUCAGCAGUAGGGGUAUAAAAAAAUCAUUGUUGCCAAAAAUCCAAAAGCUAACUAGAGGUUUGGUUUUGUUUCAAAAAUUAAAAAAACAAGUCAAUUCGUAAAAUCAAAAACAGAAAAAGAAAAACAAAAUAUAGAGGAAUUUACAGUUUAAAAAGAAAAACCAAGCCAAAACGAAAUUGAAUCGAAAGUCGAACCAACUCAGUUCAGUUUGAUUUGAAUUUUAUUUUAUAAAAAAAAAUGAUCGGAACCAACUAAACUGUAUUAUGUUAUAAAUUAUUAUAUAACAUAAAUUUUUGAAUACCUUUGUGACGAGCACAAUUUAAAAUUUUAUGAUUUUAAAUUUUAACAUUAAUGGAGAGUUAAUACUCCACCAUUUUCCAAUUUUUACAAUACAUAUUACUAGUUUAGAUAUGCUGUAUAUUAUUGUUAUAAUUUUUCGAGCAAGAUAAUAUUUGUCAAUUGGUGUUAUGACAUCAAAAUACUUGGUAUUAGUUAGUGCUAAGUGCUUCUUUUUCUUAAAAAAAGCGGUUCCUUAGUUUUAAAACAAAAAUCAUUAUCCUGAAAUUCUCCAUUUGCUUUGUUAACAGAUAUAACAAAAUAAAGUGAUAAAAGUUUAAUUUAUAAAACUUCGGCAUUUAUAUCUAUCAGAUUCAACACUUUAGUGUCAUAGAUUUAUUUCGGUGGAGCACGAUGUGGGUCGGGCCAGGCUUAGAAUUUUAAGCACGAGAGCCUUAAAAAUAUGAUAUGAUUAGAGAUGGACUGAGCACAGCACGAUGAAAAUGCCCACAAUAAGCACAUUAUAUUUUUUUUUUAUUGAAAAUAAACUUAAAAUUUUAUGUUUUAUAAAUAACUUGAAGUUGAAUUUUUUAAAUUCAUUUAAUUCUUAGUUUAAAAAAAUAUUAUAAUUAAUUUAUAUUCAUAAUUUAUUAAAUAAAUAAUUGAUAUCAUGAUUUUAAUGAAUAAAAUUAUAAAUAUCACGAUUUUAUAAAUAUGCAUUAAUAUUAUUGUGAACUAUGAUCUAUGACUCUAUGUAACUCUAAGUUAACAAUUAAGUUAGCCCUUAAGAAAAUAUUAUUAUUAUUGUUGUUGUUGUUGUUGUUGUUGUUGUUGUUGUUGAGUAUUAAAAAAAUUAUAAUACUAAGAGAUCAAACUUAGUAAUUAAUAUUAAAUUUUCUUACUAUUAUUAGUUUAUUAUUAUUGAAUAUAAACUUGAGUUUUGAUUUUUUGAUUCUAUUAAAUUUGAAUAAAAGUAUAGACCUAAGAAAAAUAUAUAGACUUGAAAAAAAUAUGCCAACAGUUUAGUAUGCCCCUUAAAAAAUUUAAAAAAAAAAAGAAAAAAACUUAGUGAGCUUUUUUUCUUAGGCAUGGCACGGCAUGUAUCGGCAUGUGUGCUAGGCCGAACCUAAACAAAAAAAUAAAUAAAUAAAUCUUGACACGACACAACACAAGCAUAAGCACGCAUGGGCCUUACUUACCGCCCGACCCAUUGAGCAUCUCUAACUGUAUCUAUCUCCGCCAUAAUAAAUUAAACAUCGGGUAACUACUAGACUAGGCAUUAGCACAUAAACUAACUAACUAUAGUACCAAAAAGAAUGAUGCGACAUUGUAAAAGAGAUGGGGCAAAGGGCAGAAUGGGAAACGAAUGAACCAAAUAAUAGUAUAUAAUAAUAUGAAUUUGGUAAAAAUAAAAAAUAAAUAAAGUAAAGUGGUGACACGUACCUCCUUUUAUUUCUCGAUCGAGUAGUGCAGAAAGUGGAGUGUGUGUGUGUGUGUUAAUUGUGAAAUGUCAGCCAAUUUUUUCUCUCUCAUUCUGAAACAGCUCAGCAGGAAUGGUGUACACUAGAGACGUCUGUCUGUCAGUCAGAACUGCCAAAAGAGCAAAACGGGUGCACGUACAAAUUAAAGCAGCCAAUCAGCGAUAUAUUUCAGUUACUUAAAGCUAGCACAGAGGGAACAAGCAAUGUGCAGGGCCAAAAGAGAUGAGACCCCUGAACCCGAACCCUCCUGAAUGAUCUGAUCACAUCUGAUUCGAUGUCUCGAGUCAUUAGAUUUAACAUAUUUUAAAAAUAUUUCUCAGUUAAUAUGUGAUUUAAUUAAAGGUCAAGUUUACAUCUGAAACUGAACUUAUUAAAAAUUAAUUUGAAAUAACAUCUAAGCUAUCUAUUUGUUUAUAAUAAAAUUUAAUUGUCAUAUCAGAAUUAUUUUCCGUUAGACUUUACAAUAAGUUAAUCCCAAAUAAAUUGACAAUUUCAAUUUUAAAGUUAGUUUGUAACUUUAAAAUAAUUUUCUAAUAAAAAUUUAAUCUGAAACAUCUGCAAUAAUAUCAAGUAUUUUGAUGUCAUAACACCAAUGUUUCACAUGCACACACAAGUCAUAUAUAAGUUAAUAAAAACAUCAUUUGUUAUUAACAAAAUCAUGUUAAUUUUUAAUUCUUAAAUUAACUCCCUGUUAAAUUUUGGCUAAAUCAUUAUUGCAAUUUAUAAAUUAAUAUUUAUAAAAAAUUAUGAAUCAUCCAAAAAGCUGCUUGAUAUAGAUUAAUUUCAUGGUCAUCAAUUUUUUUUUUAUUUAUACACCUUUAAAUUAUCACUUGUAUCAUAUGAAAAGACUAUAUUACCCCUCUAACAUCAUCAUAUUUAAACGGCAACUAAGCUAUGGUGAACGACAUUAUAUUUUGUCAACUUAAGAUGAAUGACUGAUAUACGCUAAAAGUAUUGUAGUAAAUUUGAUAAUAAAGUAUACAAUUGAUAAUUUUCCUAUUUAUAAUUUAUCCCCUUAAUUAUGAGUAAUUUUGUUUUUGUCUUCAUUUGUCCCUUUCCUACAAAACCAUUACUAAUGUACAAGUUACAUAUAUAAAACAUUCUUCUUUAAUCAAGUUUGGAAUAUUUUCAUCCUUAUGUAAAAUUAUGCAUAUAUCUUUUGAGUUUCUCAAUUGUACUUGAAAAAAAAAAUUACAUUUAAUCACGGUUGGUUAUCCAUAAAAAAUUUUAGGUGGAAAGUUCACGCGUUUUAAAAUUUAAUUGUGGAAUUAUAUUACAUUUAUUAUUUAGUUUCAAUUUAAUCAUGUAUCAAAUUCAUGUUUUAAAACAUGUGGAAAUUUAUAAUAUAUAAUGAUUCUAUGUAAAUAUAUUAUCUCAUUUCUUCAUUCUUUUGUUAUUAGUUCUCCUCCACUGCAUUAGAUAUAUUUUGAAGUUUUCUAAUGUAAAUGUUACUAACAAAUACGCAUUGAAUAAUUAUCGGGUAGUUUAUAUUAUAAUUUAAUAAUAGCCACAACAUAAAUGUACAAUUUGGUGAUAGUAAAUGACAUUACAUGAAAAUGAAAUCAUCAUGUUGCAAACAAGAUGCAACCAAGGGAUUGCAAACAAUGUUAAGUUACUAUUGGGUCACUUGAACUCCUGGGCUCUCUCCUGUGUAAUUUAUAUUAGACUGUCGCGUACAAAACGCAGACAUAUAUAUACAUACAAGUAGUGCUUUGGCAACAGACACAAUAACCAAGAAGCAGCCCUUGUUUUCAAAUUCAUUCAAAUGCCAGCCUGCAGUUUUGAAUCCUUCAAAUGCCAGCCUGCAGUUUUGAAUCCUUCAAAUUGUGCUCCACCUUUUGAGGGGACGAUGAAGAGUGAAAGAAGAGACAAAUGGCAGAAUAUCAUCCAUUGCAAUGCCUCGUUUCUUAUAUUUCCAUGCCCGAACAGCAAAUUCCACCAAUCUUUUUGCUGCCUUUUCCCUAUCCACUACUGAAGAAACAAUCUCCACCGCCUCUUGGUUCGAAAUCACAUCCCAAACCUGAAGAACAAUCCAUAAUUGAUCUUUCAAACAUUGACAUUAGUUCAGAUCAAAAGAUAAUUCCAAUAUGUGGAUACGUACCCCGUCCGAUGCCAGAAUGACAAAUUGGUCUCGUGUUGUUAUGUUUCUUUGCGUUACAUGGAGCACGGAGAUUAGGCCAUAGUCCUUGACACAGUAAUCACCCAAGGCUCUUGAUAUGGCUAGUCCCGGAGUCUCACCAUUCGGCAUCCAGACUCUGUAUACGCCCGGCUCAUCAUUUAAGCAAAACACAAGCCCUUUGGACUGCGUUAUUCGCUCCGCUUCCUCUGUAUAGGCCAGUGAAGACAAGAACCCGUACGCAGACCUUAAAACACACCCAUAUAUACACCUACACGAGGCAGAAAUAUUUAAGAGAAGAUGAGAUAAUUGAGAUCUGAUUGGUAAAAUAUUGUUAAUUAGUAAAAAAUAAUUAAUAUACUUGCUAUUUAAGUAUUUUACUAAUAUUUUAAACAUCGGUAUUCAAUGAUGUUAAUAUGUGAUUUUAAUAUUAAAUUUAUGUUCUCAUUUAUAACAGUAUGGUCAUCAGUAUUCACAACACAUCAUAUAUUAAUGUAUGGGUUUAUUAAUAUUAACAAACAUUUAUUUCCAAAUAAAUAUGGUAGCCUUAGUAUUUAAGAAUAUUCUUUAUUGUCUAGUCGUCUGUCCAAGGAAGAACGGGCCAUCAUCAAAUUUAUCAAGGGCCUUCUCUAAGUAAUCAAAAGCAGGACCUGUGACAAAUUAAAACUUUUUCCGUGAGUUCAGCACAUAUAUAUACAUAUUCAAAAUGCAUUCUAUUAUAAACAAGUAAGCAAGUUUCAAAUCCUACCAGCUUGUUUUGCUGGGUCUCCUUUGAAUGAAGUAUACACAUCGUUGGUGAAGGUAUCGAUGUGGGAAAACAGUUCAUCAGCAAACUUUCGUUUCUCAGGAUCCUACAAUAUUUUCACAACAUUACUUUACUCAAAGUUGAGAGAGAGAGAGAGAGAGAGAGAAGCUUUUAUUAAAAGCAACAAUGUAAUCAGCAAAAUCUUACAUCAGGUAAAAGUGAAGGCCCUUCAAAAUUGCUGUCAACAUAUUUAAUCAAAUCAAGAGAUUCUCCAAUAACUUUGCCAUUGUGCUCCAGUGCUGGAACCUGUAAAGAAGAACUCUAAUAGGUAAAUAUACUUCAUAACUCCAGCAAUGAUCUCUAAUCUUGCACGAAAAUGUAACAAUCAGUUUAACUCUUUCGUUGUGUUUUCUUGCAAGCAAGCAACUUGCUCAAAUCAGAAUAUGUUAAGAUUUUACUAGGCACACAAAGCACAAAGACACCAUUCCAAUUUUAUUCAGGAACUCCUCCGCACAGAUUACAAGCAUUUCAAUUUCAAAGAUGGGGCAUAAGUGUUGGAGAAUUAACAAAUAAAACACACAAAAAACACACUAUUUUAUUUCUUCAACAACACUCCUCACCAAUUACAACUCUUAUCUUUCACUCUCUACACCUUAGAGAUUUUGCUACUUCACUUGAUGAUUAAACCAAAGGGGAGAGGGGGUAUUUAUACAUGAAACAAACUAAUCACAACCAUUCAUUUAUUCAACUAAUACACAAAUCCUCACCAUCCAUUAAAACCUACCACUCACCUACUUCACCAACCACACCUAACACACCUAACACAAAUAAUUCAAACCUCACCAACCAUACCUACUCAUGGAACCUUCCAUGAGUUGGGCUUGAUUUGGAUCAAGUUUAUGAUCCAACACCUCCCCUUAAACUUGAUCCUGUGACACCAAGCAAACUUCUGAAUCUUAUAAAGUCUUCUUGCUUGAGUGGCUUAGUGAAGAUAUCAGCUGUUUGAUCAUGUGAUUUUACAUACUUGAUUUGCACUUCUUUUGUUGCAAUACACUCUCUUAUAAAAUGAUAGCGAGUGUCUAUGUGUUUACUUCGAUCAUGAAAGACUGGAUUCUUGGAUAGGGCAAUUGCUGAUUUGUUAUCAACACAAAUCUCGGUUGGCUCUUCUUGUGCCAAACUCAACUCCUUCAGCAAAUUUCUGAGCCAAAUUGCAUGACAAACACUUGAUGUGGCAGCUACAUAUUCAGCUUCACAGGUGGAUAGCGUGACAAUUGGUUGCUUCUUUGACAUCCAUGUGAAAGCAGUAUCUCCCAUGAAGAACACAAAUCCUGUGGUGCUCUUUCAAUCAUCUACAUCUCCACCCCAAUCGCUAUCGCUAUAUCCAACAAGCUUAUAGUCAUUAGAAAAUGAGUACAGCAAGCUGAAAUUAGUUGUACCUUUGAUGUAGCGAAGGAUUCUUUUUGCAGCUUUAAAAUGGGUGGUCUUUGGAUUCUCCAUGUAUCGGCUCACAAGUCCAACAGCAUAAAGGAUAUCUGGUCUUGUGCAUGUCAAAUAACGUAGGCUUCCAACCAAACUUUUAAAGAAUGUUGGAUCUAUAUCUUCGCCUUCAUCAAGUUUGGAUAACUUGACUCCGCAUUCCACUGGCGUGCUUAUAGGCUUGCAAUAAUUCAUCUUGAUCCUUUUGAGAAUCUCCUUUGCAUAGCUUUCUUGGGAGAUAAAUAUGUCUUCUUCCUUUUGCUUGACUUCAAUGCCGAGGUAAUAUGCCAUCAGUCCGAUGUCAGUCAUCUCGAACUCUUUGAUCAUCACUCUCUUGAACUCUUCAAACAAGCUUGGAUUACUUCCAGUAAAGAUGAGAUCAUCCACACACAGGCACACAAUCAAAAUAUCUCCAUCUUUUUCUUUGACGUAGAGAGCAUGUUCAUAUGGGCAUUUAGUGAAGCCUUUCUCUUGAAAAUACUUGUCAAUUCUGCUAUUCCAUGCCCUUGGUGCUUGCUUUAACCCGUAGAGAGCUUUCUUCAAUCUCAAAACUUUGUCUUCAUGUCCUUUCACCACAUAGCCUAUUGGUUGUUCGAUGUAAACUUCUUCUUCAAGGAAUCCAUUCAAGAAAGCAGACUUCACAUCCAUUUGAAAAAUCUUCCAUUUGUUCUGAGCAGCCAAAGAAAUAAUAAGUCUAAUAGUUUCAAGUCGAGCUACAGGAGCAAAUACCUCGUCAUAGUCUAUGCCAGCCUUUUGACUAUAGCCUUUUGCAACUAGCCUUGCCUUGUGCUUUUCAAUUUCUCCCUUCGCAUUUCUUUUUGUUUUAUACACCCAUUUGACACCGAUCGCCUUGUGACCUUUUGGAAGAGUAGUAAGCUCCCAAGUAUCAUUCUUCACAAUGGCUUUGAUUUCUUCAUCCAUUGCAGUUCUCCACUUCUCAUCUAGUAUAGCUUCUUAGAAGUUGACUGGCUCACAAUCAGCAAAGAGGCAAAAGAGAGUGAGAUUAUCAUGUCUCUCAGUUACCUCAUAGAGAUCUUGAAGACUCCUUGUACGUUCUUCGAUUCUUUCAUUUAAGAAAGACGGCGGUGAAUCUCUGCAUGUGGUUGGUGCUGGUGAGAUAGGUGGAGUAGCAAGCUAUUGUUGUUCGUCUACUUGUUUUAUCUGUGUAUGAUCAUUUUCUUCAAUGGGAAAGAAGUUGAAGUCAUCCACACCAGAGCCAAAAUCCCAUUCUCCUUCUUCAUCAAAAAUUACAUCUCGACUGAUCACGAUCUUCCCGUUGUUUGGAUUGUAAAGCUUGUAUCCUUUGGAGUUGUUGUCGUAGCUGAUGAAGAUGAACUUCUCACUUUUGUCAUCCAGCUUGGCUCUACUUUCGUCUGGUACAUAUACAUGGGCAAUGCUUCCGAAAACUCUUAGAUGGGUGAUGCCGGGUUUUCUUCCACUCCAAGCUUCUUGUGGCGUCUUGCCCCACACGCUUCUUGUUGGAGAUCGAUUGGAUAAGUAGACUGCACAUGCAACUGCUUCAGCCCAAAAUUCUUUAGGUAGCCUCUUACUCUUAAGCAUGCUUCUUGCCAUGUCGAGGAUGGUUCUGUUCUUCCUUUCUGCAACACCAUUUUGUUGGGGGGAUCUUGGAACUGUCAAAGGGCGUCGAAUUCCAUUUGCUUCACAAAACUCUAAAAAUUCUUUGGAAGUGAACUCACCACCUCGAUCAGAUCUCAUGGCUUUAAUCUGGUAUCCACUUUCUUUUUCCACUGCAGCUUUAAACUUCUUGAAAGCUUCAAAGACUUCUGAUUUUUGCUUCAAAAAAUACACCCAAGUUUUUCUUGAAAAAUCAUCUAUGAAGAGAAGGAAGUAGUUACUUUUACCAAGGGAGUUUGGCUUGAAUGGACCGCACACAUCAGUAUGAAUAAGCUCGAGUGGCUUCUGAGCUCUUGAGUUUGACUCCUUUGGAAAGCUCUUUCUGAACUGCUUGCCAAGUAAACAUCCUUCACAAAGUUGAUCAGGGUGAUUGAUGUAUGGUAAGCCUUUCACCAUGUUCUUCUUAGAUAGUAGCUCCAGUCCUCCAAAGUUGAGAUGCCCAUAUCGAAGAUGCCAAGUCCAGGAUUGAUCUUUGUGACAGGCUUUGAGACAUUUUGCAACAUCAUUUUGAAUAUUUAAUGGAAACAUUCUAUUCUUUGACAUUUUCACCUUUGUAAUUAGAUUUCCUUUAUCAUCUCUUAGGAAAAGACUAUAAUCUUUUAAGUGAAUAUCAUAGCCUUUUUCAAAAAGUUGACCCAAACUAAGAAUGUUGCUUUUCAUAUUGGGCACAUAGUAAACAUUCGAAAUUAUUUGGUGACUACCAUCUUUUGCACGAAAAAGAAUGUUACCUCUACCCUUCACUGGUACUUUUGAAUCAUCUCCAAAAGCAACACUGCCAUUCACAGAUUCACUUAGCUGCACGAACAUGCUUUUGUUCCCACUCAUAUGAUUGCUAGCACCUGUGUCAAGAUACCAUGUAUUUUCUUGACCCCCACUUGUGUCAUUGCGUGCUAGUAAAAGUGUGCCAUCUUCACCAUUUUUCUCUUCAGCAUAGUUCACUCUCUCCUCAAUUCUAGUGCUUGGAGCUCUGCAUUCUGAAGCAUAAUGCCCAAACUUUUGACAAUUAUAGCACUGUACUUGAGAUUUGUCAUACCCUCGAUCUUGGAUUGCCUCUGCCUCGUCCUCUGCUUGAGCUUUCUCCUUUUGGCCAUAAUUGGAGUUGUUAUUGAAAUUCCCAACCCUCGUCCAUGACCCACGACCUCUACCUCGUCCCUCGACCUCUACCUCGGACAUAGUGUCUUCUCUCGUUGUCGGAGCUUUCUUCUCUUUUCUUUGGAUUGACUUCCAUCUUGAGAAGUUGUUCUUCGAUUCCCUGCUUCUUUUUUUGUUUCUCUUCAUAGGCUUGUAACCUUCCUUAAAGUUGCUCGAUCGUCAUAUCUUCCACGAACCUUCUUUACUUGCUCCGCUCCUUUGUAAGAGGUCUCUAGUUUCUCCCAUGCUUCUUUUGAGGAGGUUGUACCAGCAAUCUUUUCAAAAGCAUCUUCAUCUAAUGAUUGAAAGAUGAGAUACUUUGCUUUAUUCUCUUUCUUCUUCAAGUCUUUUAAAUUCUCCUUCUGCGCCGCAGUUAAAGUGGCUUCAUUUUCUGGCACAAUAAAGCCUUUCUCCACGACAUCCCAUACGUCAUGUGCACCCAAUAGAGCUUUCAUUUUAAUACUCCAAUUGUCAAACUUACUUCCCUUUAAUUGUGGAACUUAAAAUGACAUCAUACCAUUGUUUGCCAUAACUCACAAAUUGAGUGAAAAUUUGGAGAUUCUGAAAGCACAGAUGGAUCCGGCACGUCGAAAAACCUUGGGAAGGACUCGAGUCAACUUUCAGUCAACGGUCAACGUCGGUCAACGGUCAACACCGGCUUGGUAGUCUUGGUUUGGUCCGGAUUGGUUCAGCUCCAGUUGGCUCGGUUCGACUCGGCUCGGUUCAGCUCGGCUCGGCUUGGUUCAGUUCGGCUCAGCUUGGUUCAACUCGGUGAGUCGACUCAGCUUCAGGACAGAAAACUUCCGAUGGCAAGUGUGGGUGCGUUCGGUCUCGGAUCGGGAUGAUUUUUGCGGCGUCACGUUCCUCUCGUCAAGAUCUUCGAUUUGAUAUGCUAUAUGACUAUAUAUAGCAUCAAACACUAGCUCUGAUACCACUUUGUUGGAGAAUUAACAAAUAAAACACACAAAAAACACACUAUUUUAUUUCUUCAACAACACUCCUCACCAAUUACAACUCUUAUCUUUCACUCUCUACACCUUAGAGAUUUUGCUACUUCACUUGAUGAUUAAACCAAAGGGGAGAGGGGGUAUUUAUACAUGAAACAAACUAAUCACAACCAUUCAUUUAUUCAACUAAUACACAAAUCCUCACCAUCCAUUAAAACCUACCACUCACCUACUUCACCAACCACACCUAACACACCUAACACAAAUAAUUCAAACCUCACCAACCAUACCUACUCAUGGAACCUUCCAUGAGUUGGGCUUGAUUUGGAUCAAGUUUAUGAUCCAACAAUAAGGACACAGAGUCACAUAAUUAGGCUAUUUGGUAUUGAGGUGCUGUAGUUUUUUUAGCUACAGCUGCCACGGACCCAAAAAAAAAAAACUGUAACUAUAAAAUAAAAGUUAAAAAUGCGUAAUAAAUAUGAAUUUUAAAUUAAGAUUUUGACAAAAAUAGUAGAAAUAUUAUAAUUUUACAAAACACUUUUAACUCUAUACCUUUUAAUCCACGGCCGCCCUACCUCAAUACCNNNNNNNNNNNNNNNNNNNNNNNNNNNNNNNNNNNNNNNNNNNNNNNNNNNNNNNNNNNNNNNNNNNNNNNNNNNNNNNNNNNNNNNNNNNNNNNNNNNNNNNNNNNNNNNNNNNNNNNNNNNNNNNNNNNNNNNNNNNNNNNNNNNNNNNNNNNNNNNNNNNNNNNNNNNNNNNNNNNNNNNNNNNNNNNNNNNNNNNNNNNNNNNNNNNNNNNNNNNNNNNNNNNNNNNNNNNNNNNNNNNNNNNNNNNNNNNNNNNNNNNNNNNNNNNNNNNNNNNNNNNNNNNNNNNNNNNNNNNNNNNNNNNNNNNNNNNNNNNNNNNNNNNNNNNNNNNNNNNNNNNNNNNNNNNNNNNNNNNNNNNNNNNNNNNNNNNNNNNNNNNNNNNNNNNNNNNNNNNNNNNNNNNNNNNNNNNNNNNNNNNNNNNNNNNNNNNNNNNNNNNNNNNNNNNNNNNNNNNNNNNNNNNNNNNNNNNNNNNNNNNNNNNNNNNNNNNNNNNNNNNNNNNNNNNNNNNNNNNNNNNNNNNNNNNNNNNNNNNNNNNNNNNNNNNNNNNNNNNNNNNNNNNNNNNNNNNNNNNNNNNNNNNNNNNNNNNNNNNNNNNNNNNNNNNNNNNNNNNNNNNNNNNNNNNNNNNNNNNNNNNNNNNNNNNNNNNNNNNNNNNNNNNNNNNNNNNNNNNNNNNNNNNNNNNNNNNNNNNNNNNNNNNNNNNNNNNNNNNNNNNNNCUGGAAAGAGCUCAAGCUAAUUAAUUGAUUUUUAUCUUUUGGAUGCACUUAAUUGUAAUUAACCGGAUCAAAUUUUGAAACCAAAAUAAUUCACGGGGCAUUCUAGCUUCUAGCUAAUUCAUCCAAAAAAAUAUAAAAUUAUAUAAAAAUAAUAAAAAUACGUGUGAUGUCAGCUUGAUGCGUACAUUCAAAGUUCCAAUUGAAAACAAAUAGAUAUUCAUUUUUCUUGUCAAAUUAUUGAAAGAGACAUCUCUUAAUUUCUUCCAUCACCAGCAACGGUUGAGUGACCUUGUCUUACAUUGUGCAGCAGCCUCCUCGAAGUUAAAAAAAAAAAAAAAAAAUAGCCCAUUAUCUUGGCUUUUGGCUGGAUCCAAAUUUUUGUUAAAUACAAAUAAAUAUAAUAUCAACUUAAAUAUUCCAAUAAACCUUCUAAUAUCUUCUUUGAACAGUUUUAUUUUUAUUUUAUGAGGAGGGAAGAGUAAACCAUUAAAACUAUAAUUCAUCAUAAAUUUAUUGUACCAAUUUUUUUUUUAAAUCCAUAAUUUUGUGAAAUAUAAAUUUUAAGAAUUGAAAAAUAUCAUUAUAGCUUUCAUAUCCAAAGUUAAUUUUGAUAUUUUUGUACAAUUACAUAAUCUUCAAAUGUGGAUAAUGUAAAAGAUGAAAAUUGUCAAAUUAUUAGAUAAUUGUUUUUACAAAAUUUUAACGAUCAGAAAAAUCUUAAUUUAUAUGUCUUAGUUUAAAGAAUUGGUAUUAUCAAAUGUUACUUAAAUGUAAAUAUAAUAUAAAUAUUUUGUGUAUUUAUAUGUUACGUUUAUGAUUUGAUCACUGUUUAUCUAAAUUUUAAUAAAAUCAGACAUAUUUAUGUAAUUUACUCAUAAAAAAAUAAUCCAUGAUUUAAUUUGCAAUGAUCAAAUUGUUGUAUUUUGUCAUAUCAAAAUACAUAUUUUUGUACAAUUACCCAUAAAGUUUAUGCUACAAUCAAGCUAUUUAUAAUAUAAGUGUGAUUUUUGAAUUUAAUAUUGAUAUUAGUAUUAAAUAUGAUAAUAGAAAAAUAUUUUAUUAGAUAUUAAUUGGGUCAUUUGUGUUAUUGUUUUUAAAAAUUAAUGACCUGCAACAUUAAUUGUCAAUAAUGGGUUUUUUUAAAACAUGCUGGUGCCCGGAUGUAAAUGCCGGUACCUCCCAAGUCAGUAGCCUUAUUAUAACAGUGUAUUCCCGUCAGCAUAUUGGCCUGCCCCUGUACCAUUACUCCAAUUGAUGCUGAAAAUAUAACAACAUCAGUGACCGCGUUGUCGUUUCCCGUGAUGUUUAUUCCGAUGCCGGAGAAAUCCUUUUCGCGAUCAUCCCCGCCGAUGUUGAUGUGUUGGCCGAUGAAGGAAUUUCUUAUAUACGUUUCGUGGCCAUCUUGGAUGGAAAUGCCAGCGGUAGUGAAAUGCGAAAUGUAACAAUUGUCCACUGUGGUUCUUAUUGAAUUUAUAAUGGCAAUGCCGCCACCCCUAAAAUUGGAGUCCAACAUAAGCUCCUUCAAAGUAAUGUAUUCGUAUAAUGACGAUGAUGAUGACGAUCUUAACUCUAUGAGAUGUCCGUUGCCCGAAAAAUCAUCCGAUGCUCGGAGGGACCCACCGUGUACCUAUGUAUACAUAUAUAGAUGUUAAAAGUAAGAAUUAAAGUAAGAAUUAAAUUUUAAAUUAAUAUGUGAUUUGGUAUGAUUCCUAGUUACAAAAUUUUGGCAUUUUGUAUUCGGUUUUGUAGUCCUUCAUAAGACUGGCAAAAAUCAUUAUCAAUUAAACAUUAUGUUGUUAUAUUUUUUUAAUGAUCUUUAUUUUAUUUGCUUUAAACAAUAUCUAUUUUUCAAAAACAAUACUUUUGACAAGCAAACCCUAAAGUGGGAUUGAAGCAGAGAUGAAAGAGAAAGCAUGCAUUUUGCACAUGUUUAUAAAAACAAGAGAGUAUAUUUAAUCUCAAUCUGUAAUUCUGUAUAAUGUAUUAUUCUUAAGUUUGAAUCAAAUUAUUCUUGAUUCCAUCUGCCAAUCCAUCUCGGGCCAUUGAAUUAUGCAUAGCUAUUAUGGUAAUGGUCUCUUUAUUCUCCUCACAAUCAAUUAAUUGUGAUGACCAUACUGUUCUCACGAUUCUCAACCGCAAAAAAUUUAAAUAUUGUAUUGUACAUUUUUAUAAACAAAUUUUAUGUCAUCUCCAUUAUUGUGGAAUUUUAAUAUCCUAAUACAAUAUUAUGAUAGUAAUUGGGUCAAUAUGGGUAUUGGGUCAUAUUAUCGUUAUAAAUAUUAAUUUAUUAUAACUGAGUGUGUAAAGUAUCUUUUUUUAUUGUUGUACCAUAUUUAACUUUUGGCUGCAAAUAUAUAUAUACUUAGCAUUAUUUAUAUCAAUAAGUUAAUAUAUAUAUCCUUUUCUUUAGCAUCAAAUUUAAGUUUUUAAAAAGUUAUGAUAAUUCACUAAUUUGGUAUUUAGGAAAUUAAAUCCAUAUCAAUUUAUUAGAUAUCUUAAACCGUAUGUAAAAAUAGAAUAUUGACCAUUAUUCUAUUAGUAAUAUAUCCAUUAAAGAUUUUGACGUGCUAUGGUCUAAAAAAAUUAACUUGGCGGGAUGUUAUGAUUAUAUUCAAGGUGAUAGGCAAGAAAGUUAUGAGGAGACCCCAUUGAAGCCUAUAUAUUAUAGUAUGCAUAAAGACUCAAAAAGUGCACUUGAAAUAACAGUUGUCACUGACAGGUUAAGAUAAGCUACCAAAUUGGCACUUAAAGGAAGAAAUUCUAGUAUUAGUGUCAUAUUUUAUGCCAUAUUAUGUAAUGCAUAUUAGUAAUGAUUUCUUCAUAAUAUCGCAUAUAUAUAAAAGUUCAUCCUAGCUAGAUGCAUUGUAGAUUUUGUAAGAAUUAUUUUACUCUGUCCAAAUGAGUUCACAUUAUUAUCCAAUUUUCCUUUUUUUAAGUUGAUUUAUGAAAGAAAAAAAAAAAUGACACCAAUGUUUUCCACGUCGCCGCAAGUCUCAUCGAUAAAAGUCCAUCUACAAAUUAGUUCAUAAUUCUUUUUGUAACUUCGCUAAAAGCUAGUCAAGUCAUUGCUAGCAAGCCUCAAAAGCACGAAGUACGCGAAUCACGGCGAUAACUGAUAAUAACUUGGUUGUCCGGUUUCGCAUACUAAUUAGCUUGAUUGAAAAUCGUGAAGUAUGGGGCACGACUAACGCAACGCAUACGUCUCAUGCAUUAGGCAAAUAUUGUACGCGACCCAUGUUGAGAGCACAAAUCCACUAUCUACAAGUACUAUAUAUAGAGCUGCAAUGCGUGCUUCAAGUAUUCACAACUUACCCCCAGCUGGCUAGCUAGCCUCUAUAAUUUGAAGGGAAAAAAAAAAAAAAAAAACCUUGUUCAACUUGCAAAUACCUACCAAUUAUUAUGGAGAAAAGCUUUGAUAUCAUUGCCCUGUCUAUGAUCAUUCUGGUGACUUAUUCAUCUAAAAUGGUGUCGGUCGCCGGCCGGUCGCUGCAUGAACCAUCCAUUGUUGAGAAGCAUGAAAAAUGGAUGGCUGAGCAUGGGCGCACUUACAAGGACGACCUGGAGAAGGAAAAGCGGUUUAAGAUAUUCAAAGAAAACCUUGAAUACAUUGAGAAAGCCAAUGAGGAGGCGAAUCGGACGUACAAGUUAGGCACCAAUGAAUUUUCAGACUUAACUAAUGAGGAGUUUCGUGCUUCAUAUACAGGAUACAGGGUGCCAAGCCAGUCAUCUUCAUCACGGCAAUCCACAACAGCAUCCUUCAAGUAUCAAAACCUGACUGACGUUCCAACUAGCAUGGACUGGAGAGAGAAAGGAGCUGUCACUCCUAUUAAGAACCAAGGUCAAUGUGGUAAGUAAAUCGUAUACUAAAUAUUUAUGAAGUAACUAUAAUAGAUUAUUUAGCCUCCAACCUCUUUCAGAACUCAAACUCAGUUGACCAUCAGCUAAUUAAUAAAAACAGCUUGACAACCGUCUGCCAAACCCCUGCUGGGGCAUGUUUCAUGUAACUUAAUCAAGCCUUUUUUUUUUUUUUUUCCCUUAAUAUGUACGAUGCAGGAGACUGUUGGGCAUUUUCAACUGUGGCGGCGGUGGAAGGGGUGACUGAGAUUAGUAGUGGUAAUCUUAUUCCACUUUCGGAGCAGCAAAUACUAGACUGCUCAAUAGAUGGUAACCGUGGAUGCGGUGGCGGUUGGAUGGACAAUGCCUUUAAAUAUAUUAUAAAAAACCAGGGUAUUGCCUCAGAAGCGGAUUAUCCAUACAAGGAAGUCCAAGGGACUUGUGAAGACGCACAGGUCAAGGCAGCUGCUAAAAUUAGUAACUUUGAAGAUGUAAAACCCAAUGAUGAGCAGGCUUUACUCCAAGCUGUAGCCAUGCAGCCAGUAUCAAUUUGCAUUGAAGGAAGUGGACCAGACUUCCAGAGUUACAAAGGCGGUAUUUUUAACGGAGGAUGUGGAACUCAGUGUUCUCAUGCUGUUGCUAUCGUUGGAUAUGGGGCAACUGAAGAUGGAAUGAAGUAUUGGUUAAUUAAGAAUUCAUGGGGGGAGAGCUGGGGUGAGGCCGGCUACAUGAGGAUUCUCAGAGAUGUUGAAGCACCUGAAGGUCUCUGUGGCAUUGCCACUAAACCUUCCUACCCAGUUGCAUGAGUAGCAGUAUUUUAUAUUAUAAUAUUAUUAGCCGCCUCUUAGUAAUGAUGUCUUCAAGCCUACACAUGCAUUAGCCUCGAAAGGCUUAUACGAACCGUAUGAAUCGUAUGAUUCUGUGGUUUUACCUAUGUUGAGUAUUUCAUAAGUUGUAAUUGAACGCCAAUAUUUGGUAUUAGUUAAUGUUAAAUCUCUCGUUUAAAUAUAAGUUUGAUCUUUGCAGUAAUUAGUCAUUUACAUUUAAUGUCACGGAUACUCAAUUCGACCAAGAAAUACAUAGUUUAUAUCUUAGUUACUCUGAUAUUUUAUGUGGCAUGUUAUAUGUAGUUCAUUGAUCAAGUUGUAAGAAUAGUAUGUAAAUAAUUAAUAAUAAAUUUAUUUAUUAUCAUUUAUGAGACAAUAAAUGAUUAGUGGAACAUUAAUUAAAAUACAAACUAUUAUUAUUUAUUUAAGAAAUAUAUAUUGGUCAAUGAAAUUAAUGCAAGACAAAAAGUAACUGAAUUUUGAUUACACGCUUGAUGUCUGGAAGUACAAUGAUUAUGAAUUUGUGUUUAAUUAGGUCAAAGUUUUAAGUUAAAAUAAUCAAACCUAUAUACUCACACUAACUUUUAAAGUUUGAGUGGAAUUUGCCCGCUUUAAUUGGGGUCUCAUACAGCAAAAAAUUUUUGGCCAUCUUGAAUUUCUUUUUCUAUUUACUUAUAAAAAUUUAAAGGCUUGGUAAUUUCCCUCCCCCAAAUUCUGUCUUUAUUCCUAAGUAAAUUAGUUAGUCAUUAUUUCAAUAAUUAAAAUUAUUCUAAGUUCUAAAUUUUGGGCGUGGAGGGAAAGUUAAGCGCAAGUAGCCGUGACUGAUUAAUAUUAAACAAUAUAAUUUAAUGCAUUUUUUUCUUCAUCUAUUUUUUUAAUAUUAGUUUUUGAACAAAAUAGUAGAACGAUAGUUAGAAUUUAUUAAUCAAAUUUUUUUACUUUCAUAUCCAUAUUAUAUUGUCAAUAAUAGUGUCAUGUAAUUAUAAUUAAAAGUAUUUGCAAAUAAUUUUGAAAGUCGACCGCCUCAUCAAAAACUCAGGAUGGCCGAGUGGUCUAAGGCGCCAGACUCAAGUCUGGUCUUCGAAAGAGGGCGUGGGUUCAAAUCCCACUUCUGACAAUGUAAUUUUUUAUUUUUUAUUCAUUUUUUUACAACGUUACGACUAAACGACGUCAUUUUCAUUAAACGGCAAGUCGUUUCAGUCGUCUUCUUUAACGGAAUAAAAAAUAUCUAAACCGAAGACCAAUGUUUCCAAACCCGCUAUAAACCCUACAGAUAACCCUCAUUGCCACUCGCAUCACUGAGUUCUUAACCUGAGUUAAAAUGGCCGAGUCCGCAUCCGAACUCAGUGAGUUCCGGAUUUUUCCGGCGGACUCACCGCCACCACAACCGAAUUCAACCGGAGUUCCGGUUCAUAAUCUAACACCAGAGGAGCUCGUGGCCAAAGCCAUAGCUCCAGUUAAGAAACAGUUUCUUCGUCAUUAAAUUCCAAAAUAAAUUUUAACAUAAUAAUUAAUUCUUUUAAUAGAUAAAAUUUUCUAUAUGCACGAUUGAAUUCAGCCCCAAAAUGUUAAUUAAAAAACAAUUAUCCAAUAUUCAAGAUAGUUUGAAUCGUCAUUCUCAUAUCGUUAUAAUGUCAUGAAAUAAUUGUACAAAAACAAAUGACCAAUAAAUUCACAAACGUAUAAUAUUGCCUAAUGUAAAUAACUUAUUAAUUAAUAUUGAUAUAUUAUUAAUUACUUAAUGUUUUACCUUUUUAUAAAACAUAAAAUUAUGUUUACUUCCAUUCAAGAUAUCCCAAAAAAAUUAAUCUUUUUGGAUGAUUCAUAAUUUUCAAGAGGAUGUUUUUACACCAUACCAUCGUCAAAUUGAUAAGGGCCAUGUUAUUUUUUAUUUAAUUGAUUUAAAUUUCAACUAGAGAGCUAUUGGAAUCGAUCACUGUAAAAGUUAAGUUGUGAUGUAAUCACACAAUCUUGAGAUCUGCUAUUAGAAAAAUAAUUGAAGAACCAAAUCCCAAUGAAAAUACAUCCAAAAUGAUGUCGUUUUGAAUUUGUUCCCAAAAAAAAAAAAAAAUUAAACUCACUAAAAAACAACAUGUGUGUUUUUGUUAACCUUUUAUCGAAUUGUAAUUUAAAUAUUUAUCAUGUACUUUUAUAUUCUAUUCAGGGCUGGCUCAACCAUAUUUGAGGCCUUAGGCAAAUGGUUUUAAUUAGUUUUUCUUAAAAUUUAGGACAAAAAAUAUGUUUAUUAGUUAUGAGUGAUGAUACAGCCACAAACUCUUGUACAAACUGACGUGGUAUUAAUUCAUUGGUUGAAUGAAAAUAUAAAAUAAUAAAAACAAAUCACGUGAGCCAAGUGAUAUUUAAUUCAACCAAUCUUAUCAUGCCACAUCAGUUUGUACAAGAGUUUGUGGUUAUAUCAUUACUCAUUAGUUAUAUAAUAUUUAUUGAAAAUCAAUUCUUUAAACACUCUCUAAAAUGUAAAAUUAUUAAAUAAAAUUAUAUUACACUAUUGUCAAUCCUUGAAAUUUUAAUUCAAUUAUAAUAUUUUUACUUUUUUUUUUAACUCAAAUUACAUCUUUUAUACUACUUCUUUUCUACAUUAAAUUAAUUUUUUUAUUCUUCUAUUUUCUAAAGUUUUUUGAUAUAGUUAUUUAUUUCACAAUAGAAAAAAAAAAGCACACAAAAAAUAGUAGAUGAAUAAAAGAAUGUAUUAAAAAGAAAUAAGAACACAUAAAUAAUACGAUUAAUUAAGAGAAUAAUAAAAAAUAAAAUCUGAAAUUUGAAAUUUGAGAUGAAAUCAUAAAUUAACUUUAUCUUUAUAUUAAUUAUUUGAAGAUUUGAGUAAUGACUAAUAGCCAUAGAGAAUAGAAAAAAACUAUUAGAUUUUUUCUUUUUUUUCUUGAGUGGAAAGUAGAGGAAGCAAGAUUUUUUUUCCCCUCUCUCUCUUUCUUGCUCUCAAAAACGAAGAACAUAUGCUGUCUUCAUUGUUAGAAGAAAAAUUUAAUGGAUAAGUAAUAAAAUGUGGGGCUUUUAUAGAGGUUUAAAAUGAAUAUAAAACUUUUAUAUAAGUUGUUAAUUCUAACAAUGAAAUAACGAAUUUAUAGGAUUGAAACUAUUAAUUUAUCGGUUUUGUAGGAAUUAAAACUACUAAGUACUACAUUAAAUAAACUUUAUAGGAACUCGGUAGUUUAUUUGAGAAAAGAUAAUUACAAAAUAAUAAUAAAUUAGAUGCAUGAUAAUGACUUUUAAAUUCACUUUCCUCUUUUAUAUACAAAAUAAUCAUCUUAUAGGAUUUUCUUGUAAAGUAGGGCUCUAAGCAACCGCCUAAGUUGUCUAGAGAUCGAACUGCUACUGAUUCUAUUACUAAUUUUGAAAUUUUCAGACAUAUUUAAGCUCCACUAUUUUAUUUUUUUAAUCAAAAUAGUAUGUUUAUUAAUAAUGAUUAUAAAAAAAAGAUAAUGAUUCAAUAAUGUUGUUUAUAUAUAUUGAAUCAACUUUAAAAGUCAACAUUUACUUUACACACUCGUAUAAAUGCUAAAAUAACCCUUUAUUUAUGUAUUUUUUAAGGCUGUAGAAUGUAUUCAUUACAAAGAUACAGUACAUUUAAUUUGUGGUAUUCAAAAUUUGAUGAUUACCAUUUUUGAGUUGAUGGUCUUAUGCUUCAUAUUUGCAUUAAUUUUAUGUUUAAUAGUAUGACAGUGAUUUCAUGUAAAGUUUUAUUUCCUAAUUACAAUUUUAAAUUAAUGUUCCUAAAUUUCAUAUUAUCAUUAGUUUCAUAUAUCUUUUAUGUUCAAUAUUAAUGAUUUCAUGUAAUACUCCAAUGAAUUCUAGCUUAAUUAUUACAAUUGUAAGUAGAUGAUCAUAUUAUUUUAUGCUUAAUUUUAUAAUUAAAUUAACGAAUGAAACUGUUGCUACCUUUUCAUAAUUAUUUAUUUUCCAGGAAUCAUUUUUUAGCACUUCUCAAUGUCAUUAUUUGAAAAUUAAAUGAGGGGUUGGGUUUGUAUUCAUUACAUCGGAUGAUUUAUAUUUAAAUAAAUUAUUUCAAUCUCAUAUCGUUAUAUUAUGGGUGAUUUUAUAUCCACAUUUAAAUUUUUAAAGUUGUUAUCUUAACUUUUUAAAAUCAGAGUUGUGUUUAUUUAUCAAUUUAAAACGUCAAUAAUCUACUAUUGGCGUAACAAUUGAUAUUCUCAUUUUGGAAUCAUCAAGAAUCUUAAAAUUUUCAAAGCCACCAUGCUCAAUUUAUACACGAAAAAGAGGAGGGGGGGGGGGGGGGGUAAGAUGCAUGAUCAGAAAUGAAUUUGGCAAGUAUUUGAUUGAGUUGAGAGGUCACUAAUCUCACUUAAUUUGCGAAUCACAAUAUGAUUGUUUUCAAUCGGCACCAAAACGAAGGGCUGGUUUUGGUUAUUAUAGUGCCUUGUUCUAUGAAGGAUUUUGGUUACCCACAUAUGGGAUUGAUCUUUGCUUCUACUCAGUAUAAAUUCUUGAAUUAUACUAUAUAUAUAAAAAAAUAAAAAUUAUAGAACAUGCUAUAAGCGUAUAAAUUGAGACUUUCGUUAAAUUUUAAUUUAUAAUAUUUUUCCGGAGAAAAGUAAUUAGCAUGAAACACAACAGCGGUGAAUCAUCUCAUUUUUCAAGAAAUAAUAUUUGUCAGAGCUUUUUUUUUUAUAUUAGUUUAUAAUUAACUUUAAUAUGUAAUAAUAUAGCAUAUUCUGGGAAACCUGUUGGGAUAAUUGUUUUUAAUAUUAUUAUGAUAUUACACAUGAUUGGCAGUCGCAACUCAUCAUCAUCAUCUGAAACCAUAUUAACAAACAUUUAUUUAACAAUAUUCUUUAUGUAAACAGGAUUACCCUAAACCCAAUUAAUAUCUGCAGGGAUCAGACGACUGUUAGAACAUAUGUUAAAUUUGUAUAAUAUAUGAUUUAAAAAUUUAAAAAAUAAAUUUUUCUUUUUUGGAGAUAACAGUUGGUAUAUUUAGGAUUAGUAAAACUAAAUGUUUUAUUUUUAUUCUAUGUGCUCCAUCAUGGCAGUAGUUAUUUUUUUGCGAUUAAACAUACUAUUUUGAUUUAAAUGGAUUACAAAAUGGCACAUUUUUUUAACCCUUAACAGUUGGUAUAUUUUUUUUUAACCCUUAACAGUUGGUAUAUAUUUUUUAAUAAGAUUAUUAAUGCAUCAAGUAAUCUUGUUUUGAUGAUUGUAACUCGUGACUGCGGGAAAAUUUCUAAUGGAAACAACUCAAUUUCGGAAGAAAACUUGAUUUUGCAAGUGAUGAAUUUGAACUCGUUGGAUUGGUUGAUUUAUGAUUGACUGAAUUUCACUUUUCCUCAUAAGAUCUUUAACCAAAGUUUAAUAGCUAUCAUGUACUCCUUAAAAGCAAUUUUUUUUUUUAGAUUUGACUGAAUUUGAACUUGUUGGAUUGGUUGCUUUUAGAUUAUUAAUAUGAGAUAUUACAACGUAAAUAUUUUCAUGUGGUUGAGCCCUAUUCUAAAAUCUGUAUAGUUAGCUUUAGAAAAAGGGCUUUUCCUGCUGAUCUGUAAUCUUGAAAUAAACUUAGAUACAAAUAAUGAAAUAAAGGACAACAAACAAGCAAUACUGAUACAAAGCCAACAGAUCAGAGUUUUUGGUACAAAUCCAAUAAAAGACAAUAAACUUAGGACCUUUUUUUCUUGCUUUCUUUUGUUGAAGGAUUAGAGUUUUUGGUAUUAUCAGUAAAGGUUUCAAGGAGUAAAAGCCUAUAAACUUUUUUUUUGGGGGAGCGCCGCCGGGGGGGGCGGGGGAGAGCAUGCAAAUUAACCAAAAGAAAUAAUAAGAGCACAGGCUUUAACAAUGAAUACUGACUUAAAACUCAUGCAAAAUAAGUUACAAUACUAAAACAAACCAGAGAAAUUUUUUUCUUGGAAAGUAGAUGGAACUUAUGAAAGAGCAGAUGUCAAGGAUUUAGAAAACGUGCACCUCUUUAAUUACCUGGGAUUAGAGAGUUGGUGAGCUUCUCUAUUUAAGAACAAGUUGAAAGAGGAAAAAGAUCACUGGUAACUGCUGAGGAAUGUGUGAGAAAAGAGUUGAUGAGAGCAAUAACAAUGACCUGCAAAAGAAACAGAAUUAGUCAUUCACCGCUUUUCUAUAUCAUGUAUUUGGUUAUUGUUGCCCUGUUGACGCAUGUUGAAGAAGAAAGCACUAGUUCACAACUCUACGUUUUCAUAUAUUCUAAAGAAAUAAUUAAGCUUUCAUAGAAUAAUACCUGUUGUGUUUGAGUAAUUUUGGUAUAUACAUUGCUUGUGUACUGUGAAAUUGAAAUGAAUAUUGAUUGACAGAGCAAUGUAUAUGCCUAAUAAAACACAAAGCAAAUACCGGAAUUCCCCUUUUAAGGUGAAGGCCUUACUCAAUUCCUAUUGGAAUUGCAACGAAUGAUUCGGGACUAAAACUUUUAUAAAAGCAAAUACCGGAAACACACAAAAAGCAUUUAAGAGAGAAACUAAACAGCAAAUAAUAGAAGUAAGAUCAAUAAUAUAUGAUUUGAUUUAUGCAUAUUCAAAAACCAAAAUAUAAAAUAAAAUAAAAAAAUAAAGUUUGAUUUAUUCUUUCCACAAAAAACAGGGGAAUGAAAACAGAGGCAACUUGUUUUACCAAUUUUUUCUUCUUAAUUUCCGGCAAAAAAAAAAAAUUCAAUAAACAGGGGAAUGAACACAAAGGAACGAAAACAGAGGAAACUUGCUUUUCAGGCUAUCUUGUGACAUGAUGAUAUUGCUCGUGAAUGCAUGAAAAUUUCUAAUGCAAACAGCUCAAUUUGGGAUGAUAAGCUUAAGUUUGCAAGUGAUGCAAGUAAAUAAGUUUUUGCGGUUAAUUGAAUCUUUAAUACUCUGGGCCCUAUUCUAAAAUUUGUAGGUUGCUUCAGAAGAAAGGGCAGUUCUCACUCAUCUUUAAUCUCCAAGUAAAAUUAGAUACAAAGCAAAUCUAAUAAAAUGACAAACAAACAAACAAACAAAACAAAGAAAAGACAGGAGGCAAACAACAUUGAUCUUAAGCCAACUGAUAUUUUAAACAGAGAAUUCUUUUCUUUUAUUUUUUUUAACCACCUUUUGCUCAAGGAUUAGAGUUUUUAUAUUAACAGAAAGGUUUCAGGGGUCUGAAUAAAAGCCCACAAUUUCUCUAAUUGUUAUUUUUUUUUUUAUUAUUGAAAGGAGCUUCACUAUUGGCCUUGAACAUAUAAGAAUGAGCAAAAGAUCAAUGUCAACUGCCGAGGAAUGUGAGUAAAGAUUUCAUCAGAGUAAGUAAUACAAAUGAAUUGUAAAAGAACAAGACUUAAGCGUGCACCCCGUGUUUUGUUUUAUUGUACGUAUAAACAUAACAUGUUCAUUUUUAACAAAGUGGUCAAUUACUCUUUUUUUUUUUGGUACAAAGACGUGCCUAGCAUAGACUAGGGCAAAACAAAACGGGGGUGUGAAACCCCAAUACAAUUAUGACGAAUCCAAAACCCAGCCCCUAAAGGAAGAGAAUUGAAAAUGUGCAAUCCAACAGGGAGUGAAAGAGCAGAGUUUGCAAGAAAGUCAGCUGCAAAAUUUGAUUCUCUGUAAACAUGCUUGACCUGCACUUGCCAGGUUUUGUUAAGCAAUUCCUUAAUACCCCUGACAAGAGAAGCAUGUGCAUUUGGCCUAAUCUCGUCAUCCGCCACCAAAAGAGUAACACAAAGGCUGUCAAUCUCCACAUGAAGCUGCCGAAUUCCAUUAUCCCAAGCCAGACAUAACCCUUGAUAAAGGCCCCAUAACUCAGCACCAGUGAUGGUACCCACACCAAUAUUCAUUCCAAAACCAAUUAUCCACUCUCCAUAACAGUUUCUAAUCAAGCCAUCUGCACUAGACAGACCAGAACUUUUACGAGCUCCAUCUGUGUCGAGUUUAAACCAAGGCCAAGUAGGUGCCACCCAUCCAAAAUAUUCUCAAUCUUCAUGGCAGCAGGAACCAAACAACUCUAAUUAAUCUUUUGAAUUUCUUCUGUACGGAUCUUAAUAUCCAUUACAACAGUACUCUUGCUGUUGCUGGUAAAAACACCAUUAUGCAGAUUUUGGUUACGCCAAAACCAAAGCCUCCAAACUGUGACCCCAAAAAGACACGGCCAGUCAAACAUACCAUCAUACUUCCACAAGUUCCUCAAAUUAUAUAACAUCCAAUCUCGGAGAUUCAAACUAAAAAAUUAAUGACUAAUCCCAUGGGGUAUCAAUGACGACCAGACAUGCUUAGCACUGGGGCAAUCCCGUAGCACAUGAAGAGUAUUUUCAACAACACAGCCACACUUUGCACAGCUCAUAUCAUCAACAAUAUGUCUCCGGAAAAGUUCUGCUUUAGUUUUAAGUCUAUUUUGACCCACCACCCACAGAAAGGUUUUGAUACGUUGGGGACCUCUCCACUGCCAAAGAAUGCGCCAAAAUGAUUCUUCAUUGUGAACCUCCAUUUUUGACAAAGCCCUAUAUGCUGAAUUAGUAGUGAAAUCUCCUGACUUAGAAUAUGCCCAGUUCAUGUAAUCAUCCUCAUCAUUUACACUGGGAGGCUUGGUGGCUGCAAUUUUGAGAAGUAAAUGAUGGGGCAAUAAAUUCUCAAAAAGCCGCCAAUUCCAAGUACCCUCAACAGUGAUAAACCUCACCACGCACUCCUCAAGCUGCUCUAAAGGUAUCGGCUGCAAAGCGAAAGUAUACAAAGGGUAUUCCUCUGUUACCCAAUUAUCCCACCAAAAUCUAACUCGGUUGCCAUUUCCAAUGUCCCAUUUGAUCCCUUUUAAAACCUCAUGCCAAAUGCCUCCCACAGCCUUCCACAUGUAAGAGCCACAUUUCGUAGGUAAUGUGCUGGGGAGAGCAUUAGGAGCCAGCCCAUACUUAGACAAGAGAACCUUCAACCAUAAACUAUUUGGAGAAGCAAUUAAACCGCCCCCAAUCUUCAUGAGCAGAGCAUCAUUCAUUAAAUUAAGCUGCUUAAGACCAAGGCCUCCGCUAGGUUUCGGUUGACAUAUUGUAUCCUAUUUCACUAAACUGAUUUUCUUCUUGUCUGCUGUCCCGCUCCAAAUAAACCUCCUACAAGCCUGAUCAAUUUUCUCCCGAAUACCAAACGGAAUCCUCGUGGUCUGCAUUGCAUAAAUAGGAAUCGCCUGGAUUACCGAUUGAGUGAGAGUGAUCCUACCCGCCAAGGACAAAUGUAUCGCAUUCCACCGCAACAAAUGUUGGUUCACUUUGUCCAAAAUUCCCUGAUAAGUUAGCUUAUUAACCCGUGAAUGAAUAAUUGGCAUUCCUAAAUAUUUCCCUAGGUUUUUUGUGACAGAAAAACUGAAGGAAUCACCAAUUUCCUUAGCCUCAGCAAACUUUACGUUGUGGGAGAAAAAAACUUAUGUCUUUGUUUUACUAACUUUCUCUCCAGAGCUCAUACAAUAAACAUUCAACACUUCAUUUAUAACCAUUGCUUGCCUAGAGGAAGCCUCUGCAAGCAAGAUAAGAUCGUUAGCAAAAAAUAAGUGAGAUAAAGAGGUACCUGCACGAGACAGUUUAAUAGGUUUCCAGUACCCUCUCUUCACAGUGUCAUUUACUCCAUGGCUUAACCUUUCUAUACAUAACACAAAGAUAUAUGGGGAAAUGGGGUCUCCCUGUCUAAUACCCCUAGAAGGGGUAAAACUCUCCGUAAUUUCUCCAUUCCAUAGAAGUUGCAUAGUCGCCGUUGUAAUACAUUCCAUAAUAAGCUGAACCAAAACAGUAGGCAAUCCAAACUCCCUCAAGGUUUCAUAAAUAAAAUCCCAGCUUAAACGAUCAUACGCCUUUUCCAAAUCCACCUUAAUGGCCAUCUGCCCAAUCCUCCCUUUCUUACGUCUCAUCUAAUGAAUAACUUCCUGAGCAACCACUAUGUUUUCCGUUAUGUGUCUCCCCGGGAUAAAACUAGUCAGGGUAGGAAUGAGGUCAGGCAAGAUAGAUUUCAGCCGGUUAGCUAAUAACUUAGUGAUAGUUUUAUAGAUAACCGGGCAAAGACUAAUCGGACGAAAAAGCUUAAGGCUAAUAGGAUUAUCCGACUUAGGAACCAACACAAUCAGAGUUUUGUUCAGCUCCUUAAGGAUCUCGUUGCCAUUAAAAAUACCUUUUAUAAGACUACAGACAGAUUUUCCCACUACAUGCCACUGGGUCUGGUAAAAGAGAGCAUGCAACCCGCCUAUUCCAGGGGCUUUCAAAGCCUUCAUGCUGAAGAUCACAUUCUUAAUUUCCUCAUCCUCCACUGCUUGUCCCAAAGCUUGCAUUCGACUUUCCUCAAGGACUGGGAAGGCGUUAACAACAUGGUAUGGAUGAUAGAUUGCAUCCUCUUUGGGAUAGAGCUUUGAAAAGAAGGACACAGCAUAAUCUCUAAUCUCAUCAUUAUUCAACAACCAAUAACUCUAUUCGUUAUGAAAUUGAUAUUGUACCCAAUUUUAAGAGAGCAUAAUAAUAACCAUUCAAUGCAUAAAUUUAGAAUUAGGUUUUUUUUUGUAAUUCUUUAUUUAAAUAUAAACUUCAAUGGAAAAUUAUAAAAAUUUAGAUAUAAAAUUUUAAAUCACCGGACCAAAAAAAAAAAAAAGGGGAACGGAAAUAGAGGAAUCUUGCUUUACCUUUUUUUCCUUUAACUCUUGUUCUUAUAUAAAUAAUCUUGUUUUGAUGAUUGUAACUCAUGACUGCGGGAAAAUUUCUAAUGGAUUUGUUAUGCAAGUGAUGGAUUUGUUCAAUUGACUCUGUACUUGAACUAGUUGGAUUGGUUGAUUGAUGAUUGACUAAAUUUGAAUUAAGUUUAAUAGCUUAGCUAUCAUGUACUCCUUAAAAGCAAACGUAAAUCUUUUUUAGAUUUGAAUGAAUUUGGGAACCUGUUGGAUUGAUUGUUUAUAGAUCAUUAAUUUCAGAUACUACAACGUAAAUAUUUUCUUGUGGUUGAAUACCGGUUCUGCUUUAAUGAUUUUGGCAUAGACAUUGCUUGUGAACUGUGAAAUUGAAAUGAAUAUUAAGUGACAGCGCGAUGUAUAUGCCUAAUAAAAGAUCAGCAAAAGCUUGGAUGAAUGAUUGAAGACCAAAACUUUUAUAAAAGCAUUUUUGAGAGAAACUAAACACCAAAUUAUCAAAGUAAGAUCAACAGUAUAUGAUUUGAUCUAUACACAUUCAAAAACAAAAUGAUGAUUAAUAAUAAAGUUUGAUUUUGUAUUGCCAACGAUGCUUUUUUGUUGUUUCAUUUGUUCGACGUGGCCUUAUUUACAAAUUGGUUUAUGUUAACAGAAACAUGAAAUUCACAUCACACAAAAUUGCACGAACAAAUAUUAAGAGAACGUAAUAAUAAUCAGUCAAUGCGUAAGGGUAAAUUUAGAAUUACAUAUUCUUUUUUAUUUAAUAAAAUCCCAACGGGAAGUCAUAAAAAUUUAGAUAUAAAAUUUUCAAUCACCAAACGAAAAAACAGGGGGAAUGAAAACACAGAAAACUUGUUUUACCUUUUUUUUUUUCAUCUAAUUCCUGUUCUUAUAUAAUAUUUUCCCUAGUAUUUCGGGCAAGAAAAAAAAAAUUCAACAAAGAGCAAGUUGCUCAGAUUGAUUUAUCUUGUUUUUCAGGUUAUCUUGUGAAAUGAUGAUAAUGCUCAUGAAUGCUAGAAAACUUCUAAUGCAAACAACUCUAUUUGGGAUGAUAAGCCUAAUUUUACAAGCGAUAAAUAUAAAUAACUUUUUGUGGUCAAUUGAAUUUGUAAUUACUCUUAGCCCUAUUCUAAAAUUUGCAGGCUGCUUGAGAAAAAAGAAUAUUUCUCACUCAUCUUUAAUCUUCAAGGAAAAAACAAAUCUAAUAAAAUGACAAACAAACAAACAAACAUAUAAAAGACAGCAAACAAACAACAUUGAUCUUAUGCCUACUGAUAUUUAAACAGAGAAUUCUUUCUUCUUUUUCUCUUCAUGGAUUAGAGUUUUUGCUAUUAACAGAAAGGUUUCAAGGGUCUGAAUACAAUCCCAGACUUUUUUUUAACUUUGUUUUUUGUGGGAAAAUGGAUUCAAGUUAACCAAAGCCAAUAAUAAGAUCACAGACUUUAACAAUGAACAAUAACUUAAGCAAAACCAAUGACAAGAUUAAAACAAACCAGAGAAAUUUUUCUCGGAAAGUAGAUGAAAAGCAAGUAAGAACUGCUAUUAAAUAUUAUUAAAGGAUUUAGAACAUGUAUACCUCUUUAAUUAUAUGGGAUCAGAGAAAUGACCUUCUCUAUUCGCUUCGGAUAUUAAGUAAGAACUGCUAUUAAAAGAAUGAAUUGAUGAGAGUAAUAACAAUGAAUUGCAAAAUAGGAAGACUCAAUCAUGCACCCCUUUUAUACCCGAUUUUUAAGAUUUAAUUUUGAAGUUCACCAAUCAAGAACAAAGAAAAAACCUUAAUAAAGAAUGCAGUGAGAAUAAUUAAGUUAAAGAAAGUACUAGGUUAUGGCUCUGCGUUUCAUAUGCUGUAAUGAAAUAAUUAAGUUGAAGUUUUUAACGAUUAAAUACCUGUUGUGCUAGAAUAAUUUUAGAAGAAUAUUGGCUUAUAGAGCAUAUUAGUAGGGAUAAGAUUUGUAAGAUGCCAGAUAAAAGAUAAAGCGAAAGCUUGAAUGAAGAAUGGCAUUUAAUAAUUAUAGAAGAAUAUUGGCUUAUAGAGCAUUUUAGUAGUGAUAAGAUUUGUGGACAGAAUAAAUGAAAUAAUAAAAGGCAUAACUGAUCAAGUCAUUAUUGAUCUUACUUUGAUUAUUACAUUGCACAUUAGUUUCUUUCUAAAAAUGCCAUUCUUCAUUCAAGCUUUCGCUUUAUCUUUCAUCAGGCAUCCUACAAAUCUUAUCCCAACUAAUAUGCUCUAUAAGCCAAUAUUCUUCUAAAAUUAUUAAAUUCCAUUCUUCAUUCAAGCUUUCAUGGACACUAUUUACAAAUUGUUCUUGUAUUUGACAGAAAAAUGAAAACUCCUCAUCAUACAAAACUGCAUGAACAAAUCUUCAAUUUAAUUAUGAUAAAAUAAUUAAUUCCAUUAAUAGAUUAUGUUGUUUUUUUUUUUUUUGUCUUGACCACAAGGUAUCCUGGGAAGGGCCCCAACUGUGGGAGGCAUUUUUAAGCCCGUACCACAACCCAUACUAGAAGUCCCCACUCGAACCGGGAGGCACAAGUUCUCCCAACAAAGGCGACUUCCCUGCAAUUCGAACUGGGGAGCAAACCCAGUCAAUCCACUUAAGGGGACUCCAUUGCCAGUGGAGCCAACACUUUGUUGGUUAUGUUGUAUGUUAAUGUGAGGGAUUUGAUCAGGUGAUCAUAUAAUUUACUAAACGCUUUAAGAAGAACAAGAAUUAAUGAGUUAAAAAUUAAAAAAUAAAUAAAUAAAGAGUAGAUGGAAAGAAUGUUAUUUGCAAUCACUAAACCAAAGAACAGGGGAAUGAUAAGAGAGGACGGUUACUGCAACAUUAUGAAGUCAAAAUUAAGAAAGGCAUUCUUUUUUUUUUCACAUUAUUCUAUUUAAUCUUUCAUAAGGCGCACACUACGAAUCUAAAUUAAAUUCAUAAUUAAGAAUAAAAGAUAAACCCAAACAAUCAUCUAGCAGGUGCCGUGUAGACUGCAUCAAAAAUUUAGAUUUAGAUUUUUACAAUCACCAAAUGGAAAAACAGGGGAAUGAAAACAAAGGUGCCGUGUUUGUAGAAACAGGGGAGUUUCCGGGUUUCUGGAAACAAACUCAGAAACGAAUAAAUCUCUUGGUGUAUAUAAGCUUUCAUCAUCUGGUUUUAGUUUGGUUAGGUUUAACUACAUUUCCUGGGUAGCAUUACUUAUGCUAGUAUAUUCAUUUCUACCCAAGCCACAGUGACUGUUAGGAGUUCUCGUAAACUGAAUUUAAAGUUGCGGCUUAAAGUGUUUACCAACUUAAAACCAGAGCUAUAAAGUGUUUGAUGAAUUAUUUUUUCAUUAAAAAAAAAAAAACUGAUUUAGCGGGAUAAAAUAAUGCUCCAUUCCGUUUAGUAAGUGAAGUCCAGAGUAUUACCUACUACUAACUAAAUCCGCUUGAUUCACAAGACUACCAAGAGAUGACUGAAUCUUCAAUGUAAUAAAAUAAUAAUCAGCCUCACAGGAUACAUAAAAAGCUCAUUUUUCACAACCAUAUCCUAGUGCAUCAUAAACUUGAUUAUUUAAUUUUACUAUUAGGAAACCUACUUAUAUAAGGCGCACACUACAAAUUCUAAAUUAAAUUUUCAACUAAGAAUAAAAGGUAAACCCUAGCAGUCUUCCACCAGGUGCCGUGUAGCCUGCAUCAUAAAUUUUGAUUUAAAUCUUUGUAAUCACCGAACAGAAAAACAGGGGAAUGAAAACAGAGGAGCCCUCAUUUUUUUAACCCUUAACUCUUGUUCUUCUAAUUAUAUUUUUACUUGGAAUUUCAGGCAAACAACAAAAAAUAGUGACAACUAUUCAGAGAGAACAGGUGGAUGAUAGCAAAAAUAUUUUUAAUUAAUAUGCAUGAUUAACUCUUGUUCUUCAUUAUUGGUAGUCUCUGUGGGCUCAUUUCGUCUCCAGACCUGAUAUUGUAUAUCUCUUUUUGAAUAUGCAUGCUGCUGAAUAAAGAUGAUUACUUCCAAAUUUUUGUUGCUUUUUUUUUUUUUUUUUGGGCUUUGGUGCAUGAAGAAUGUGGAAAUAGAAAUAGCUUUCGAAGUUUAAUGGCUUGCUUCAUUAGUAAAGAAAGACAAGGAUAUCUGUCCCUUUUUGUUACUGAAUUAUUGAUCAAUUGACGGUUGAAGUUGGUUAUAUUAAUUUGUUGUACAAGAAUUGAAGCUUAUAUCUUAGCCGUUUCGUGAAGUGUCAAAUAUGUUCUUUCCUUGCAAUUGUUCAAAAUAUGUUAUUCUUUUGAAGUCACUAUUACAUAAAGGGUGUUGUAAAAUAGGGAAAGGCGGGUUUAUGAUUAGAUUUUAAUAUGUUUAAUUCAAGGAUUAACCGAAGCUAUUAACCAACGGCUACUAACCGAAAACCGAAUUUAACAAUAAACACUAACUCAGAAUUCAAGAAAAUUAAAUGACAAGAUUGAGACAAAUGAGAGAUAUUUUUCUUGGACAUUAAGAAAGAACUACUACCAAGAUCAAGGAUUAGAGAUUAUAUAUGCUAUUAUUAAUAGAAAUUAUUAAAGGAUUUAGAACAAGUUCACCUCGUUAAUUAUCUGGGAUGAUGAGUUUCUAUAUUCACCUUGAAUAUAUAAUAACAAUUUUAGUGAGCAAAAGAUCACUGGUAACUGCAGAGGAAUGUGUGAGUUUAAGAGCUUAUUAGAGUAAGCAAUACAAAUGAAUUUUCAAAUUAUGUACUUGGUCAUUGUUGUCCUACUGACGCACGUUUUUUUUCAUGAAUAAUUGCCAGAUCAGAAAAGAAUAAAUUCGGUUGAUUGAAAGAUUGCUGAAGUAAGUAAAACAAUCUUCAUAUCGAACAUGAUUCCAAUUAAAUUAAUCUUUUUAUAAGAUGACUAAUAAAAGAUAAAAGUAGAAGCUUUGAUGAAUGAACGAUGACCAAAACUUUUGUAAAAGCGGAUGCCGAUAAAAUAAACAAAAGGCACUUUAAAAAGAAACUAAAGUGCGAUCAUCAAAGUAAGAUCACUAAUGAUGCUUCGCUAUCACAAGGUCCGCAUGGACAUUAUUUACAAAUUGUUCUUAUGUUUCACAGAAAAAAAUGAAACACUGUUCAUCAUACAAAAUUGCAUGACCGAAUCUUCAAUUUUUAUAAUUAUAAAAUAAUGGAUUAUGGGUAUGUUAAUGUUACGGAUAUGAUCAGAUCAUCAUAUAAGUUACUAGAAGCAUUAACAAGAACAAGAUCUAAUGAGCUAAAAGUUUUUUUUUUAAAAAAAGUUAAAUAAAUAAAGAGUAAAAGUAAAAAAAUGUUAUUUGCAAUCACCAAAAUGAAAACAGAGGAGCCCUGUUUUUCCUCUUGUUUCUACUUCUCUCUUUUUCAAGUAGUAGAAAAUGAUAUCAGAGUAUGAGAGCUCACUGCUUUCAUUAGUUGGAAAGUGUCGCCUAAAACACUUCCUCUGCUGGGUGGAAUUGUUGGCUUGAAGAGAUGAGUUCUUGUCACGAGCACAAAUUUUAGCUGUACAUUAUUUCCUUUUAAAUGCACCAUUGUUGCACAGAUUUGAACCAUAUGAUCAUUAGUUUUUUGUUUUGAUUUGGUUAGUUCGUGAUGACAAAUGAAUUAUUUUCAUCACAUUGUCAUUAUGGUAAAAAGUUGCCCUCUUUGUUACUUCCACAGCUAUUUAGUUUAAUAUUUUGUAAUAAGAUCACAAAGUGCGUGGGAACUAUUGUUCGGGUACUUUAGCCUAAAAUGAAGAUCUAUUAAAAAUUUCCCUGAUGUCAUGAUAUAAAACAAUAAAAGGUACCAACUUCAGCUUAAAUUCAUAUAAAAUUAAACCUUACCACAUACUGUAUUGAAACAAAUUACUCAUCUUUAUUGGUAACAUCAUCACCUUCAUAAAAUAUAUGGUAUCGUACAAAGUUCUUGCGCUGGGUUCGGGCAUCUAACAACGAGGACACAGCAACCUAUUCGCUAGGUUAGAGACCAAAUAGCCAACAGCAAAAUGUGCACGACGCAUGUCACUAUCAUGAAAACAACAUUCUUUUUCUUUUUUUUUUUCCCCUCAAUAAUUUCAGAUAUAAUAUUUUAACUAAGUUUGUAACACUGUUGAUUGAAAUUAUCAAGUACGAAUGUGUGUAGAUUUUAACAUGUGCACUCAUAAUUAUUAUUGUGCAGUUUUAGACUUGGUUGGGUAUUGAGGUGCUAAAACUUUUGCCGUAAGAAAAAAAAGUUUUGCAAAAGUUUUAAGUAUAAAAUAAAAGUUAAUAGUAUAUAAUAAAUUUAGUUUUUUUAAUAAUAAUUUUGAUAAAAUUAUAAAAGAUAUAAUAAAUUUUUUAUCAUAUAAGUGUAAAAUCAAAUCAUCUUAACUUUUAAACUACAACAACUAUAACAUUUUAACUGUUCAAUCUCAAUCCUAAAUAGACCCUUAAUUUAUAAUUAGAUUGUCACUAAAAGAUUUUAAGUAUGUAUUUUAGAAUUUAACGAAUACACUUUUAAACUACCUUUGUCAGAUGAAAUGUUGGGAAAUUUUUAUUAAGCUCCAAAAGUGUUUGAAAUAAAUUUAUGUUUUUAUGAUACCAAAAAAAAAAAGAUUUAUGAACAUUUUUGUGAAGCUUAGGCGAAAAUUUUUGUUAGGCUCUAUUGGGCUAGAUGAGCAGCUCGGGCAGUUAAUUAUCGCCCAAAAAGCCCAACCCAGAUUACAACAAGCUGGGAUUUGGUUAGCUCGUUGACGGCCAUUUGGGUAUGCAUGAAUUGGGUGGAUGAUUAAUAAAUACGAUUUAUUAAUUAUUUCGCCGAUUUGAAUAUUCUCCUAAUUUAAUCUUUUCUAAUAUUAUAAUAACGAGAUUUUGACAUGUGUUAUACCUGUGUUAUUUUAAUAAUCCAAUAGAUAAUAUCUACUUUAUUUUUAUCUUUCGUUAUUAAAUACAAAAACACUAAUAGAAAAAAAAAAUGACUUAACUCUUUUUAUAUUUUUAAUUUUUAUUUAUUUCCGUUUAUUGCUUUCCUAGCAAUGUUCAUCUUUUUACUCUACAACAUCCAUAACCUUAACUUUGGAAAUAAAAGAGAAUAUGCGAAAGUAUAAGUAGGAGAAAGACUUCAUUGAAAUCAAACGAAUUGGGCAACGUUAGAUUUUUCUUUAAAAUUCUCAUGCGAUAUUAAUUAGUAGUAUUAUCGUUGUUGCCUGCCUACUUCUAACCUCAACCAAUAUAUGAUCAAUGCUUGAUUUGGUCAAUCUAAAUAAUUAUAAUCGAUGAUAGGAUAUUGUUGAAGGGCGGCCCUAAGGAUGAGAGAGGGAAUGCGUGUGCAAGCCACAUGUGUGAAGAAAAAGAAAAACGCAAGAGUGAAGAUGACGGCGAUUAAGAUCGUGUUUGAUUUCUUUUCCUGUUUAAUUUUAGUUAAUAUGCUGUUGUUAGUUCCAAAAUUUGAGUUAGCAACAAAAUGACAUGUUUUUGUGUUUAAUAAGGAAAAAGUAAAUAAUAGAUUUUCUAUAGGAUUCUUGGAAUGGAUUAGAUUAGACUAUGGAGAGAAAUAUAUUUGAAAAUAUUAGUGUUGAGUCAUUCUAAUGUCUUUAAUAGUAAAUUCAAUUAAGAAUAUUUUAGUAAUAUAAUUUUUUAUUAAAAUUAGAGUGUUCAAAGUUAGUAAUAAAAAAUUCAUAUAACUCUGGAUUUUUUUAUUGAAUUUAUAUAACUCUGGAUUCUUUUUUUUUUUUUUUUUUCCAACACUGAUAUGGUUCUGUUCUGUGUAUUUAUAUACAAUUUAAUGUUUACAUACAAGUUAAAUUAUAUACAAUCCUUCAAGUCGUAACUCAAUUUUAUGGAGGUUUAUACAUCUUUCAACGAUCAAUUUAAUAUUUAUAUACAAACCUCCGCAUCUUUCAACGAUCUCAUCUGCUGAUUUUUUGUAUUCCUGUUCUUUCACUUCAAUAAUUUUUUGUAUUAUUCCAUAUCUUUCACUUUAAUAACCCAAAAGCUUUCCUCUGUUUCAAUCGAAAGAAAACCCUAGCUUAAACUAAGAGAAAAUUUACAUAUUAAAGCUAAUUAGUACUGAAUUUUUUCUGGUGGUGCGACCAGAGGUGGAAACAGGGUAUGAAAAUGCGUUACUGGUGAGGUUGCUGCUUAAGAUGAGAAUGCAUUCUUUUCAAAAAUCCUUGGUAGGUGUUAUCUAAUUAUCUUUGAUGGAAUAUUAAAUGGCUAAAAAUCUGUCAUACGUUCAAACUUUGUUUUUGUUUAGAAGAAUGGUGUUGACUGUAUAUUCGUUUGGAAGAAUGGUGUUGAUUGUAUAUUCAUUUGCUUAGCCUUUUGACAGAUGGAUUUGGAACUGACGACAAAUGUGAUUCAAUUUACAAGGUUUUCGAGGGGCUCACCGUGGAAGGGAUAUUGAAGAACUGGUCUAAGAUAAAGCCUAUGAUUGUGAAAGAUUGGAGUGAGAAUAUAGAUGCUCUUUUUCAUCUUUUUGGCAAGGUCAGAGAUGAAUGGAUAGAUAAGGAUUUAUUUGACUACUUGGACUGGUGCUAAUAGGUAUUUUAGGCAAGCUUUUUGAGAUAACACUGAGCAAGUUAUACUACUAUUUUGCACAUGAUGAUCUCGAAAAGUAAAAUAAAAUAAAUUAUUAACUUUUACUUUCAUCUUUUGCAUAGCAAUCAAUGUGGUGCUUGUUCUGUGACAACUUUGAUAAUCUACUUAAUUAUUGGUUAGCAUUUGGACCAAAAAAGUUCUUAUGAUUUACAUGUUUUGUAGAAAUGCAUGAACCUUAAAUGUGCUGAUCAGGGAGUUUAAUUAUUGCACCUUGAAAUUCAUUUAUUGUUAACUAAUUGGCUUUCCUUUGCAUAAAGCCACUUAUAAGGCUUGAGUGGACGUCUUUAUGGGCAUAUUAUUUGUAUUUCUAUAUGCAUGCCUUUAUCAUUUAAUGUGCUGCUUUUAUUUCUUUAUGCAUGCCUUUAUCAUUUAAUGGCCAGCUCCCUCUCCUCUUUUGUAAUUUGAAUAGUAGUAUGGGCCUCCAUUUUACAAAUCUUUAACAUCUUUUGCUGUAAAUUAAUUUUUCUUUCAAAUAUUCACUACUAGAAAAAUAGUCUUUACUGACUUUACAAUAGUAUCAGAAAUUACUUUCACUGACACUUGUUAAUUGUGUCAGUAAUCUGGGAGUCAGAAAAAUAGUGACACUUAUAAGUGGUGUCAGUGAUUACUAUUACUACAGUAUCACCGAUAUUAUGACACCAUAGUGUUAGUAGUUAUUGAUAUUUUAUUAGUGUCUAUAAUUACUGUUACCAUGGUAUCACUAAUUAAUAUAUUUUUUUAAAAAUAAAAAAUUGAAUUGGAUCAUUGCCUAUUGAUUUAUUUGUAAAAUUAAAAGCACCACAAAAUAACAAAAAGAAAUUGAUUUAUAUCACAAAAUCUUUCAUUUCACAUUUAAAUAUUAUUAGUAUAUAACUAAAUAAUCCAAAUUCAAUACAUAAAAAUUUCUACCAUCCAAUCAAAUGCCUACUACUUGUGGCUAAAUUUAUAAAUCUAGAAGUUAAAUUGAGAAUGAUGACUGUCUUUCACUCUUUGAAUAUGAGUAGUAUAAUUGCGUUAUCACACCAGCAGCUUCUCCAUUUAAUAAACUGUAUGGGUUAUGAUACAAGUGAAGUUGAGGAAUAAACACUUCAAACACAUUGAGCAAAUAUGCAUACAUGGAAAAGGGAGAAAAAAUUAGCUGCCAAUUCCCAACCAUUAGAGAAACAAUGGUUAAUAUAAAUAAAUCUAUUUUGUUCUAAAGAAAAAAUAUUCAUACACUAUUUAUAAGUAAACUCAAUUAUUUCUAAUGGUGGAGCACAUAUGUGUGAACAACAGAGCAUCACAUAGCUCAAAGUACAUUAACUGUUCUGUGUCUUAUUCAUUUUUCACUUUAGCUUUUAUUUUAGCAAUUUUUUGAGAAUAAGCUCCAACUCAGAAGGUGAAAUCCAACUUCCAUAUGUAGACAUUCUUGCAGCUGACAGCAAUUAGUUUGGGACUACGGCUUUUUUGAGCAUCUGGCAUGGAUUACAUUGAGAUAUACAAUUUACAUACAAACAUUAAAGAACUAAAACAUUAUUUAUAUUUAGAGACAAUUCAAAUGUCAGCAAACAUUAUUUAUAUUGGUUUAGCAAGUGGCACGACAAUUUUUUAGAUAGAAAUGUACAGAAACUAUAAAGGAAAAACAUUAUCAAGACACCAUUAAAGAAUCAUAGAGUACCUUUACCGGAUUUGUUUGCUUUGCAGGUGGGCUGUGAUGAUGAUGAGCAUAAAGCAUUUUCAUUUAAGCGGACAAGUGCCUUAGCUUCUUUACUUACUACAGACCACGUGUUCUCCCCAUCUAGCCUUGCACUUCCAAAAUCAUGAAAUCCAUCUUUGUGGAAUGUCUUAAUGCCAGGAGUGCGUGAAAAUUCUGGGAGUGCAUUGGCCUUCUAAAUAAAAAGAAACUCGUAAAUAAUUCUUGUGUCAAGUAACAAGGACAAAAAUUUACUUGGAAGCAGCGCAUCCAUGAAAAGAUAGACGCAGAUAGCUACAGAGACACAGUCAACACAUAAUAGCUAAUCCUAAACCUUAUUGGAUAUAAUACCUCAUUAGCAGAGAUUGCUUCGUCAUCUGAGGUACAUGUUGAUGCCUUCCUUGGCGAGAAGAUAAAACCAACCUCAUCAGGAAAUUCAGGCGUUUCAACCUCGUCUUCCACAAAGACACUUAUUUGCUUCUGUUACAGCGACAUACACAAAUGUCAGUUUCUCCUAAGAAAACUGGUCGGAACCUGAAAAUUCUAUUCAAAUUUAAUCACUUGCCUUUGGUGAUAAACUGCCAGCAAUCCUUCCACAAGUUUCUCCAUGAGUACCUGUAUGUCAGAAACCAAAUCUGUGCUUUGGAACCUAAACAUGAAUAUCGAUGAACAACACCCUCAACAAUCUCAUUAGCGUCAAAAACAUUUUAUUACAAAAUAAUACUACGGUUUCGGAGCGCACCUUUCAGUAUGUCUAGUCGCGAUUGAAGUUGCACUACUUCCUAUCAAUUUACAAAAAUCAUAGCAUGAAUAAAUAAAACAAUUGCCUCUAAAUUUACAAAAUCAACGUCAUCACAUCAAUUACGUGAUGGAUAACAAUUUAAGUAAAUUUUAAUAAAAAAUUAUUCAACAAUUAAAUCGAAUGACAAUUAAAUUAGUAAAUUGAAUACUGACCUCUUUCUCCGAUGGCCCACCCAACGAAACACAAUUAUCUCGUAAAUCGACGUUAAAAUCUUCCUCAUCUGCAAAUCAAAAAAUUUGAAAAACAGAGAAAUGCUUAAAACGCGUACAGUGUUUAGUGUAUACAUAACAUAAGAGUAUUUAAAAAAUAAUGGCAACCCUGUAUGAAAUGUCAAUCAAAUUACCAGAAAUGCUUUGAUCAGAAUCUUCAUCUCCCUGAAAGCGCAUAAGAUCCCGGCAAAAUGAAAAGAAAAAAAUAAAACGAAUUAUCAUCUACAAAAAAAAACAACUUUAGUUGGUUAAAAUCUACAAACUAAGUGCGGCUCGGAUAGCAGAAUAUGACUAGAAAAACAAAAACAUUAUUGAGUAACCAGAACAUCUAACAUCGCAUAUGGGCACCAGAACAAAAUUCAUGCAAAAAUAUGGAAGUUGAAAAAUCAGCAAAUGCCGCUAACCGAGUUAAUGGAAUGCGAAACCUGCCUAGAUAGUGGAGGAGUUCCGGUAAAGGAGGACCAUCAAGCACAGCUAAGGAGGAAGAAUGCAACUUAAAAUAGUUAUAGUUUCAUUACGAAUUAAAAAAGUUUAAUCCUCUAAUUUUCAAUACAAUGGCAUCUCCUAUUCAUGCGCAUGCAUCAGCAGCAUUGUUAUUGAUAGAACUGAAAAAUUGGCACUCGGAUAAUCAUAUGGUUGUAGACACUGCUCCAAAAUAAUCAUUAAACAUGGAAACUAAUAAGGCCACAGGUUCUGGAAUGCCAAAAGCUGCACGCAUAUAUAUGGGUCAGUCACGAAUAAAAAGAAACGAAUUAUCAUAACCUCGACACGAAUGGGCGUAGUCACUAUAGGAUCAGAGCGGCACAGCCCUCAGCCACUAUAGGCAGGGGUUAUAUUAAUGGUUGUGAAUGAAUAAAUUCAAAUAUCAACUUUAGUAAUCAACUUAUUAAUUUACAAGUAUUUUUUUAUAUUAUGAUAUCGUAUACUCUACUAAUUGUAUUUAAAAUAUACACACACACAUACAUACAUAUAUACCAACUUAUAAUUGUGAGGUAAGCUAAGACUCGAAGCUAUUCCUUAACAAUCUAACACUCUAUAUAAUCUCAAGUGUGGAAAACCAGCAGAGAAACCAAGUUGCUUAAACUCUUGUUCAGUCAUGUGUUUACCUUUGGCCCUGUAGAUGGUCAUAACAAAAAUGUCCCCUUCUAAGAGAGCACGAGUCCUCUGACUUUCAUUUGAAUCAUCAGGCAGCACAGGCUCGCAAGCAAUCAGUUUUCCUCCUGCAGGAAUAGCCUUGUAACAAUUCUCCAUUAUCAGCUUGCAUUCAUCAUCAGUCCAUGUAGUUAAAACCCACUUCAUAAAGAUAGCAUCAGCGGCAGGAAUGGACUUAAACAUGUCCCCACCAAUAUGGGUCACUCCAGGGAUACUUGGAGCUUCGGCAACAACCUCAGGCAAAUCAAAAUUGAUCCCUUCACAUAUAAAACGAUGUUUCUAUAAUAUCAUCCUCAGGCAAUCACCUGCACUCCCACCCACAUCAACCAAUCGCUUCACACCUUUGAACCCAUCGUAACCGUCCAAAAUGGACGUCAUGAACGGCACGGACACUCCCGACAUGGCUUUUCGCAUCAAGCCGUUCAUUUCAGGCAUCUUCCCAUAAUAACUAUAUGUCGGCUCGCCAUGGACUUUCACAAAUGGCUCAAUAGUUGGGUCCAGAAUGGCCUCGUGCACCAAAGGCCACGCGCUCAUAAGCGCGUCCUGGUGAUGCUGGAGCACGUAGGGCGCGUACGAUUGACCCUCGGCAUCAGUAACGAGGGAUUUCCCAAUCUCGGUGAGGCUGUACUUCCUUUCGCCUCCAAAUUCGCGAUGCUCCGAGAACACGCCGUAGUUGGUGAGCAAGCGGAGGAUACGUUGCAAGUUCUCGGCGUCCCCACCGCCGGAUGGGAGGAUACGUGUCAAGAUCUGGGAGGCGGAGAGAGGGGUGUUGGCCAGUCUUCCCUUCUUCCCGCCAUCUCUGCACUCGUUAUCUUCCAUUACUGCUUACUGACCUUUGAUUUCGCAGCACCAUGCCGGCCAAACAAAAAGAUAAGACCUGAGCACUUUUUGACAAUUUGAAUGUUAGGGAUUUUUCAGAUGUGGGGAGCUUAGGAGGGAACGAAUACUUUGGUAGAGGGAGUUGAAAAGUUGUAUUUUGGAUAAGAUAAAGAUUUGUUCAUUUGUUUUGUUUUUAUCCACUCAAAAAGUACAAAUUCUAAAAAAAUUAAAAAUAAUUCGUAGUCUAGUGGUCUUUUGAUUCAAUGUAGAAGUUCUAGGUUUAAGCAGUCUUGGGUUCGAAUUCAGACUAAAACAAAAUUAGAAUGAUAAUUUUUAAUUACUGAUACUUAAGCGUCAUUGAUCGCUAUUACUAAAGUUAUUGAUACUUCAGUAUUAGUAAUUAGUGAUACAUAUCUGUUAAACGCGGAAAAUAAUCUAAAUAUAUGUAUAUAUUGAUACUUUUAAAUAAAGUGUCAGAACACAAGUAUCAGUAAAGACCAUUUUUCUAGUAGUGAUUUUGGAGGUCAUUGGAAUUCCUGUAGGUCUAUUUACCAGAUUUUAGUAAGUUUAAGGUUUUAAUUUUGCUUAGACUUUAAUUUUUCUGAAAGAUUGUAGUAUUGAUCCUUAAAGAAAGAUCAUGCUACUUCAAAUUAUUUUGAAGUGUUGCUAGUUAUAGCCUUACAUAUAAAAUUCCAUUUGUCUGGAAAUUUAUUGAUAGCUGUUACAGCAGCAUAUUUUAUGACUCUACUUCUUAGUUAUGUAAGUUCAUUAUGUUUAGGUCAGAGGCAGUCAGCUGUGGGGAAUUGAUAUAUACACAGAUGACUUUGAUCUUGUUGCCGGUAUGUGGUUCUAUGAAUAAUUGUUCACAAUAAUUGUGUUUGCCUCACUGUUUUUGUUUUAUGAGAUCUAUAAUUGAUCUUGGGAUAUUACUUUCUAGUUCUCAUGCAAGCAAGUUACUACCUUCCCACUGUAUCUCCUCCUUUAUCUGCUAUUCAAGAGUUGCGUGCCAUAAUCUGGUGUUACCUCUGCAAGAUUGUGAAUGAAUAUAAUGCCUCUAAAUUUAUUUUAUACAUAAUGCUGAUGCUGAAUAAUAUAUUGUAGCUCCUGUCAUAUUCUACUUUGACUUUUUAUAUUCUGUUUCAUAUAAAAAUCUUAUUCAACUUUAGUUGUUCAUGAGCAAAUGUCACAUGUAUAAGCCCAAAUGAUGUUUAAAGGUAGCGCAGCUACCUUUAGUUUGAGCUUACAAUGGAUGAAAAAGAAAUUGAAACUGAUAUUUUGCUGUUUUUCUGAUUUUUCAAAGUAUUUUAGAUCCUGACUUUUGUUUGGACUUGAUGGUUAUAGAUUGUGUCUAGAUUUGUUAAGUUGUUUCCAACACCUCGUGCCAAAUGAAAGCACAAUCUUUCUGAUUCAGAUGUCUUGUUAAUUGAAGAGAGCUCAUUGUGCUGAGUUAAAACAAGAAAGGAAGCCAGCAGUCAAGAUUCUUCAGCAAUGCCAUGUCAGUGCUGAGUCAGCUGAUUCUGUUAAGGAUUGUUGAAAGCUCACGUGACUAUUAGUUAGUUAAUUAGCUUUUAGUUAGUAAUGCAGGAUUCUGAUUGGUUGAUUAAUUGCAAUGCUUAUUUGAUCAAUUGUAGCUUGGAAAUAAACUGUAUAUAAACAGAGUCUAUAACGAUUGCUUCAAUUAAUGAAAAGAAAAUAUUCCAGAGAGUUCAUCUAUUUUCUCAGUAACCAAACAAGCAUUUAGCUUAAUUUGCUAUUAUUUUACAUGGUAUCAGGGCCACAAUAUGGCAAGCUCAAGCAAUCCAAACGGAAAUUCAAACACAAUCACUGCAAAUCAAUCAAUACAAACCACAUUCUCCUUCAUAUCACCAAUCAAGUUAGAUCGAUCUAACUACAUGCUCUGGCGAAAUCAAGUUCUAGCCUCUAUAAGAGGAAACAGACUUGAAGGUUACAUUAAUGGAGAGAAGGUUGCUCCCAAUCAGUUUAUCACAACUGGAGGAUAUGCUGGAGCAGCAGGUAGUUCUACUCAACAGAAAGAAAAUCCAGAAUAUACAGUCUGGAGAUCACAAGAUCAGACAUUACUAAGCUGGCUGUUGAGCUCAGUCACUGAAGGUAUUCUCCGCCUUGUUCAUUCUUGCAAUACUUCAUAUGAUAUAUGGAAAACAUUGGAGAAAAAGUUUGGUGCAAAAUCUGAAGCAAGAGUACUUCAACUUAGAUAUGAAAUGAGUGUUUUAAGAAAAGAUUCACUGAAUAUAGAAGAUUAUUGUUUGAAGAUGAAACAAAUAGCAGAUAAACUAGCAUGUGCUGGUAAUCCAGUUUCAGAUAAAGAUUUGCUGCAACAAAUUCUAAAUGGUCUUGGACAAGGAUAUCUUGAUUUAGCUACAUUCAUAACAGCAAGUAAACUUGAUUAUGAUGAUGCAUAUGCACUACUACUUACUCAUGAAACAAGACUUGAACAGAGUAUGAAUGAAAAACAGAUGUUCAAUGCAAAUUUUGCCAAUUUUACUCCUAAUAACAGUGGAUAUGGUAUGAUGAAUGCCUUUUAUGCACAAGCAAGAGGCAAUGCUCGAAGAGGUGGAUAUAAUGGAGGUUUUCACAGUGGCAAUCAAGGAGGAAGAAAUAAUUUUCAUACUGGAAGGGGAAUGUUUGUUAACUCUCAUCCAAGAGGUUUUCCCUCUGGAACUGGAAAUUUUGGUAACAGUCAUGGUAGAGGUCAGAUGAUUGGUAAUAAUAAACAGAUGCAAUUUAUGAGAGGUCAAUACAGUAGUAACUCUGGUAUGCCAAACUCUGAUGGUAAUGAUGAGCAAAGUGUUGUAUGUCAAAUUUGUUUUAAAUCUGGGCAUACAACAACAGAAUGUUGGCAUAGAUUUGAAGAGAAUUAUGUACCACAAUACAUGAAGAAAUGAAGAAAUUAGAGAUGAGCUUAUAUGGCAUAUUAUGAUGCACCAACUGAAAAUUCAUGGUCAACUGCUUGUUCAGGAAUGCCUCAAAUGCACAAUCCAUCAUUCACCCCAUACAUGUCUGAUUCAGUGAACUUGUUAGGAGCUGGAGCUGGAGCUGCCUAUGUUGCUAAUUUUGAAGGUCCAGCAGAUGAAGGAUGGUAUCUUGACAGUGGGGCUACACAUCAUUUGACAAACAACAUGGCAAAUAUGCAUGUCAGAGAUGAAUUCAAUGGUAAUGACAAGCUGAUUAUUGGCAAUGGUAAAGGUCUGUCAAUCACACACAUUGGUAGCACUACUUUUUCAGUUCAAGGUUCUAAGUCACAAGCUGCACGUAAAUGCAUUACACUUAAAGAUAUACUGCUUGUUCCUUCUAUCACAAAGAAUUUAAUAAGUGUUUCUAAACUUACUGCUGAUAAUAACCUAUCUAUUGAAUUCUUUGGAUGUAUCUGUUAUGUGAAGGAUUCACUGGAGGGGAAGGUUCUGCUACAGGGUAUUGCUGAGAAAGGUCUAUACAAAUUGCUGAUCAAAUCAUCUUCAAAAUCAUCACUACAACCUACAUACACCUCUUUUCUUUCUCAAAGCUCAAUAAAUCAACCUUUGUCUAUGUUGUCUCUCUGUCAUUUCAGUUCUGCAACUAAUAAUACUUGUUCUGCAAAUUGUUUUCAUUCAAAUAAAAACUCUUGUACUGAUUCAUCAUCAAAUAAAAUGUCUCUAUUUCACAGAAGAUUUGGUCAUCCCAAUGCUCAAAGUUUCAUUCACUUACUUAUACUUGUGCAUCCUAACUUGUUAUCUACAAAUAUGCUUAAUCAAGUAAUAAAGCAUUUAUGUGAAGCAUGUCAGCUGGGCAAAUUUCAUAGACUUCAUUUUCCUAUAACUGAUAUUAAGUCUAAAUCAGCACUAGAACUAAUCCAUACUGAUCUAUGGGGCCCUUCACUAAUAUGUUCUAGAGAAGGUUAUAGAUAUUAUAUUAGUUUUGUGGAUGAUCACACUAGAUACACCUGGAUAUACCCUCUGAAAUUAAAAUCAGAAGCUCUAGAAGUGUUCAAAUUGUUUAAACUUCAAGUUGAAAAUCAGUUUCAAACCACCAUCAAAGCUCUACAAUCUGACUGGGGGGGAGAGUAUAGACCAUUCACUACUUUUCUAAAUGAAUGUGGUAUUCUUUUCAGACACUCUUGUCCCUACACACAUUAUCGAAAUGGCCUUGUUGAAAGAAAACACAGACAGAUUAUAGAAUUAGGCUUAACACUUCUAGCACAAGUUAAACUUCCAUUCCAGUUUUGGUGGGAUGCUUUUCAUACCUCGGUUUAUCAUAUUAACAGACUUCCUACCUCUGCCCUUAAGAUGUCUAUUCCAUAUGAAAAAUUAUACAGACAUAAAGCUGAUUACAACAUGCUGAAAUGCUUUGGUUGUGCUUGUUAUCCAUACUUGAGAGAUUACAAUAAGCAUAAAUUUGAUUAUCAUACAACCAAGUGCAUCUUUCUUUGUUAUAGUCCUUUUCAUAAAGGUUUCAAGUGCUUUCAUCCCUCUGGUCGUGUGUAUAUUGCUAGACAUGUCAAUUUUGAUGAAACUUCAUAUCCAUUCUUUUCAGAUCCUGAUUUUCAUUCUUUGAAUAAAUCUCAGUCCAACUCUUAUGAUUCCAUUACACCUAUACAAGUAUUUCAAUUGUCUACCUUACCUGUCAUAUCAGUUUUUUUGAAUAACAGCAAUGAGUCUCUUUCUCAAGCAUAUACCAGUAGUGAUAACUUUCCUUCAGCAGUAGAUUCAACACAAGUACAUGUCUCAGAUCAACAACUCUCAAACACAAACAAUGUCUCAGAUCAACAACCAAUUUUACCUGCACCUACAACAUUACCUUCUCCAGAUGAAAUUCCACAAACUCAACCUAUUCUAAACUCACCAUCUCUAAACCACCAUCCUAUGAUUACUAGAGGAAAGGCAGGUAUCUUUAAGCCAAAGCUAUGUACUGCAGUUUUGUUGUACAAAGAACCAAAAACUAUUCAGGAGGCUCUCAACAAUGAAAGGUGGUUUCAGGCAAUGAAAGCUGAAUAUAAUGCAUUGAUAUCAAAUGGCACUUGGACAUUGGUACCAAGAACAGAAAAUCAUAAGCUUAUUGGUAACAAAUGGGUUUUCAGAAUAAAAACCAAUACUGAUGGAAGUGUUGAGAAAUAUAAGGCAAGAUUGGUUGCUAAAGGAUUUCAGCAGAUUGAGGGUGUUAACUACUUCGAGACUUUCAGUCCAGUGGUAAAAUCAGCAACAGUUAGAGUGAUCUUAAGUUUGGCAGUGAUGAACCAGUGGCAAAUACGACAAGUUGAUGUGAAUAAUGCAUUCUUAAAUGGAGAUCUAACUGAAGAAGUUUAUAUGAGACAGCCAGAAGGAUUUGUUGAUCCACAAAGACCAGACUCUGUAUGUAAACUGCACAAAGCUCUUUAUGGCCUGAAACAAGCUCCUCGUGGUUGGUUUGACAAACUGAAAAGUAGUCUUAUACAAUGGGGAUUCAAGAAUUCUAAGUCUGACACAUCUCUAUUCUUGAGAAGAACCAAGAGCUCAAUCAUUAUAAUUCUGAUAUAUGUAGAUGAUAUAUUGAUUAUAGGAUCAGAUUGUGUUGAGUUGGAAGAGUUUAUUAAGUUGUUCAGCUCUACAUUUGCAUUAAAGGAUCUGGGGAGACUAUCUUACUUUCUGGGUAUAGAAGUAUUAUAUGGUCAUGAUAGUAUAUACCUGUCACAAAAGAAGUAUAUCCGAGACUUGCUUGCAAAAGUUGACAUGCUUGAAUGCAAGGGAACAAACACACCAAUGAGUAGCAGUAAAGAUUACAGAUUGCAGAAGAGUGUUGAGGGAGAAAUGGGCUAUUAUAUUGAAGAUCCCACUCAUUACAGAAGCAUAGUUGGAGGACUGCAGUAUUUGGUUUUAACUAGACCUGAGAUAGCUUAUUCUAUUUACAAACUAAGUCAGUAUGUGUCUUCACCAACUCUUCAACAACUUAUGGCAUGUAAACGAGUGCUAAGAUAUUUGAAGGAAACACAAGAAUAUGGUCUAAAGUUUGUUAGAGAAGGUGACAUGAAGCUUACAGCAUUUACAGAUGCUGAUUGGGGAAGUGAUCUUGAUGACAGAAGAUCAGUUGGAGCUUAUUGUGUAUACUUGGGAAACAAUUUAAUCUCAUGGUCCUCAAAGAAACAAUCAGUGGUUACCAAGUCAUCAGCUGAAAGUGAAUACAGGGCUCUUGCUGCAGCUGUUUCUGAAAUAACAUGGCUAAAGUCAUUGUUCCUUGAAAUUGGUUUAUGUUGUGAUGAAAGCCAAUCAUAUGGUGUGACAAUGUGAGUGCUGCUGAACUUGCUCGCAAUCCAGUAUUUCACUCAAGAACAAAACACAUAGAAAUUGAUCUACACUUUAUCAGAGACAAGGUUUUGGCUGGAGACUUGAAGAUACUAUAUGUUCCCAAUGCAGAGCAAAUAGCUGACAUAUUAACUAAGCCACUGAACUCUUCUCAAUUCAAACCUAAGGCUCAAACUCAAUGUGGAGCUAUGUCCCUUGAGUUUGAGGGGGGCUGUGAAGAGAGCUCACUGUGCUGAGUUAAAACAAGAAAGGAAGCCAGCAGUCAAGAUUCUUCAGCAAUGCCACGUCAGUGCUGAGUCAGCUGAUUCUGUUAAGGAUUGUUGAAAGCUCACGUGACUAUUAGUUAGUUAAUUAGCUUUUAGUUAGUGAUGUAGGAUUCUGAUUGGUUGAUUAAUUGCAAUGCUUAUUUGAUCAAUUGUAGCUUGGAAAUAAACUGUAUAUAAACAGAGUCUGUAACGAUUGCUUCAAUUAAUGAAAAGAAAAUAUUCCAGAGAGUUCAUCUAUUUUCUCAGUAACCAAACAAGCAUUUAGCUUAAUUUGCUAUUAUUUUACAUUAAUUAUGCUUCAUUUUUUCGUUAAAGAUUGGAUGGUUGCAUGGAUUGAUGGAGUUGGAGUUCAACCAAUAAUUCUAAUUUUUUGGACUUAAAAUGCCUUUUUCUUCGGUAUAAAAACUUUAGUAAGUGCUAUUGAGUUGACAGAAGUUGAAUACUUACAGGUUGUUUCACACUUUUUAAUAGUUUUACAUAUAUGAAUUUCUGUUUUUUGAUUUUCAGAAAGGAGGUGGAACUAUUGAUUUGGAACCUUAUCUUACUCAUUCAUCGACAACGGAGCCUACCCUCGCUCCCAUGGCAGUGGAACGGACAACGACUACUAGGGCUGCAACAUCAGUUGGUUUGGGUCUGUUUUGAGUUUAUUUUCAUUUAUUUGGCUAUGUUUUGAUAGCGAAUUUUGAUAUGUCAAUGUAGGGUGCGUUUGGGAUUGAGGUGCUGUAGCUUUUAAGCUAUAGCCACUGUGAAAAAAAAGUUGUAAUUAUGAAAUAAAAGUUAAUAAUAUAUAAUAAAUAUAAAUUUUAAAUAAUAAUUUUAUUAAAAUUAUUAAAGAUAUAAUAAAUUUUAUAUUAUACAAGUGAAAAAUUAUAUCAACAUAACUUAAAAGCUACAGCAGUUAGUGUUUACCAAACACUUUAGUGCUGUAGCUUUUAAGCUACAGCUGGCCAACCUCAAUCCCAAACGCACCUGUAAUGUGUAAUUGUUUUGGGUUGAGCUGGUAAUUAUGCUGGAUUAGAUUGGUUUGGUUUUGGUGCUUCUCUGAUGGAACACUGUUUUUUUUAGAAAUUUUGAAUGUAAUAUGAGACUACAUUUAGUUUAAUUGAACACUGCAUCUAGUCUAAUUACUAGAAGUGCGGCAUUUGGUUUGGUUUAUCCGAUAUUCUCCAGAAUUUCACUUGCAUCUGGUUUUGUUGCAUAUGUUUGCUUGCAUUUGGUGGCAGUAGCAGACUGUUUGGUUUUGUGACAUUUGAUGGCAGUUUUGUCUGUUCUUGGUGUUGAUUUAAGAUUGUUCCUGUUGUGCUGAUGUUAAUUGCAGGUGCUUGAAUCAGCUAGGGUUGCUGGUUUAUUCAGAUGGUUGACUCAGGCGUUGUUACUGGUUAAUUCAGGUGGCUGACUCAAGUUGUUCAUUUAAUGUUAGGAAGCAAAUUAAGAAUUAAUGAAGUAUUCAUUUAACUAUAAUUAUUGUAGUUAUUUUAUUUCAUAACUGAAUUAUAAUCUAUGAUACUUGUGAACAAAUUAGAGAAUUUUUAUAUAUGAAUUAUAUAUAUGUGUAUGUACAUUUUGCUAAUAAUUUAAAGAAUAUAUUUCAAUUCCCACAAAAAAAUGGCUCCAAUUUCAAUAAUUCCCGCCAAAUAAUUAAAUUUUUUUAAUUUACCAGCAAAAUAUAUCUUAAAGAAAUUUUAGUUAUUCUUGCUAGAUUUAACAAAAAUGAUUUGUAGGAUUAACAUUUAAUUAAAAUAAUUAAAUAAUUUUAUUAUUCCAAUUAAAUAUGUCAUGUUUAUACGACAGACAAUAUUCAUGAAUGGGAAGUAUUAGUUACAUAUUUUUCCUUGGGAUUUCAGGCAAAUGAAAAAAAGAUUGAGAAUGAUUUCAAGAGGACAGGUGGAUGAUAAGUAUUCAUUUUUGUAUAUUUGUCUAAUGUCCUCAUUAGUGGAUUUUUAUUAGGGAUGGCAAUGGGGAGAGGAGGGGAGGGGACCAAUCUCCCCGUACCCAUCCCUGAUAUUUUGCGUAUGUCCCCGUCCCCUCUCCAUCCCCAUCAAAAUUAUUUAAGAGAAUCCCCAUCCCCUCCCCGAAUAAUAACAGGGGAUCCCCGAGGGUCCCCGAUCCCCGAAUAACUAAUACAUUUUUUUUAUUUUCGAUUUUGAGUUAAUCAUAUUAAAAUAAAAAAUUCAAAUAAAAGUAAAGUUCAAAAUAUAUCUUACAUUAAUAUCCAUUACAAAAGUCACAUACAUUAAAUUAGUAAGUAACGCAGCAUGCAAGAGAUACAAACUAUCAUGAACAAAUUAAUAGCCUAAUACAAAAUUGUUACAAAUAAAAUCAAAUUUAGAUUAAAAAUUAACUUUUCAAUGGUGGCGUGGGCACUUUAUAAAUGUGGACUAUUCCCUUUACAUCACAAUAGUUAAGUCGAAGCAAAUCAAGAGUAAAUAUUAGAUUAGAUUAUAUAUUAAAAUUGUGAUUUGCUGUGGGCAAUUAUAACAUCUAAAAAAAAAUAGAUUUAAGAUAAAUAAAAAAUAGAUUUAAGUUUAAAAUAUUUAAUGAAUAUUAAAAUUAAAACAAAAGUUUUGGGCUAAUAGAAUCUGUCCGGUCUUUUUAAUGUCCUAAAUAAAAAUUUAGGACUUUAAUUAGUUAAUUAGGCCUAAAAAUUUAAUAAUAUAAAUAUUUUGAUAUUUUUUAUUUUUACCAAUACUUAUAAUUUUAUAAUUCAAAUUUUAUUAUUUAUUUACUAGUAAUUUUAAAAAAUAAAAAUUAAAUUAAAAAUUAAAAUGGGGAAAUGGGUAGGGGAUGGGGAUUCCACCUCAUCCCUGUCCCCUCCCCGAAUAAGAAAUUGGGUACAAAAAUUUCCCCGUCCCUUCCCCGAAUAAGAAAUUAGGUAUGAAAUUAUCCCCAUACCCUCCCCGAAUGGGGAAAAUCCCCGAGCGUACCCGUCCCCGUGGGAAUUUUUGCCAUCCCUAAUUUUUAUGGUAUUGAUCUUUUUUUUUUUUAAUUUUCAGUUAGUUGCAGCCCUAGAGGAAGAGCAGGCUGAUCAAAUUGAUUUGUCUUGUUUUUCGGGCAAUCUACGACAUGAUGACCGUGAUAAUGCUCGUGACUGCUGGAAACUUUCUGAUGGAAAUAACUUUAGAGUUCGUAGCAAGCAUUUUUGUUAUGACAAAACAAAGGUUCCCCCAUAUUUUGUUUGUUUGUUAUGGUAUUUAUAUAUCCUGCAUUGGCUAGGUAGACAGGUUAUGAUGUACGUGUUUCUCAUAUAGAACUCAAGUCUGCUGUUGUCCCAAAGUUGGAACCAGAGAUAUCAUGACUCUGGUUUCAUUUCACCUCAACUGUGUUUUUUUUUUUUUAAUUAAAAAAAUAUUUGUUUUAGGUAUACAUACAUGUAUUUUGAUUCUAUUUUCAUUGUAAUUUCUCAUUUACUUUGAAUGAAAGUCAUUGGUGUUUUCGAAUGGGAAUUUUGCAUUAAAAAAUGAAGAAUAGUGAAUAGGAAAUUUCUUGAUUCUUUAGUUACUAUUUUUGGUAUGAGUGCCAUUAGUAGUAAGGUUGGUUUCUACUCGCAAACAAGUGAACUGCUCGAUUCCCGAGUGGUAUCAACCAGUUUCCAACUUUUUAAUAUACACUAAUUGUUAGUGUUUAAUAGCUACUGCUAUUAAAAUUCAACAGCUAACAAAAAUACUUAAAAAAAAUGAUUUUUCUUAUGAUGUUGGGAAAAAAAUUAUGGGUUUACUUAUUUCCACGAGAUCUAUAACAUGGUCUUGACUUCACGAAAUUCUUUUAAUUUAAAGCGUGCUGGUGUGAGAAGGUCAGUUUGACGGAUUAAUUCUUUUCAACAGUGGUCAAGAUAAUUUUACUAUACUAAAAAAUAUUCUUAUUCUGAUAAUGCCACAAAUGUUAUGCUGUUUUCUUCGGCUAAUGAUCUUCUAUUAGGAGAGGUUAGAAAUCAAAUGCUUAAAAGACCAAUUGAACGAAUAAUACAGAAAUUUAGGCAGAAUCUAAUCGAAUAUUGCAUGAAACAUGAAACAUCAAUUCAAGUCUUUUCUUAAACGGAGAAUGCAUCAAACAAAAUCCAAAGUGUCUUGCAAGUCUGUAGCAUGAGCAAAAAAUUGUAAAUAUGUUGAACCAAAUUAUUCAAGUACAGAAGAACGAGCAAGCUAAAUCAUGUAUAAGAGAUUGGCCUGGUUCGGGAUAGCUUCUUCACUGUACCUGAAGGGUUGGCUCAAUCUCUUCUUUAGAAUUCUGCAGAUUUUGUAAUUACUCGUGUAAGCAAGCAUACAUUGCCACCAUAAGAAUAAUAAAGCUAGAGUAAUGAUAUGACCACCACCUCUUGUGCACAAACAAUAUUGUAUAAACUAAUGCGACAUAAUAUGAUUGGUUAAACAAAAACAUUACAUGGCCCUCAUAAUUUAUUUAUUUAUUAUUAUUAUUAUAUAUUUUCAGUCAACCAAUCAUAUUAUAUUACAUUAGUUUCUAUAAAAUAAUUUGCUAAAUAGCACCAAAACUUAAUUGAUACUCACCAUUUCAUUGAACAAUUUUUUCAUGGUGUCAUUGAGAUUGCCUUCCCAACAUCCUUUAUCAUCAUCUUUUUCUUCUUCGGUGACGUUCACUUUGUUUAGCAUUGGUGUGUCUAAGACUCCUUGAGAGAAGAUCUUCAUUUUUGGACACUGUCUCACAACUACUUGUUUCAAGGACGGGAAUUCAAGAGCGUAAUUACCUAAACAAAAGCUUGUUAGGCUUGGCAAACAAUCAAGUCCCAAGUACUUCAAUUUGUUGAAAACAAUGCAAUCUUUCGAUUCUUCUCCAACCUGCGACUGUAUGAUUUCUUCCAUCAUUUUGCAAUCAGUUAUCUUCAUUCUUCUGAGAUUAACCAGAUUUUUAGAUGCUGAGAGCGUCAACACAUUUAUCAACCCGUGACACUUCGAUACUUUCAAAACCUCAAGGUUUUCCAAAUGCCACGAAGGUGGUACUAAUUUUUGCAACUUACCACAUUCCGAUAUUUUUAGACUUUCCAAAUUUGCAAAUACUUUGUUGGAUUCGGCAUUUUCCUUCCAGAGAUGCUGCAAUUUGUGUAAUCCAGACAACUCUAACCCCCACAAUUGAGGGAAAGCAACCUGAAAAUCAACAAAAUUAAGUUGUAAAUGAAAAUAUGUAUCCAAUCUCUGCAGUCUUCCUCUGCAUAUUUUAUGGACAAGAUUAAUCACGGCAUUUUAUAUUUUAUUUUCCAAAUUAGUAUGCUUUGCAGUAGGAUCCCAAAUAUAAGUAUCAAAUCGAUUACUCUUUGAAACACAUAAAUGAAAUCUGAUGCUAAAUCCAAUAUGAAUUAGCUAGGAAAACAGAGAUGUUACACACAUAAUUAAUAUAGUUCAUCACCUCGUGUUACCAGGCAUCCAAUUAAUUUCUGACAUUUUUAUAAUUCAUACUAUAAAGUUAGUUAAUAACGGAGGUUAUAUUGUUAAAUCAGAUAUAAAUUAAGACGACAUGCAAAAAGAUGAGUCAUUAAAUUUGAUUUGAUUCUAAUGAAAUUACAUCUGUGCGAAUGAAAGUGAAGGGAAAAAUAAUAAUAAUGAUUACCUUUUCAUCGAAGAGAUGUUGUAUUUGAUUAGCUACCAAGAGGUUCUCUUCUGAUUUUAAUUUUUGAGCUUCCUUAUUAUCUGCUGUCAUGUGCAGUACAGAUGUAGAAUUGGAUAUGAAUGUUUCCAUAUCAGGGCAAUUCUCAAUAGUUAGAUAACUCAGCAGUUCAAUUAUAUUCCCAGUGAAGUUGCAGAAUCUUUUGAGUUUUGGAAGAUCAAUGAGCCUUAGGUUGGAAAGCUUAGGAAACAGGGGGCCUAUAUGUUCUUUGUCAGCAUUAAUUAGCUCUUCCAAAUGGAGCACCUCUUCUAGUGAAUCACAAUUCGUCACUGCCAGGCAUUCCAAAUUGUUCAAGCACCGUAGCAGAUUGGCAGGAAUAGCACUCGACAUAUUCGUGCAGUCAUCCACUUCCAGCUUUCUUAAAUUGUUGAAGAAGCUGACAGGCAGUUCUUGGCCAUGCCAUAUUUCUUUCAAACGUGGAAAACGUGAGAGUUGCAAAUACUCUAUAUCACGAAAUCCAAUCUGCACAAACCAAAACAAUUGCACUGGAUAUAUACAAUUUUUUUUUAAAGGCAUUAGAUAUAUAUAUAUAUAUAUAUAUACACACACACACACACACACACAUUAAACUUACAUGUUUUGUGUUUUAACUUCUAAAACUACAUAUACAAGGUAGGUGUAUAUGUUUAAAUGUGCAAGCGUAGGGGAGAUGCAUGAACAAUUUGGGUGAAUCGAUUAACACAGACCAUCUUUUUGUAACAUAUUUUUAAAUGUGCAAGUGCAAGGGAGAUGCAUGAGCAAUUUGGAUGAAUUGAUGAGCACAUACCAUUUCUUUGUAACACUUCUGUAUAGUGGAAUUAAGAUUGCCUUCCCGAUGGUACAAUUCACUGUCUUCCUUUUUACUAACUUGCACUUUGUACAGCUUUGGUGUGGAUAAGAUUCCCUGGGGAAAAGUCUUCAUGUUCGGACAAUGUGUCACCGAAACUCGUUCCAAUGAUGGGAAUUCAAGAGUAUAAUUCUCCAAACAAAAGCUGGUAAGCCUUGGUAAAUAAUCAAGUAUCAAAACUUUUAAUUCGCUGAAAGCAAUACGAUUCUCCUUCACUUCUUCUCCAACAUGUCCUACGAUUUCUUCUAAUUUUUGGCAAUUCGAUACAUUAAGAUUCACCAGACUACUAGGAAUUCCAACCUGAAAAUAAGCAAAAGUGUGUGUAUAUUAAAAAAGUAAAAAUGUAAGAAUAUCAUUCAACUAGCACCACAACAGAAAUGGCUUUUUGCAACAAAAAGAUUUUGUUGCCUAAAGUGCCAAUUUUGUUGCCAUAGGUUAUUGCUACAAAAACAAGCUUGUCGGCCCGGUCGUCGGCCUAGCACUGUCGCCCUCUAUGUUUAACAACAUAUCAAAACAUUUCUCGCCUCAAACUUCCUUUCGCAACAAAACAGAUUCGUUGUGAAGGAGUCUUCAACUUGUUUAGAGAAUAAUUUGGCAACAAACAUUUUUGUUGCGCUAAACAGUUUUACACAACAAACUAAUUUUGUUUCUAUAUAGUUAUUUACUACAAAACUAAUUUGUUGCUAAGAAAUAAAGUACAUUUUAUAAAAAAAACGUGUACCAACAAAGGUGUUUGUUAGCUAAGAUCAUUUUAGGCAACAAAACUACUUUGUUUCUUUAUGUUGAAAAUUUUACAAAUUUGCAAUAAAUAUUUAUAUAUUUUUAGAAACAAAUCAAUUUUGUCAUUAAAAAAUAGUACAAUUUUUUUUUAAUAAUAUCAUGGUAUAAAAGGAAGCAAACCAAGUUCGUUGGGAAAGAUACCAAUUUUUUCCCCCACCAUGACAAUAAUAAACUAGAAAUAUAUGUUGAGAAAUCUAACAAAAAAAUCAUUAAUGUCAUUGAACUAAUUUAAAAGUUAAAGGCCCAUUCAGUAUCCAAGCUAUAUAUAUAUAUAUACAAAACUGACUUUAAGAAUCACAUAUGAUAGUCAAAUACAAAAGUGGAUUGUCAUCUAUCCCAAAAAUGUAAUGAGCAAAAAUUAUAAACGAUCUCUAAUUACAACUACUCCAAACUCCAAAUACUUAAAGAUAUGACAUGCACCAGCAGUAACCAAAAAGAUCAAGUGAUGACCAAUUCAAAAUACUAACAAGUUCAAGAUACUCUAAGGACAUCAUUGAAAUGAGUAAUCAUUGAGUAGCUGAAUCUGUAAAGCAAAAAGUGGAUCCUUGAGAAGAAAAAAAUUGCUGCAUCAUACCCUCAAAUUGGGACAAUCUGGACUCCAAUUGAUCAAUAGUCUUCUUUUGUUCUUGAAGCUCAACAUCUUGUGAAUCCAAUCUACUUUGUUGUGAAGAUAUAAUACCAUGCAAUCUGUCAGCCUCAGAAGUAUCAACACCAUGGUUUGAAGUUGGGCGUGGUCCGUUGCCAAGUCCUCGAAAAUAGCCUGUUUUCUUUCCAAGUACUUCAAUGCAUAUUUCCUUUUGAGUUAGUGGUUUUGCUUCUUGAGGAUCUAUUUGUUGCUGUUGUUGUAUCUCUACCAUUUGGUCCUAUACAUAAAGCUUUGUUAGUAAAUGAAGGAAGAAAAAAAAGAAUUUUAUUAAUUAAAUAGUUGAAAUUUAAUCCAUUGGUCAUGGAAUUAAUUUGUAUUAAGGCAUAAAUUGAAAAAAAAAAAAAAGAAACUUGCUGUUAUACUUAUAAAUCUAAUUAUUUGAUAUUUCAAAUAAUAAAGUUAAUUAGAGCAUGAAAGAAAAAUUAAGAAAAAAAAACUCAAUGAGUAAACUUUCAUCAACAGUAUGUAGGUGAUAAGAAAUAAUAAAAUUAAAAAUUUUGUUUCCAACAAAGCAUCUUACAUGGUUUAAGUGUGCCAUCUCAUUCACCCAACCUUUUGUCUUGCUGAAAUGAUUGACGCGAAAUAAUUCUAUUUCACCAUCAACCAUGUCAUCCUCAAGAUAAUUAACAAAAGGUCUUGAUCCCCCACAAUGGACAUAUGGGAGCUUAGCACGAUUAGCUUUGUUUUUGGUAGAUUGAGUCUACAUUAAAAAAAUAUAACAGUGGAAAAUAAGAUACAUAUACAAGCAUAUUGACAACUAGUUGGACAAUUUAAAGUUCAUAAUAUGAAUAUCAUUGGACCUGGAAACUUGCGGAAUUGUAAAUGUUAUGACAAAGCCAAGCCCAAUCAUCUGGACAUAUGCCUGGAUAUGAAUGCUUAAGUGCCUCUUCAAAGGAUGGAUAAUCCAAGUAAUGAUCAUACAUCCAAUGUCUCAUAUCAUGAUAUCUCCCACCCAUAAUGUUAUUCACACAUCGACGAACAUGUGGUACGUUCAAAUCAAUCUCAAACUUUGACUGAAUUUAGGAAAAAAAAGAUAUCUCAGUUUAUAAUUAAAAAAAAUGACAUAUGAAGAAUAUUAAUAAUCAUAAGUACUUACUAAUAGUCGAUCAAACAAAACCUACCAAUUAAACUCUUUAAAUACCAAAUUCUAGAGUUGUAACAACACCUUGCACAAACUCUUGGCUGGGCAUAACAGGCUAAGAUUGGGGAAUUGUAGAUGCGACAACAAUUUCUGCUCUUACACGUUUGGUAACUCUAUGUCCAGGACCCAUCUAGUAAUUAUUAAAAAUAUACAUUAGAGUUUAUUAAUAAUCAACAUAAAAAUAAAUCAAGAUAACUAUAAUUUUGUCAAAGAAAUUAUAACAUGAAAGAUCCUAUUACUGGGCAUAGAUCCUAAAUUCAUUUGACUAUUGUCCACAAACUCAGGUUCUUCACCAUGAAAAACCCAUGAAAAAUCCAUUAACUUUAAUUUAACAAAUUAAAAAUUGAAACAAAGACCCACUUAAUAAAUAAUUAAAGCAAAACCCACUAAACAAAAUCAAACUCAACAGGCCAAUAUAUAAAAUAAAACUAAAUUUACUUGAAGAAAUCGUUGUCUUGAGUGGUGCCUUCCAAGUACAACUCUUCAAUGGCUUAAAGCUUGGGCAGAGAGAAUGACUCCAAGGCAGGGCAAAAGAAACAAGCGAAGAGUAAAGUGGAAAUAUUCUAGAAGCAAUAUUUUAAUUAAGAAAAAAUUGGAGAUGGAAACUUUACUUCGGUUAGCACGCGGUUUAUUAAAUAAAGGGCGCGGAAAUAAAAAAUUAAAAAGCCUCCCACAAAGUCAUGUUUGCUUUUAUAUUAUCUUUAUAUUUUCAUUUAUUAAUUUAAUAUUUUUGUUAACCUUUGCGCAACAAAAUUAAUCUCGUUGCAAAAAACUCUGAGAGUACAAAACAAAUUUUCUCGCUAAUCACAACCUUUUGCAAUAUUUCAUUUGUUGCAACUGAUUUAAGUGUUUGUUGUGGAAAAACUUGAGCAACGAAACAUAUUUUGCCUUCAUUAAGCUUGUUAGGCAACAAGAACACUUUUGUUGCCAAACAUAGCGUAGGGCAAGAAAAUAUUUUGUUGCCAUAUAUUCUAAUUUUCUUGCCUAUUCCACAUCAUUAAGAAGAAUAAAAUCUGUUUAGCUAUAGCGAUAAAGACUAAUUUUUGUUGCAAGAUAUGAAUUUUAGCAAUAAAGUAAGUUUUGUUGCAAUAGAAUUUGUAGCCAAUACUCUAUUUUCUUGUGGUGUAGGUUCAAAGUAUGUUUAAUCAUACAAUUAUACGUUUUAUAAACAUAACAAACCAUGAAAUGUCUACUAGAUAAUUUUUUGUUAAACAAAAAAAGCAACAAGAUAAAUAAAUAAAUAAAAGCCAGAUAAACAAAGAUAAUAAAAAUGCAUUUACACUAUUUACUAUUAGGAAUGUAGAAAGAAUUUAAGGCAAUUUCUAAAUAUUUUAGACUUAUUUUGCAUCUUGAUAUCAGUUUUUAAGCAUAAAUUUGCAAAUUUCAACUAUUCCUUUUGGGGAAAAAAAAAUCAACCAAAAUGCCGCUUUUUCCCUUUUCCUUGGUCCCUUUUUUUUAUGUACAUUUAAAAAUGGGAAAAAAAAUUGGAAAAGACUUCCCAAUAUUGUCAACAAGGGACUGCUGCUGUAAAGUGGAUCUUUAUUAAGUACUUCCAGACUCAAGGAAAUUUCUUUACAAUCACGGGUCAGUUGUAAAUAAUCAUCAAUUUGUGGUUAAUUAAUGGCAUAAUCAAUUCGUAACUAAACAAGAGAUAUUAAUUAAAUUUGAAGACUUUUAUUUUCUUUUUUUUCUUUUUCCAAUCGAAAUGUGAAGAAUUAAGGAAAAGAGAAAUAUAUAGAUGAAUUUAUGAACCUAUAAGAUGAGUGACUAUCCUUUAAUUUUUGAAAAUCGUACUUUUUAAGAUAUGAGCAAAAACUAUUUAAUUGAAUUAUAUUAUGCUGUUGAAUCGUGUUUGAAAAAUUUAUAUUGUUAAUUCUAAUGCUGACGAACCUAAAAACCGGACUUAAAACGUAGAUUUCAGGGUGGUGGUUCGAAGUACGAUACUUGAAAUAAAUAAUCAGUGGCUGAAUAUCAUUUGUAAACAAAAAAUGGUUAAAAUAUUGUUGGAUGUAAUUUGAAAAAAAAAAAAAAGAUUCGAAAUGAAUACAGCGAACUUACCAAUGGAGGAAAAAUAUUCUUUAGGUUAUCACACCAAUUUAUCUCCAAAUUCUUCAAUUUGCUGAAAGACUCCGAAGCAAGCUGGUGGUGCCAUAUUCUUCUCAAAUUAUCCAUCCUCCCAAUAUCUAAUACCUCCAACCUAGGAAGUCGUACCUGGCAGUUAAAGAUUAAAUAACUAAUUGAUCAAUUAAUGGCAUAAUCAAUUGAUAACUAAAUUAGAGGCGGAUAUUAACUAAUUUUGAAGACUCAAGGAAAAGAAAAAUUAAGUAUUGUGACUAAAAUUAAUUUUUUUUAUUAAAAAAAAAACUUUUCGUCAAAGAGAGGAGGAGGUUGCAUUUCAGAAUGAUUGGUGUCUUCUGGUGAGCUCGUAGAGAUGAAUCUUAACAUAUUUCUGCAACCACGAAACUUGAGGUUUAGCAAAGAAGGGAAUUCAACAACUGAAUCUGAAUGAAUAUGUCCCGUAUUGGCAAAGCUUGUUAGUUUAUAAAGCCCAUAGAGCUGUAGGGAGUGUAGUUUAGGAAAAACCUUUAAUUCAAUCAACUUUCCUUCAUCUCUUUCUGACCACCCCGUGGUGUCGACUACCCUUUCCAUUGACCAACAAGUGGUUAUCUCAAGAUGUUGGAGUUUCGCAAGACUAUUAACCAUAGAAUAUGAAAACAGAUACUUCAUACGAUGACAACUGACCACGUGCAGCUUUGUUAGAUUUUGAUAACAGUACAUUCCUUGAUUAUGAUCGGCCCAUAAUUUUUUCAUGUUUCUUAAGUCCCUGAGAUUCAAUUCCUCUAAGCUCGGAAGAAUAACCUGCAAAGAAAACCCGUACAUUUUUGUUCCUUCAAGUACAACCGUCUAGUAUAAUAUUUUUUUGAUGAUCGAAGAUUAAUGGUGAUAAUAAAUUAAUCAAUUAAUUAUUGAACAGAAAAUUAUCACCUUUGGAGCAGUAUCAUCAUCAGCAAUGAUUUCGUUGAAUCCCAAAGAAGUUGUUGGUUUCUCCCUGUCGGGUCCUAUAAACAAACAAAAACAAUAUAUACAUAAUUAAUCUUUGUUUUUUUUUGGUCCAAAAUAAUUGAGGAGAAGUCCAUAAUCACACCAACACUUACCAACAAUCAUUUCCAGAUCAUCGCAAGAAGCCACUUCUACCUUUUGAAGCUGCAGUAGGUUUUUGGCUAUGGAGAAUGAGAAAAGAUGCUUCAAUUCGCGACAGGAUUUUACUUCGAUAAUCCUUAAGUUGCUGAAAGAUUGAUCUUCUGUGAGUUGGCUGUCACAUAUUGUCUCCAAAUUAUUCAAAUAGCUAAGAGACAAUGACUCCAGCAAGGGAAAGACUGUCCAAUGAACCCGUCCAACUGAACCAACAAUAUGCGAAAUAUCAUAACAAUAUUCUACACGAAGAUGCUUCAAUCGUGGAAAACCUUCCCCAUCAUCUAAUUCAUGAACAACAUUCUGAACACCCUUCAGUUCGAUUAGAUGGAUCUCUUCAGUUAACUUCAGCAACAUUUUCGUCCCAUAAUUCUCCCAAAGAGUGCUAACAUUUUCUAACCCAUGGAGCUCCACCAAUCUUGAUGUUUCAGAAUUAACGCGCCACCACGCUUCUCCUAUACAUAUCUUAUAUCUUUGCAAUUCCACAGGGACCCAAUCCUGCGGCAGAAUUUGGGCAUCCCGAACGUGUAUCUCCAAGGUACUUAGCUUUGACAACCCCUUCAAUUCAGCAAGACUGGCGUUACUUCCUCCUUCAACCUUAUCCCACUGCGAAAAACUGUCACCCAUAUAUAGUUCUUCCAAUCGAGAAAAAUUUGAUAUGACAUUUGGUGCUAUCACUACAAGGCUCCUACAAUGUUGGGUGCAAGCGGAAGUGCAGAAAAAUUUUUAUUUAAGAACAGAGUAUUUUGCUGGAAAUUUCUGAAACUUUAUUGCUUAAUUCAUUUUUUUCGUUUCUCUCUUCCUUUUCAUACAACCAGAGUUCUAUAUUUAUAUGCAUUAUAGACAACUCUAGAGAUUACAUUAAUCAUGCUUUACAUUUCCAAAGCUACAUUGCAAACAUCAAUUCUACCCUUUACUUCAUGUUGAAAAACAAACCAAAUAACCCUUCAAACUUCUUGCUCAAUUUACUAGAUUAUUAAUUAUAUCUCAACACCCCCUCUUAAUUAGUAAUCUUCAAUUGCUUCUUGAAUUUUUCAAACUUCUCAAUGUUGAUUGCUUUGGUCAGAAAAUCUGCUGGCUGCUCAUUAGUGCUGAUAAACUCCAUAUUAACUUCUCCUUUGUUUACUAAGUCACGGAUGUAGUGAUAACGCAGCUCAAUGUGCUUAGAUUUAGCAUGAAAUACGGGGUUCUUUGUUAGAGCAAUGGCUGACAUGUUGUCACAAUAAAUUGUUGUUGCAGCAUCUUGAUUGAAUUGCAAAUCCUUGAGAAUUCUUCUAAGCCAAACGGCUUCACAAGCUGAUUCAGUUGCUGCAAUGUACUCUGCCUCGGCUGAGGAUAAAGCUACUGACUUCUGCUUCCUUGAGCUCCAUGAAAUCACAUUUGUACCAAGACAAAAUAAAUAACCUGAUGUGCUUUUUCUGUUAUCAAGGGAACCAGCCCAGUCACUGUCAGUAAAACCAACAAGCUUGCAAUUGUCUUCUUUUUCAUACAUGAUCCCCUGCUUUUUUGUUCCUUGAAGAUACCUUAAGAUUCUCUUUGCUGCAAUAUAAUGGGACUUCCUUGGAUCAUUCAUAAAUCUAGAAAGAACACUAACUGAGUGCAAAAUGUCAGGUCUUGAGUUGGUUAGAUAAAUCAAUGAACCAACCAAGCUUCUAUAGAUUCUUGCGUCAGCCUUUUCUUCUUUUUCAUCAUGUUUCAAUUUUUCAUUCAAACCCAUAGGAGUAGGUGCUGGUUUGCAUUUGAACAUGUGGAAUUUCUUCAACAAAUCUUCUACGUAUUUUUCUUGACAAAAGAAGAUUUUACCUCUGGCUUGCUUCACUUGAAUGCCAAGAAAAUACAUCAUUAAGCCCAAGUCAGUCAUCUCAAAUUCAUCUAGCAUGCUUUUUUUAAACUCUUCCACCAUUUUCAGAUUAGUGCCACAAUAAAUUAGAUCAUCAACAUAAAGGCAAACAAUAAGGAAAUCAGUACCUUCCUUUUUGACAUAAAGAGAAGGUUCACUUGAGCUUCUGUCAAAUCCAUUUUUAACAAAAUAUCUAUCAAUUCUACUAUUCCACGCUCGAGGGGCUUGCUUCAAGCCAUACAAGGCUUUUCGGAGUCGAUAAACUUUGUUUUCUUCACCUUUUACUUCAUAUCCUUUAGGCUGCUCAACAUAAACCUCUUCUUCAAUUUCACCAUUUAGAAAUGCCGAUUUUACAUCUAGCUGAAACACAUUUAAUUCCAUUUGGGCUGCCAAGGCAAGAACAGUUCGAAUAGUCUCCAUUCGAGCUACGGGAGCAAACGUUUCUGUAAAAUCAACUCCAGGCAGCUGAGAGUAUCCUUUGGCAACGAGCCGCGCCUUAUAUUUUUGAACUGAACCAUCUUCAUUGUACUUGAUUUUGAAGAUCCAUUUCAGCCCAAUUGUUUCUUUUCCAUUUGGCAAAUUAACCAUCUCCCAAGUUUUAUUUUUCACAAUGGUGGCCAUUUCCUCGUUCAUUGCUUUGAUCCAAUCUUCAUUUCUUGAGGCCUCCUCAAAGUCUUGAGGCUCACAAGAAAAUAAAGCAAGUUCACAUGACUCAUAAAUUUCUCUCAUUGACUUUAUCUUCCUUGGAGGGCUUUCAUCAUCCGAAGAAACUUUCUGCUGCUGAAUUUNNNNNNNNNNNNNNNNNNNNNNNNNNNNNNNNNNNNNNNNNNNNNNNNNNNNNNNNNNNNNNNNNNNNNNNNNNNNNNNNNNNNNNNNNNNNNNNNNNNNNNNNNNNNNNNNNNNNNNNNNNNNNNNNNNNNNNNNNNNNNNNNNNNNNNNNNNNNNNNNNNNNNNNNNNNNNNNNNNNNNNNNNNNNNNNNNNNNNNNNNNNNNNNNNNNNNNNNNNNNNNNNNNNNNNNNNNNNNNNNNNNNNNNNNNNNNNNNNNNNNNNNNNNNNNNNNNNNNNNNNNNNNNNNNNNNNNNNNNNNNNNNNNNNNNNNNNNNNNNNNNNNNNNNNNNNNNNNNNNNNNNNNNNNNNNNNNNNNNNNNNNNNNNNNNNNNNNNNNNNNNNNNNNNNNNNNNNNNNNNNNNNNNNNNNNNNNNNNNNNNNNNNNNNNNNNNNNNNNNNNNNNNNNNNNNNNNNNNNNNNNNNNNNNNNNNNNNNNNNNNNNNNNNNNNNNNNNNNNNNNNNNNNNNNNNNNNNNNNNNNNNNNNNNNNNNNNNNNNNNNNNNNNNNNNNNNNNNNNNNNNNNNNNNNNNNNNNNNNNNNNNNNNNNNNNNNNNNNNNNNNNNNNNNNNNNNNNNNNNNNNNNNNNNNNNNNNNNNNNNNNNNNNNNNNNNNNNNNNNNNNNNNNNNNNNNNNNNNNNNNNNNNNNNNNNNNNNNNNNNNNNNNNNNNNNNNNNNNNNNNNNNNNNNNNNNNNNNNNNNNNNNNNNNNNNNNNNNNNNNNNNNNNNNNNNNNNNNNNNNNNNNNNNNNNNNNNNNNNNNNNNNNNNNNNNNNNNNNNNNNNNNNNNNNNNNNNNNNNNNNNNNNNNNNNNNNNNNNNNNNNNNNNNNNNNNNNNNNNNNNNNNNNNNNNNNNNNNNNNNNNNNNNNNNNNNNNNNNNNNNNNNNNNNNNNNNNNNNNNNNNNNNNNNNNNNNNNNNNNNNNNNNNNNNNNNNNNNNNNNNNNNNNNNNNNNNNNNNNNNNNNNNNNNNNNNNNNNNNNNNNNNNNNNNNNNNNNNNNNNNNNNNNNNNNNNNNNNNNNNNNNNNNNNNNNNNNNNNNNNNNNNNNNNNNNNNNNNNNNNNNNNNNNNNNNNNNNNNNNNNNNNNNNNNNNNNNNNNNNNAACUUGAUGGUGACUGCCUUUUCGGACCUUGAAAUUCUUGUUUUAGGAUUUCCCAAGCAUUUUUGGCCUUUUUGACACCAAAUAUUCUGGGGAAAAUUGACUUACUAACACCUUGCUGGAUAUAUCGAAGUGCCGUGGCAUUUCUCUGUAUGUUUUCUUUGUACUGCUGUUGAUGUGCUGGAGUCCAAUCUGAAGAACUUGCUGAUUCUGGUGGUUCAGCAUAUCCAUCUUCAACAACAAGGUGUUGGGUGCAAGCGGAAGUGCAGAAAAAUUUUUAUUUAAGAACAGAGUAUUUUGCUGGAAAUUUUUAUUUACAAUUGCUCAAAUCUAGCAAUUGUAACCCCGUCAAUUGUCCAAUUUCAAGUGGUAACUGCUUAAUGUCGGAAUAUCGAAAGCUAAGAAUCUCCAAUUUCUUUAGUUGUCCAAUUGCCGCUACAUCUUCUAGUUGGCACCAGUCUAAACACAAUGUUUGAAGGUUAAUGAGGCGACCGAGUGACGAAGGUAAUGAAGAGAAAGGAAUUCUAGUAAGACUUAAAACUUUGAGUUCUUCUGUCCCUUCAAAAAAGAGAUCUGAAAUUUGCAUAGGGCCAUUACCCUUUCUAAACAACAAAAAUAACUGGAGAUUGGGACAUUGCAACCUUUCAGGGAGCUCUUGAAUAUUUCUCUGGGGUAAUGAAAUGGCAAUUGGAUCUUUCCGUAUUGUCUCUUCCAUCUUUUUCUCUAAGUCGGCAACAUUUGGAAUAUUAAACAUGCGCUUCUCUGCGGCAAUUGAUACGGCAACAACAUGAGUGACGUCAUGCAUUUUAACUUCAUCUUUAGCAUCACCGUCCAACAAUAAGCAUGAAGAUUUGAGGUUGUCGAUCAACCGAUGCACUCUACUCCUUGCUUCUUCCGAUGUGUAAACAUUUUCAAAUAAACGCCAACCCACACCAUAUCUCAAUAAGUUAGAAACUUGUAUGACAUAACCUUCACUGUAUAGACCACAAAGACGGAACAGAGAUUUUGCCUCCUCACUUUCCAAGAAGUCAUAACUCAAUUUUAUGGAGGUGUAAACAUUUGCUUGCAUGCCAUGAAUUUCUCUUGCAUCCGAUCUUCUUAGCUGAUUCAAUGCAUCUUUCCAAAAGUCAAGCUCCUUAGUUUUCAGAGCAUUUGCAACUGUACUCAGUGCAACAGGCAAACCUCCGCAUCUUUCAACGAUCUCAUUGGCUGUACUUUGAAAAGCAGAUAUUUUAGUUGAAUCACCCACUAUCUCCUCAAAUAACUGCAAUGCUUCUUUUGGUGGCAAAGCAUCGAUCUGGAAAUUUUUCUGAGAAUUCAUAUCAAUGCGCAAUAAAUCUUGCUUUCUAGACGUCAAUAUUAUUGUGCAUCUUCUCUGAUCAUCCUUUCUAUCUUUCUCAGCAACAUCCCCGGUUGGAAUUCCAAAUUUAUCCAACUCAAGUUUUGUCCAAAUAUUAUCUAAUAUAAUGAGGAGCUGCUUCUCUUUCUUCAAUCUUUCAUGUAAUCGUUCAGCUCUUUGGAAUUCAUUCUCAUUCAGGCCAAAUUCCAUGCCUAAAUCAAAAGCAAGUUUGUUUUGAAUUUUAUGAUGAUCUGGGGUCUGUGUUACCUCAGCCAUAACGACCUUAUCGAACAAGUUUUCUUCCAUCACUUGCUUUGCAACUUGCUUGACUAUCGUGGUUUUACCCACGCCGCCCAUCCCGUGGACCCCAAUUAUGUUGAGCUUAUCAUCCCUCAACGCCUCCAUAACAUCUUGAAAUACUUUCAUUCUUGAAUCAAACGCCUCGAAAUCUUUCACUUGAAUAUGUUCUGCCAGCUUUGGAGUAGGACGGUGGGAAACAUUAGAGAAGUUGCCUUUUCCCACGAGACUAGCGGCAGCUUCUGCGGCCUUUGCUGCUUGUCUACUGAGCUUGUAACGGGAAAUCAAGUUUGGGCACGAUCCUUUGAAACAGAACUUCUUAGCUCUAUCUUCAUCAUCAGUGAUGGAUUUUGCAGCGCCCUGAGUGAAUUCCUUGACACUAUUAAGCCAGUCUGCAACAUCCUUAUAAAUCUCAUCUCCUUGUUGAGUAGCCUGAUGAACGGGUAUUUCCACCCUUUCUCUUUUGUGUUCCAGCUGCUUCACUUGAUCUUUUAGGCCAUCUAUGUAGCUCUGGUACUUGAACACAUAAGAUAUCUGCCGUAUAAUCGGUUUGAAUAGUGACUUUACACCUUCUGAUACGAUGCUGGAAAAAGCAGCCAGACCCACUUCUGCAGCCAUUGCCUGUUGCUUAACAGUAUAUAUAUAUAAAUAUAUAUAUAUAUAUAAAGUGAAUAAAAAUGUCAAAUAAAGGAAUACAAAUAAAUUAAAAUGAACUAGAGGGAAAGACAGAGAAAGAAUAGACCGCAAACAACAUCACGAUAUUGAUCUUGAACCAACUGAUACCUAAGUGGAGAAUUUCUUUUUCUAUCUUAAGGAUCAGAGGUUUCGCUAUUAACAGAAAGGUAUCCUUCAAGGAAAGUUGAUGGAAAUUAAGAAAGAAUGGCUAUCAAGAUCAAGUAUUCUGCUACUAAAAAUAAAUGAUAUGAUUAAGAAAAACCAGAGAAUUUUUUCCUAGGAAAGUUGAUGGAAAUUAAGAAAGCACCGCUAUGAAGAUCAAGUAUCAGAGAUUCUGCUACUAAAAGAAUAUUACAGGUUUUAGAACAAGUGCACCUCUUUACCUGUCUGGGAUCAGAGUUGAUGAGCUGCUGUAUUCACCUUGAAUAUAGAAGAAAUAUUACAGAUUUUGACUAAAGAGGAAUGUGAGGAACGAGUUGAUGAGAGUAAUAACAAUGAAUUUCCAAAAGAAGACGACUUGAGCAUUAAGCAUGCACCCCCUUUUUCAAUCAAAUAUUGGUACGUAUGUACGUAGGGACCAUUAUGCGUAUAUGAAGUCCAUUAGUUGCAAUCAGAAACCCUGGACCAAUUUAAAUGACACUCGAUUUUUGAUAAGAAGAAGGCAAGGAUAAGGACAAAGUCAAUCAAUCACCAACAGUAAUUACUUCAAUCUUUGUCAAUCUACUUAAAUUGUCGAUCAACAUGAAAAUUGUUUAAAUUGAUAUUUGUAAAUCAAUCAAUUUUCUAGUUACUAUGAUUAUAGCGUUUCACCUUUCAUAUUGGAUUUUAUCUUUUCGAAAGUUUUCAAAUAUGAGUGUCAAUAAUUAUUGAGACUCCAAGCCGUGCUCUCAAGAUCGUGCUGACACAUCACUAUUAACUUUAUUUAUGCAUAUUUCAAAGAAAAAAAGUUAUGGUUUUGUAUUGCCAGCCCUGCUACUUUUUGUUUUUUUUCAUUUGUAUUAUUUACGAUUUUUUUUUAACAGAAACAUGAGAACUCAUCAUCGUACAAAAUUGUAUGAAAAAAUCUUCAAAUUUAUAAAAGUAAAUUUCAUUGACAGAUUGUGGAUAUGUUAGCAAGAAUAAGGAUAAGAAUGAGUUAAGAAAUUAAAAAGAAAAAAAAUAUAGUGUAAGUAAACAAUGUUUUGGUACAUUUGGUAUUGUUUUCAAAAUAUUUUGAAAAGAAAAAUUUUCAAUCAUCCACCUAAAAAUUAUUUUAUUAUCCAAAAGUUAUGAAAAUUUAAAUAUACUUAAUUUUAUACCCAUUAUUACAAUGUGUAUCAACUGUUUACUAAAAAAAUAAAGUUACUCCUAAAACGUAAUCACCACUACAAUUUUAUGUUCGCUUCUAUUUUGUCACUUUGAACGAAUAACUUUGAGUAAAUGACUGAUAAUUUCUCUUUUAUAAGCUACAAGAAGUUAAAAAAAGAAAAAAGAAAAAAUAGGAUGAUAAUUUCUCUUUUAUUUGCCUCAGAUGAUUUAUUGUUUCGGGUCUAAGAUUUUAAAUAUUCAACUUAAAAGAUUAAUAUAUUAUAAAUUAAUUAAUUAAAUAAUCAUUAAGCAAAUAAAUUGUGUCCCUGGAUGUCAAUUCCUUUAAUAUUGACGCAACUAUUUUUUUCUGGCAAAUAAUUAUUAAUGCACUUACGGAACUUUGCAUAUCUACACAGCGAUUUUAAAUAUUACUGGUAACUGCUAAGAAAUGUGCGAGAAAGGAGUUGAUGAGAGUAAUAACAGCGACUUGCAAAAGGAAAAGACAGAAUCAUUCACCCCUUUUUGUAUCACGUAUUUGGUUACUGUUUCCCUGUUGACGCAUGUAUAAAUUUGAGUGGUUUUUCUCCACGUUUUUGAGUGGUCUUUCUGCACUUUUUAACAAUAUGAUAAUUGACAGGUUAAUUAUUUUAUAUCUUUUAUAAAAUUACUAUUAAAGGAGAUUUUCUGCACGCAUGUAUAAUAUUUUAUAUCUUUAUUUAUAUUACUAUUAAUUUUAAAUUAAAAUUAUUUAUAUUUAUUCAUAUUCAAAUAUUUAUUAUUAGUUAUAUUAACUAUAAUAUAAUUAAAUAAUACAUUAUUUAGUUAUAUUUUCAAUAUAAUAAAAAUUAAUAAUAUAAUAAUAAAAUUUAUUUAAACAUUUAUUAACAUGUAAUAAAUUUUGUUUUUGUGUACAAUACAAUAAAUUGAUAACUAAAAUAAAUAUUAUUAACAUUAUUUUAUUAUUUUAUUACCUCAAUAUUAUUAGUAAUUAUAAGAAUUCCUUGAAAGUUAAUGAUUUUACUUUUUUGAUUAAUAAGGAUAAUUUUAUAUUUUUAUAGUAUGUAUGACGGCUUGCCUCCUGCAUGCGUCUAAGUGCAACCUUCCUAUAUAAUCGGUUGCUUUGCUUGUGAAACUACAUCAAACCCUAAUCCUGAUCCUGAUCCUGCUGAGAUGAGUGUUAUAUAUGCUGAAGCAAAUUAAACACGCACAUCAUCAAUUUGAUUCGAUAUGCGCACCGUCUUACGUAUAAAUACCAAAAGAAAUCAUAAUAUACAUCUUAGUACUGAUAGUCGUGAUCACAAAUUAGGAACACAAUAUAUACACAUGCAUAAUAUAAAGAAAACACGAGGUAAAUUAAAAGCGUGUAAAUAUUCAUUUUUUUCAAAUAUUGAGAUGUAGCUAUAAAAGAAAAAAUAAAUUAAAAAAUUUUAAAUUUUAAUAUGGCCAUCGUAGAGUUAGAAUCCCCGCUCCAACCCAAUUUGGAGAUGUGCUUGGUCUAUUUAUGUUUUGGAAAAAGAAAAACCAAAGGAAAAAAAAAUACACACACGACCAAAUCAAGCAAUUCAUCAAAUAAAAAAUAAAAAAAGGAAAGAAAUUUAAUGACUUGCAUGCAAUUUUGGAUCUGAAAUUAAAAUUACAUAAAAAUUAAGGAUUACCUACCUUAAUAUUUACAGCUUAUUUGAUGGACUCAACAGGUUUAAGCAACAUCAAAAUGUUUGUGGCUCCUUAAAUGAGCCCCCGACAUGGUGCAAAUGACAACAUCGACUUGUUUGACAGCUCCAACAAGGCUACGAUGAUCAGAAAAUGAGCCCUCAAUCAACAAGCUAAGAUUGGCUUCUCUAUCCUCUUCUCCCCACAACCAGCGCCUUGCUCUUUGUCAUUUUUCCUCUUGUUAGUUUUCUUCUACAUAUAAUUAUUACACUGGGAAGUACACACCCCUCUUUUCUUUUUAUAGUACCUUACUAUUAUAUCUUUACAAAACAAUAUCACCCUAAGACAGAUAUGUAUGAAAUAAAUGAAAUAAAUAUAUAAGGAACUGACGAAAUAAAAUUAUCAUGACCAUAGACUUUUCUAAUUUAUUUUUUCCUUUAAAAAACGACAAGGAUAAGUUUGGGAAAAUGAUUAUAUUUUUAAUAAAAGAAUUCUUUUUUAUUAUAAGGAUCCACCUACGUUACAAUAGUGAUACCAUACUACAGUUUUUGUCUUUAUUUAGUUGAGUCGUUGGAUGUUUUACUGGUCAAUCUAAUGGCUGAAAUUAAUUAUUAGAUAAUUGAUGCGGCAACCUGCAACCGUUGGAGCCGGUUGCGUUUUAAUGUAAUGUAAUAUCAUUUGCGAGCUUGUGCUGAGAAAGUUUGUUGUACUGCAUCAAUGGAACUGAUUUGGUCAGGAUUUAUGGAUAUAGAGAAAGAGGAGUGUUAGAAAAGAAAACGGUGCAGAAGAUUGUCCCUUCAUCCAUUUGGCCUUUGGUAGGGGCUUCCUUUGAUUUUCACCUGGACUUCAUAAAUUCCUCAAAUUUCCUUCUUGAUAACAGUAAUCCUGCAUUCGGAGAGAGGUAAGUCACCAUGUUUCGUCACAAACGUGGCCAUCUCUUCUCCAUUCGAUUGGUUGCUUUUUAAAUCCAAUGGUUAUAUUAGAUGAGGACAAAAAUUGUGGUAUGGUACCACUGUUGUAACAUAAGUGGAUCCUUAUUAUAAUACUUUUUGUCUUAAUUAAUUUAAAAAUAUUGACUCUUAUAUUUUAAUAAAUAUAAAUAUAAUAUUAUAAUAAAAUAUAACAAUAUAUACAAAUAUUUAAAAAAUUUAAGAUUUUAUUAAAAUAAAUUUUAUAAUAAAUACAAAUAUAUUAUUAAUAUAAUUAUAAUAAUUUGCAUUUUAAAAAGUAAUACUGCUAUAAAUUUUUUAAAUUAUAUUACUCUACCAAAAAAAUAAACUAUUAAAUUAUAUUGAUAUUUAUUAAAAAAUUUGCAAUUAAUUCUUAUUAUAUUUUUAAUUGGAAUUUUUUUCUUGUGAUAUAACAACAAUUGCUACAGUUUUUUCCCUAAAUAAAGAUGGAGUUAUAAAUUAUUUGUAUAAGUGUCAUGAAAGUAAUAGUUGAAUAACAAUAAUGGGGCUUUAGGCAAUUUUUUUAUGAGGUCUUCUUACAAUUUCAACACUUAAACAGACUUGUCCUUGAUCCCAAUUUAUUUACUGCAUUUGGGCCCACGAUGAGAUAAAUAUAUUCCUGUGAGAUGAAAAACAUCAGGAGAAGAAAAUGUUUUAUUAUAAUAAAAAAAAAAGUGGUCCAUAUGUUACCUGUUACCUGCAGAGGAAUGUGAUUAUAGAGAGCUUAUGAGAGUAACGACAAUGAUUUGCAAAAGAAGAAGACUUAAUCAUGCAGCCCUUAGUAUUUAUCAAAUGAUUAGUGAUCAUUUCUUUUAUAAAUAAAAUGCCAACAGCAAAAAGAAAAAAAAAAGGUUAAAUUUAUUAAGUCUUAUUUUAAUUUUAAUUUCUUUUAUUUUCAUUCGCCGAAGAGGGAAUCUCUUUUCCUAAUGUGACAUAAUUAAAGCAAUCUAUAAAUAAUACAAUAAUCAGAUAAUAUAAUAAUUAAAAAGACGCACAUGUUUAUAAUAAUAAUGAUGGGAUCCAUAUGUUUAUACUGAUUAAAUUGGUGGACCAGAAUUUAUUUGACCUUACUUGUUUUCUAUUUAAUUAAAAAUUGAAACGACAGAGAAAAAAUGUCGUACUGAUGGUUUCGAUUGUGGAGUUCCGCUGUGGAUAGCACAUCCAAUAGUGAAAAAUGAAGCUUUCGUCAACUAUCUCACAUCCACGCGUACCAUCAUGCAUAAUUGGAUAUUGCAUUAUUUCUUUAGAAAAGCAAGAUUAAUUCUUUUAACAAGCAAACGCAUAUACAUAGAAUAAUUAUAUGUAUUUGUUGGUUCAAGAAACUUAACUGACAAGAUUGAGACAAACAGGAGAUUUUAAUUUUUUUUGGACAUUAAGAAAUAACAGCUGUCAAGAUCAAGGAGAUUAUGCUAUUAACAGAAAUUAUUAAAGGAUUUAGAACAAGUUAACCUCUUCAGUUAUCCGGGAUCAUACGGUUGAUGAGCUUCUCUGUUUGGCCUUGAAUAUUUAAGAAUAAUUUUGAUGAGCAAAAAGAUCACUGGUAACUGCUGAGAAAUGUGUGAGAAAAGAGCUGAUUAGCGUAAUAACAAUGAAUUGCAAAAGAAAAAGACUUAAGGGUAAUUUUUGGAAACCUCCCCUGAGGUUUGCCCUUGCUACACUUAGAGAGAAUGUAUGCAUAUAUUGACAUAUAGCACCCCUGACCGUGUAUGAGCGUUAGAGUGCCGUUUGGUUGUUAAGGGCAAUAACGUAAUUGCAAAAAUAAAGAGGCUGACUGCAGAAAGAACGCAAUAGCUUUUGCUUCCUCUCCAUGUCUUCGUUCUUGUUCUUUCUCUCGCUCUCAAAAGAAUUUGGAGGCAGAAAAGGAAAAAAAAAAAAUUCUUCUUUUCUUUCUCUUUUCCCCCCUUCCUCUCCACCCAUUUCGUUCUUUUAUCAGUAAAGCUGAAAAACAAAGGCCACUAUUCCUGCAUCACCACCAGUUUGUCGUAUUGCUUUGCUAGUCAACAAAAAUUCUAACCCCAUGUUAAAAAAUAACAUCAAUAUUAAUGCUUCUUCUUCUUAUGAUUCUUUCACCUCUUUAGAAAAUGGUGCACUAGUUAUUCAUAACAAAAGAGAAAGAAAACCAGCAGGCACCCCAUGUAGCUUUCUUUUUCAAUUUUCUUUUGUAUAUGGGUUAAAUUCUUUUAAGGCGAAUUGCAAGUUUUAAUUUUUGUUUUUCCGUUUUUUGUUUGAUACGCACACACGCAUAAAUCCAGAUGAGAGGUGGUUUUUAUAUGCUGUUCAAUCUAAUUAUAAAGCACAUCUAAAAAAUUGUGGUACUAGAGGCCAUUCUUCUGACUGUGGCCGAGUGUUUUCCAGGUUCUUCUCUUUCUCCUAAAUUUACUCCCUUUUUUAUUCUUUCAACAAAAAUGAGAUUCUUUGCUCCUUCAAGUGGAACCUCGGGGGCAAAUUACCUCCACAAAUUGACCCACGGGCCACGGCUACUAGAUUUGGAGGGGAGAGAGAGUGACCUACGGCUGCUGGAAUUGGAGGGGGGAGAGAGUGACCCACGGCGGCUGGAAUUGAAGGGGGGAGAGAGAGUGAACCGUGCGUUUUGUGCUAGAUUUGGAGAUCCGAGGGGAGAAAGAGAGUGUGACCCGUGACCCACAACUGUUGGAUUUGGAGGGGAAAGAGAGUGAGAGCUGUCGACGGAGCGUGGUGAGGAAGAAUGGGAAAUUGGUGGCUUGGUAAGAUUAGUGGCAUGAGCUGUGAGGGAGAGCGAGAGAGGGUGUGCUGCGAACGUUGCGUGUGUGUUGCAAAUGGUGUUGCACAGUUCUUUCAAUCAAACCCUAAGAUCCUCACAAAAUCAUGCCAAAAUAUUGAUUCACCAGGCCUUUUAAUUAAGUUAAAAGCUUCUGUUUUGUUAUCUUCUGCAAUGAAAGAAGCAUCGUCAAGUCUGCAACUCCACGUUGCUGCAAGUAUUGUCAGUUAUUGAACUGUGCAGUGAAGGGCAUUAUUGUACUUUCGGUAACAGAGCAAACGGCAGUCUAACACUGAUACACGGUCAGGGGUGCUAUAUGUCAAUAUAUGCAUACAUUCUCUCCAAGUGUAACAAGGGCAAACCUCAGGGGAGGUUUCCAAAAAUUACCCAAAGACUUAAUCAUGCACCCCUUUUCAUAUCACGUAUUUGGUUACUGUUGCCUUGUUGACAUAUGUGUAUAAUAAGGGUCCGCCUAAGUUACAGCUAAUGUAAGUUGAAGAAAGCACUAGUUCACGACUUUACCUUUGGAUAUAUUCUAAAGAGAUAAUUAAGUUUGAUAAAAGAUAAAGCAAAAGCUUGAAUGCAUGAUUGAGGGCGAAGACUUUUAUUAAAGCAGAUGCCGAAAGCACACGAAAAGCUUGAAUGUUGUGGCUCCUUAAGUGAGGCCCAGACAUGGUGCAAAAGACAAAAUCGACUUGUUUGACAGCUUCAACAAGGCUACGAUGAUCAGAAGAUGAGCCCUCAAUCAAGAGAGCUCCCUGCCUCUUAAAUGAUAAAUUAAAAGCAAUUGUAGCUUGUCGACAUCAGGCCAAUUUCAGGCCUUUGAAGAGCACAAAUGACAUGGCCUUGACCAAAGAUUGCCUUCUCUAUCCUCUGCCGACACAUCCACUUCUCUCCACAACCAACGCCUUGCUCUCUGUCAUUUUUCCUCUUGUUAAUUUUCUUCUACAUAUAAUUAUUACGCUGGGAAGCAUACACACACCUCUUUUCUUUUUUUUCUUUUUUUCAAACUACUAAAUAUUAUGGGAAAAUGAUCGAAACCCUUUUUUUUUUUCUUUCUAGUUAACAUUAUCAGGUGUAUUUUUGGCUUUUCACACUUGCAUAAAAAAUUGAUAAAAAUUUGAAACAUAAAAUUCACUUUAUUACCUUUUACUUUUGUAAAUAAACUAAAAGAUAUUUUAGUCUUUUCAUAUAUUUGCCAAACGUUUUUAUAAAUUAAAUGGUGAAAUUGUUUAUAUAGAUUACAAAUAAACAGUAUAAUUAAUUAUAUUUUGUAUGUAUAAAGCAUUAAAUAAUCAGAUAUUUGUGGCUUUUAAAACUCAAGAAAACUCAAGAAAAUUAAAUGACAAGAUUAAGACAAACAAGAGAUAGUUUUUGUUGGACAUUAAGAAACAACUACUAUCAAGAUCAAAGAUUAGAAAUUAUGCUAUUGAAAGAAAUUAUUAAAGUAUUUAGAACAAACGCACCUCUUCAAUUAUCUAGGAUCACAGAGUUUAUGAGCUUCACUCUUGGCCUUCGAUUUAUAAGAAAAAUUUUAAUGAGCAAAAGAUCGCUGUUAACUGCAGAAGAAUGUGAGUAAAGAGUUUAUGGGAGUAAGCAAUACAAUUGAAUUGUAAAAGAACAAGACUUAAAGCGUGCACCCCGUGUUCAUAUAAACAGAACACAUGUUCAUUUUUAACAAAGUGAUCAAUAACUCUAUUCGUUAUUUAAUUGAUAUUGUAACCAAUUCUAAGAGAAUAUAACAAUUAUCAUUCAAUCCAUAAAUUUUGAAUUAGAUUUUUUUAACUCUUUAUUUAAAUAUAAACCUUAAUGGAAAAUUAUAAAAGUUUAGAGAUAAAAUUUUUCAAUCACCAAACGAAAAAAACAGGGGAAUGAAAACAGAGGAAUCUUGUUUUAACUAAUUUUUUUUCCUCAUUUCUUGGUCUUAUAUUAAUAAUCUUGUUUUGAUGAUAGUGCUCGUGACUGCGGGAAAAUUUCUACUGGAAACAACUCAAUUUCGGAAGAAAACUUAAUUUUGCAAGUGAUGAAUUUGAACUCGUUGGAUUGGUUGAUUUAUGAUUGACUGAAUUUCACUUUUGCCCAAAAGAUCUUUAACCAAAGUUUAAUAGCUAUCAUGUACUCCUUAAAAGCAAUUUUUUUUUUAUAGAUUUGACUGAAUUUGAACUUGUUGGAUUGGUUGUUUUUAGAUUAUUAAUAUGAGAUAUUACAACGUAAAUAUUUUCAUGGGGUUGAGCCCUAUUCUAAAAUCUGUAUAGUUAGCUUUAGAAAAAGGGCUUUUCCUGCUGAUCUGUAAUCUUCAAAUAAACUUAGAUACAAAUAAUGAAAUAAAAGACAACAAACAAGCAAUACUGAUACAAAGCCAACAGAUCAGAGUUUUUGGUACAAAGCCAAUAAAAGACAAUAAACUUAGGACCUUUUUUUCUUGCUUUCUUUUGUUGAAGGAUUAGAGUUUUUGGUAUUAUCAGUAAAGAUUUCAAGGGUCUGAGUAAAAGCCUAUAAUCUUUUUCUAAACUUUUUUUUUGGGGGUGGGGGGGGAGCAUGCAAAUUAACCAAAAGAAAUAAUAAGACCACAGGCUUUAACAAUGAAUGCUAACUUAAAACUCAUGCAAAAUAAGUUACAAUAUUAAAACAAACCAGAGAAAAUUUUUUCUUGGAAAGUAGAUGGAACUUAUGAAAGAGCAGAUGUCAAGGAUUUAGAAAACGUGCACCUCUUUAAUUAUCUGGGAUUAGAGAGUUGGUGAGCUUCUCUAUUUAAGAACAAGUUGAAAGAGGAAAAAGAUCACAGGUAACUGCUGAGGAAUGUGUGAGAAAAGAGUUGAUGAGAGCAAUAACAAUGACCUGCAAAAGAAACAGAAUUAGUCAUUCACCGCUUUUCUAUAUCAUGUAUUUGGUUAUUGUUGCCCUGUUGACGCAUGUUGAAGAAGAAAGCACUAGUUCACAACUCUACGUUUUCAUAUAUUCUAAAGAAAUAAUUAAGUUUUCAUAGAAUAAAAUGGUAAGACUUUUAAUUGAACAAUUGAGUGCAAUCAGUAACAAAGGCUUUACAAAUGCAAGUAAAAUUUGUACGUUGCUUCAGAAAAAAAGGGCAUUUCUCACUCAUCUUUAAUCUGCAAGUAAAAUUAGAUACAAAGCAAAUCUAAUAAAAUGACAAACAAACAAACAAAACAAAGAAAAGACAGGAGGCAAACAACAUUGAUCUUAAGCCAACUGAUAAUUAAACAGAGAAUUCUUUUUUUUUUUUUUAACCUGUUGCUAAAGGAUUAGAGUUUUUAUAUUAACAGAAAGGUUUCAGGGGUCUGAAUAAAAGCCCACAAUUUCUCUAUUUUAUUUUUAUUUUUAUUUUUUGAAAGGAGCUUCACCAUUGGCCUUGAACAUAUAAGAAUGAGCAAAAGAUCAAUGUCAACUGCCGAGGAAUGUGAGUAAAGAUUUCAUCAGAGUAAGAAAUACAAAUGAAUUGUAAAAGAACAAGACUUAAGCGUGCACCCCGUGUUUUGUUUUAUUGUACGUAUAAACAUAACAUGUUCAUUUUUAACAAAGUGGUCAAUAACUCUUUUUUUUUCGGUACAAAGACGUGCCUAGUAUAGACUAGGGCAAAACAAAACGGGGGUGUGAAACCCCAAUACAAUCAUGACGAAUCCAAAACCCAGCCCCUAAAGGAAGAGAAUUGAAAAUGUGCAAUCCAACAGGUAGUGAAAGAGUAGAGUUUGCAAGAAAGUCAGCUGCAAAAUUUGAUUCUCUGUAAACAUGCUUGACCCGCACUUGCCAGGUUCUGUUAAGCAAUUCCUUAAUACCCCUGACAAGAGAAGCAUGUGCAUUUGGCCUAAUCUCGUCAUCCGCCACCAAACGAGUAACACAAAGGCUGUCAACCUCCACCCGAAGCUGCCGAAUUCCAUUAUCCCAAGCCAGACAUAACCCUUGAUAAAGGCCCCGUAACUCAGCACCAGUGAUGGUACCCACACCAAUAUUCAUUCCAAAACCAAUUAUCCACUCUCCAUAACAGUUUCUAAUCAAACCACCCGCACUAGACAUACCAGAACUUUUACGAGCUCCAUCUGUGUUGAGUUUAAACCAAGGCCAAGUAGGUGCCACCCAUCCAAAAUAUUUCUCAAUCUUCAUGGCAGCAGGAACCAAACAACUCUGAUUAAACUUUUGAAUUUCUUCUGUACGGAUCUUAAUAUCCAUUACAACAGUACUCUUGCUGGUAAAAACACCAUUAUGUAGAUUUUGGUUACGCCAAAACCAAAGCCUCCAAACUGUGACCCCAAAAAGACAUGGCCAGUCAAACAUACCAUCAUACUUCCACAAGUUCCUCAAAUUAUAUAACAUCCAAUCUCGGAGAUUCAAACUAAAAAAUUGAUGACUAAUCCCAUGGGGUAUCAAUGACGACCAGAUUGCUUAGCACUGGGGCAAUCCCGCAGCACAUGAAGAGUAUUUUCAACAACACAGCCACACCUUGCACAGCUCAUAUCAUCAAAAAUAUGUCUCCAGAAAAGUUCUGCUUUAGUUUUAAGUCUAUUUUGACCCACCACCCACAGAAAGGUUUUGAUACGUUGGGGACCUCUCCACUGCCAAAGAAUGCGCCAAAAGGAUUCUUCAUUGUGAACCUCCAUUUUUGACAAAGCCCUAUAUGCUGAAUUAGUAGUGAAAUCUCCUGACUUAGAAUAUGCCCAGUACAUGUAAUCAUCCUCAUCAUUUACACUGGGAGGCUUGGUGGCUGCAAUUUUGAGAAGUAAAUGAUGGGGCAAUAAAUUCUCAAAAAGCCGCCAAUUCCAAGUACCCUCAACAGUGAUAAACCUCGCCACACACUCCUCAAGCUGCUCUAAAGGUAUCGGCUGCAAAGCGAAAGUAUACAAAGGGUAUUCCUCUAUUACCCAAUUAUCCCACCAAAAUCUAACUCGGUUGUCAUUUCCAAUGUCCCAUUUGAUCCCUUUUAAAACCUCAUGCCAAAUGCCUCCCACAGCCUUCCACAUGUAAGAGCCAUAUUUCGUAGGUAAUGUGCUGGGGAGAGCAUUAGGAGCCAGCCCAUACUUAGACAAGAGAACCUUCACCCAUAAACUAUUUGGAGAAGCAAUUAAACCCCACCCAAUCUUCAUGAGCAGAGAGCAUCAUUCAUUAAAUUAAGCUGCUUAAGACCAAGGCCUCCGCUAGGUUUCGGUUGACAUAUUGUAUCCCAUUUCACCAAACUGAUUUUCUUCUUGUCUGCUGCCCCGCUCCAAAUAAACCUCCUACAAGCCUGAUUAAUUUUCUCCCGAAUACCAAACGGAAUCCUCGUGGUCUGCAUUGCAUAAAUAGGAAUCGCCUGGAUUACCGAUUGAGUGAGAGUGAUCCUAUCCACCAAGGACAAAUGUAUCGCAUUCCACCCCGACAAACGUUGGUUCACUUUGUCCAAAAUUCCCUGAUAAGUCAGCUUAUUAACCCGUGAAUGAAUAAUUGGCACUCCUAAAUAUUUCCCUAGGUUUUUUGUGACAGAAAAACCCAAGGAAUCACCAAUUUCCUUAGCCUCAGCAGACUUUACGUUGUGGGAGAAAAAAACUUGUGUCUUUGUUUUACUAACUUUCUCUCUAGAGGUCAUAGAAAAAACAUUCAACACUUCAUUUAUAACCAUUGCUUGCCUACAGGAAGCCUCUGCAAGCAAGAUAAGAUCGUUAGCAAAAAAUUAGUGAGAUAAAGAGGUACCUCCACGAGAUAGUUUAAUAGGUUUCCAGUGCCCUCUCUUCACAGUGUCAUUUAUUCCAUGGCUUAACCUUUCUAUACAUAACACAAAGAUAUAUGGGGAAAUGGGGUCUCCCUGUCCAAUACCCCUAGAAGGGGUAAAACUCUCCGUAAUUUCUCCAUUCCAUAGAAGUUGCAUAGUCGCCGUUGGAAUACAUUCCAUAAUAAGCCGAACCAAAACAGUAGGCAAUCCAAACUCCCUCAAGGUUUCAUAAAUAAAAUCCCAGCUUAAACGAUCAUACGCCUUUUCCAAAUCCACCUUAAUGGCCAUCUGCCCAAUCCUCCCUUUCUUACGUCUCAUCGAAUGAAAAACUUCCUGAGCAACCACUAUGUUUUCCGUUAUGUGUCUCCCCGGGAUAAAACUAGUCUGGGUAGGUCCAAUGAGGUCAGGCAAGAUAGAUUUCAGCCGGUUAGCUAAUAACUUAGUGAUAGUUUUAUAGAUAACCGGGCAAAGACUAAUCGGACGAAAAAGCUUAAGGCUAAUAGGAUUAUCCGACUUAAGAACCAACACAAUCAGAGUUUUGUUCAGCUCCUUAGGGAUCUCGUUGCCAUUAAAAAUACCUUUUAUAAGACUACAGACAGAUUUUCCCACUACAUGCCAUUGGGUCUGGUAAAAGAGAGCAUGCAACCCGUCUAUUCCAAGGGCUUUCAAAGCCUUCAUGCUGAAGAUCACAUUCUUAAUUUCCUCAUCAUCCUCCACUGCUUGUCCCAAAGCUUGCAUUCGACUUUCCUCAAGGAUUGGGAAGGCGUUAACAACAUGGUAUGGAUGAUAGAUUGCAUCCUCUUUGGAAUAGAGCUUUGAAAAGAAGGACACAGCAUAAUCUCUAAUCUCAUCAUUAUUCAACAUUCAAUAACUCUAUUCGUUAUGAAAUUGAUAUUGUACCCAAUUUUAAGAGAGCAUAAUAAUAACCAUUCAAUGCAUAAAUUUAGAAUUAGGUUUUUUUGUAAUUCUUUAUUUAAAUAUAAACUUCAAUGGAAAAUUAUAAAAAUUUAGAUAUAAAAUUUUAAAUCACCAGACCAAAAAAAAAAUAGGGGAACGGAAAUAGAGGAAUCUUGCUUUACCUUUUUUUCCUUUAACUCUUGUUCUUAUAUAAAUAAUCUUGUUUUGAUGAUUGUAACUCGUGACUGCGGGAAAAUUUCUAAUGGAAACAACUCAAUUUCGGAAGAUAAGCUUAAUUCUGCAAGUGAUGAAUUUGUUCAAUUGACUCUGUACUUGAACUAGUUGGAUUGGUUGAUUGAUGAUUGACUAAAUUUGAAUUAAGUUUAAUAGCUUAGCUAUCAUGUACUCCUUAAAAGCAAACGUAAAUCUUUUUUAGAUUUGACUGAAUUUGGGAACCUGUUGGAUUGAUUAUUUUUAGAUCAUUAAUAUCAGAUACUACAACGUAAAUAUUUUCUUGUGGUUGAGUCCUAUUCUCAAAUCAGUAGGUUGCCAUAGAAAAAGGGCUUUUCUCACUGAUCUUUUUUUUUUUCUUUAAUUCACACGCACUUGAUUAUUGACUUCUUUCAUGAAGAAAUAAACUUGUAAUGACUUAAAGAUUUAAUUUCAAGUUAGAAUCAAUACCAAAAGACGGAGGUUUAACCAAGCAUGCAGUGUGAUAAAAGUACUUUAAAAAAUGUUGUUCGACCCAAUUAAGUUGAAGAAAUAACAAAGUUUUCAUGGAAUAAAUACCGGUUGUGCUUUAAUGAUUUUGGCAUAGACAUUGCUUGUGUACUGUGAAAUUGAAAUGAAUAUUAAGUGACAGCGCGAUGUAUAUGCCUAAUAAAAGAUCAGCAAAAGCUUGGAUGAAUGAUUGAAGACCAAAACUUUUAUAAAAGCAUUUUUGAGAGAAACUAAACACCAAAUUAUCAAAGUAAGAUCAACAGUAUAUGAUUUGAUUUAUACAUAUUCAAAAACAAAAUAAUGAUUAAUAAUAAAGUUUGAUUUUGUAUUGCCAACGAUGCUUUUUUGUUGUUUCAUUUGUUCGACGUGGCCUUAUUUACAAAUUGGUUGAUGUUAACAGAAACAUGAAAUUCACAUCACACAAAAUUGCACGAACAAAUAUUAAGAGAACGUAAUAAUAAUCAGUCAAUGCGUAAGGGUAAAUUUAGAAUUACAUAUUCUUUUUUAUUUAAUAAAAUCCCAACGGGAAGUCAUAAAAAUUUAGAUAUAAAAUUUUCAAUCACCAAACAAAAAAACAGGGGGAAUGAAAACACAGAAAACUUGUUUUACCUUUUUUUUUUCAUCUAAUUCCUGUUCUUAUAUAAUAUUUUCCCUAGUAUUUCAGGCAAGAAAAAAAAAUUCAAUAAAGAGCAAGAAAACUUCACAAGCUCAGAUUGAUUUAUCUUGUUUUUCAGGUUAGCUUGUGAAAUGAUGAUAAUGCUCAUGAAUGCUAGAAAACUUCUAAUAUAAACAACUCUAUUUGGGAUGAUAAGCCUAAUUUUAUAAGCGAUAAAUAUAAAUAACUUUUUGUGGUUAAUUGAAUUUGUAAUUACUCUUAGCCCUAUUCUAAAAUUUGUAGGCUGCUUCAGAAAAAAAGAAUAUUUCUCACUCAUCUUUAAUCUUCAAGUAGAAAGCAAAUCUAAUAAAAUGACGAACAAACAAACAAAUAAAAGACAGCAAACAAAGAGAAGGGUUUCUUUCUUCUUUUCUUCCUCUCCCACACCCCCCCCCCCAACCCCCGCCUCAUGGAUCAGAGUUUUUGCUAUUAACAGAAAGGUUUCAAGGGUCUGAAUAAAAUCGCAGACUUUUUUUAAAAAUUUUUUUUUUUGGGAAAAUGGAUUCAAAAUAACCAAAGCCAAUAAUAAGAUCACCGACUUUGACAAUGAACAAUAACUUUUUCUCGGAAAGUAGAUGGAAACUAAGUAAGAACUGCUAUUAGAGGAUAUUAUUAAAGGAUUUAGAACAUGUAUAACUCUGUAAUUAUAUGGGAUCAGAGAGUCGAUGACCCCCUCUAUUCGCUUCGGAUAUUAAGUAAGAACUGCAAUUAAAAGAAUGAAUUGAUGAGAGUAAUAACAAUGAAUUGCAAAAGAGGAAGACUUAAUCACGCACCCCUUUUAUACCCGAUUUUGAAGAUUUAAUUUCGAAGUUCACCAAUCAAGAACAAAGAAAAAACCUUAAUAAAGUAUGCAGUGAGAAUAAUUAAGUUAGAGAAAGUACUAGGUUAUGGCUCUGCGUUUCAGAUGCUGUAAUGAAAUAAUUAAGUUGAAGUUUUUAACGAUUAAAUACCUGUUGUGAUAGAAUGAUUUUAGAAGAAUAUUGGCUUAUAGAGCAUAUUAGUAGGGAUAAGAUUUGUAAGAUGCCAGAUAAAAGAUAAAGCGAAAGCUUGAAUGAAGAAUGGCGUUUAAUAAUUAUAGAAGAAUAUUGGCUUAUAGAGCAUUUUAGUAGGGAUAAGAUUUGUGGACAGAAUAAAUGAAAUAAUAAAAGGCAUAACUGAUCAAGUCAUUAUUGAUCUUACUUUGAUUAUUACAUUGCACAUUAGUUUCUUUCUAAAAAUGCCAUUCUUCAUUCAAGCCUUCGCUUUAUCUUUUAUCACGCAUCCUACAAAUCUUAUAUACAAACCUCCGCAUCUUUCAACGAUCUCAUCUGCUGAUUUUUUGUAUUCCUGUUCUUUCACUUCAAUAAUUUUUUGUAUUAUUCCAUAUCUUUCACUUUAAUAACCCAAAAGCUUUCCUCUGUUUCAACUAAGCGAAAAUUUACAUAUUAAAGCCUGGCUCAAAUUCCUUUUUUCAAUCGAAAUAAAACGUAGCCACAAAACCCUAAUUCACCACACCAAUUUAUCUCUGCCCGGUAUUCAUUUAAACCCUACCUCGCGGUUCAAUGUCAUUCUAUACGAUUGCAGAUGCCGUUUCAACUUGUCAUUUAGUUAGCGCCAUCCAGUUCUCUAUGGUAAGCCUUAACCCUAACAACUAAUCGACUGUGGUAGCACGUUGCUUGUUAGGAGUGGGGAUACAUUAUUUGAAUAUACGAAUUGGGUGAUGUUAGUGAUUCAUUCCCCUAUUUGUCGUGAAUUGAGAUUUGUGUAUAAUGCUCGUAAGAUUGCUAAAAAUUUCAUAUUUUGUAUUGUUCCAGUUGAAUUUCUUGCUUGUGGAAGAUAGAACAAAAGUUCAAUUUCAUGUUGAUUUAAUUCUUCUUUUUCAUCUUUUUUUUUUCUUCUUUAUAGUCACGCUCUGGCUGGUGCUAUGCUUAGUGCAGUCUAUGGUUUCAAGAUUAAGUCACGUUUAUUUGAUGGCGUCGACUCCAUCAUUAAGAAGCUCUUCUUAUUUUAUCUCAGUUUCAAUUUUCUUUUAUUAUCUGCCUCUACCUGAAAAUGGACGUGUUUUACUAGUAAGCAGACUUUUUUUAUUUAAUUGAUAUUUUAAUUUUAUGUAUAAGAAUGGAGGUUUAUUUUAAAAAAAAAAGAAAUAAAAAAAUAGACUCUGUUGAAGCUAAUUAGUACUGUUUUUUUUUGGUGGUGCGACCAGAGGUGGAAACCGGGUAUGACAAUGUGUUACUGGUGAGGUUGCUGCUUAAGAUGAGAAUGCAUUCUUUUCAAAAAUCCUUUGUAGGUGUUAUCUAAUUAUCUUUGAUGGAAUAUUAAAUGGCCAAAAAUCUGUCAUACGUUCAAACUUUGUUUGUGUUUAGAAGAAUGGUGUUGAUUGUAUAUUCAUUUGCUUAGCCUUUUGACAGAUGGAUUUGGAACUGACGAUAAAUGUGAUUCAAUUCACAAGGUUUUCAAGGGGCUCACCGUGGAAGGGAUAUUGAAGAGCUGGUCUAGGAUAAAGCCUAUGAUUGUGAAAGAUUGGAGUGAGAAUAUAGAUGCUCGUUUUCAUCUUUUUGGCAAGGUCAGAGAUGAAUGGAUAGAUAAGGAUUUAUUUGACUACCUGGAUUGGUGCUAAUAGGUAUUUUAAGCAAGCUUUUUGAGAUAACACUGAGCAAGUUGUACUACUAUUUUGCACAUGAUGAUCAAAACUCUCGAAAAGUAAAAUAAAAUAAAGUAUUAACUUUUACUUUCAUCUUUUGCAUAGCAAUCAAUGUGGUGCUUGUUCUGUAACAACUUUGAUAAUCUACUUUAUUGGUUAGCGUUUGGACCAAAAAGGUUCUUAUGAUUUACAUGUUUUGUAGAAAUGCAUGAACCUUAAAUGUGCUGAUCAGGGAGUUUAAUUAUUGCACCUUGAAAUUCAUUUAUUGUUAACUAAUUGGCUUUCCUUUGCAUAAAGCCGCUUAUAAGGCUUGAGUGGACGUCUUUAUGGGCAUAUUAUUCGUAUUUCUUUAUGCAUGCCUUUAUCAUUUAAUGUGCUGCUUGUAUUUCUUUAUGCAUGCCUUUAUCAUUUAAUGGCCAGCUCCCUUUCCUCAUUUGUAAUUUGAAUAGUAGUAUGGGCCUCCAUUUUACAAAUCUUUAACAUUUUUUGCUGUAAAUUAAUUUUUCUUUCAAAUAUUUUGGAGGUCAUUGGAAUUCCUGUAGGUCUAUUUACCAGAUUUUAGUAUGUUUAAGGUUUUAAUUUUUCUUAGACUUUAAUUUUUCUGAAAGAUUGUAGUAUUGAUCCUUAAAGUAAGAUCAUGCUACUUCAAAUUAUUUUGAAGCGUUGCUAGUUAUAGCCUUACAUAUCAAAUUCCAUUUGUCUGGAAAUUUAUUGAUAGCUGUUACAGCAGCAUAUUUUAUGACUCUACUUCUUAGUUAUGUAAGUUCAUUAUGUUUAGGUCAGAGGCAGUCAGCUAUGGGGAAUCGAUAUAUGCACAGAUGACUCUGAUCUUGUUGCUGGUAUGUGGUUCUAUGAAUAAUUGUUCACAAUAAUUGUGUUUGCCUCACUGUUUUUGUUUUAUGAGAUCUAUAAUUGAUCUUGGGAUAUUGCUUUCUAGUUCUCAUGCAAGCAAGUUACUACCUUCCCACUGCAUCUCCUCCUUUAUCUGCUAUUCAAGAGUUGCGUGCCAUAAUCUGGUAUUACCUCUGCAAGAUUGUGAAUCAAUAUAUUGCGUCUAAAUUUAUUUUAUACAUAAUGCUAAUGCUGAAUAAUAUAUUGUAGCUCCUGUCAUAUUCUACUUUGACUUUUUAUAUUCUGUUUCAUAUAAAAAUCUUAUUCAACUUUAGUUGUUCAUGAGCAAAUGUCACAUGUAUAAGCCCAAAUGAUGUUUAAAGGUAGCCCGGCUACCUUCAGUUUGAGCUUACAAUGGGUGAAAAAGAAUUUGAGACUGAUAUUUUGCUGUUUUUGUGAUUUUUCAAAGUAUUUUAGAUCUUGACUUUUGUUUGGACUUGAUGGUUAUAGAUUGUGUCUAGAUUUGUUAAGUUGUUUCCAACACCUCGUGCCAAAUCAAAGCACAAUCUUUCUGAUUCAGAUGUCUGGUUAAUUAUGCUUCAUUUUUUCGUUAAAGAUUGGAUGGUUGCAUGGAUUGAUGGAGUUGGAGUUCAACCAGUAAUUCUAAUUUUUUGGACUUAAAAUGCUCUGUAUAAAAACUUUAGUAAGUGUUAUUGAGUUGACAGAAGUUGAAUACUUACAGGUUGUUUCACACUUUCUAAAAGUUUUACAUAAAUGAAUUUCUGUUUUUUGAAUUGCAGAAAGGAGGUGGAACUAUUGAUUUGGAGCCUUAUCUUACUCACUCAUCGACAACGGAGCCUACCCUCGCUCCCAUGGCAGUGGAACGGACAAUGACUACUAGGGCUGCAGCAUCGGUUGGUUUGGGUCUGUUUUGAGUUUUAUUGUCAUUUAUUUGGCUAUGUUUUGAUAGCGAAUUUUGAUAUGUCAAUAUAAUGUGUAAUUGUUUUGGGUUGAGCUGGUAAUUAUGCUGGAUUAGAUUGGUUUGUUUUGGUGGUUCUCUGAUGGAACACUGCUUUCUUUUAGAAAUUUUGAAUAUAAUAUGAGACUACAUAUAGUUUAAUUGAACACUGCAUCUAGUCUAAUUACUAGAAGUGUGGCAUUUGGUUUGGUUUAUCCGAUAUUCUCUAGAAUUUCACUUGCAUCUGGUUUUGUUGCAUAUGUUUGCUUGCAUUUGAUGGUAGUAGCAGACUGUUUGGUUUUGUGGCAUUUGAUGGCAGUUUGAUCUGUUCUUGGUGCUGAUUUAAGAUUGUUCCUGUUGUGCUGAUGUUAAUUGCAGGUGCUUGAAUCAGCUAGGGUUGCUGGUUUAUUCAGACGACUGACUCAGGCGUUGUUAUUGGUUGAUUCAGGUGGUUCAUUUAAUGUUAGGAAGCAAAUUAAGAAAUAAUGAAGUAUUCAUUUAACUAUAAUUAUUGUAGUUAUUUUAUUUCAUAACUGAAUUAUAAUCUAUGAUACUUGUGAACAAAUUAGAGAAUUUUUAUAUAUGAAUUAUAUAUAUGUGUGUAUGUACAUUUUGCUAUUUAUAUAAUAAUUUAAAGAAUAUAUUUCAAUUCCCACAAAAAAUGGCUCCAAUUCCAAUAAUUCCUGCCAAAUAAUUAAAUUUUUUAAAUUUACCACCAAAAUAUAUCUUAAAGAAAUGUUAGUUAUUCUUGCUAGAUUUAACAAAAAUAAUUUGUAGGAUUAAUAUUUAAUUAAAAUGAUUAAAUAAUUUUAUUAUUCCAAUUAAAUAUGUCAUGUUUAUAUGACAGGCAAUAGUCAUGAAUGGGAAGUAUUAGUUACAUAUUUUUCCUUGGGAUUUCAGGCAAAUGAAAAAAAGAUUGAGAAUGAUUUCAAGAGGACAGGUGGAUGAUAAGUAUUCAUUUUUGCAUAUUUGGCUAAUGUCCUCAGCAGUGGAUUUUUAUGGUAUUGAUUUUAUAAUUUUCAAUUAGUUGCAGCCCUAGAGGAAGAGUAGGCUGAUCAAAUUGAUUUGUCUUGUUUUUGGGGCAAUUUGCGACACGAUGACCGUGAUAAUGCUCGUGACUGCUGGAAACUUUCUGAUGGAAAUAACUUUAGAGUUCGUAGCAAGCAUUUCUGUUAUGACAAAACAAAGGUUCCCCCAUAUUUUGGUUGUUUGUUAUGGUAUUUAUAUAUCCUGCAUAUGCUAGGUCGACAGGUUAUGAUGUAGUUUGGUUGGCUCUUCUUGUGCUUUGUGCAAUUUGUAACUGCAGAUACCUGCGAGAAAACAUUUAAUGGAUCUUGUUGCUGUUGAUUGGUUCAAAGACACAGAGAAUGGACCAUGUAGCUAGGCGUCAAGGCUGUGCUGCACAAGUAACUAUUCUUUUCUUUUUAUUUUUCCUUUUCCAUUGAUGCGUUAGGAGAAAAUACUGCCUGUGAGAUACUACAAUGUAAAUAACUUCUUAUGGUUCAUUGAAUCUAUAACACACUGAGCCCUAUUCUAAAAUAUGUAGGUUGCUUCUGAAAAAGGACUUUUCUCACUGAUCUUUAAUCGUCAAGUAAGUUUGUUUCAUUUCAGAAGGUAUAAGUUUCAAACUUAUUGUAUUGGGAGGUUGUAUAGUUGUAACCUAAGCAUCUGCAGCUUCCUGGUUCAACACAUUAUAGUAUGGUAUUUUAUUUUGUCACAAGGUAAUUGGUUACGGGAUCACUUUUGCGACGGUUUGUUGAUGGCGAUGAUGAAUUUCGCAAUAGUAGGUUGAAACUUAUUCCAUCUGUUCCUAAGGUAUCCAUCUUGGCCUUCAUGUAUUAGGACUAUAUUAAUGUAUACUUACCCUUUACUACACGGUACACUUCAAUUUGUACAAAGAAGGCAUGCAUUUAGGUGUAAAUGUACUGAUGGGUUGUAUCUUCAAUCUUCAUGUCCUUUUUACCCUCUUGAAUUUGUUUUGCACUUGUUCUUGAUUUGAAGCACUGAAUCAUGCAGGGGUCAUGGAUCGUGCGCCAUAGUGUUGGAAGCACCACUUGUUUAUUAGGGAAAGCGGUUGAUUGUAACUAUCUUCAUGGUCCCAAGUACUUAGAAGUAAAUGCUCUUGGAAUUUCUUUAGUACACGAGAUGUUCCCCUUUCAAAUAGUGUCCGAUAUCAUUAACAUGGUUUAACAUUGUUCAUCUUUCUGUAGAUUGAUGUUGACAUCGGUUCUUCUACUGUUGCUAAUGGAGUUUUGGGCCUUGUAAAUGGUGUAAUUACGACAUUGGUGGUUGACAUGGCUUUCCUUGUACAGGUAUGUAUGAUUGUUAUUUUAUUUUAUUUUAUUUUUUUACCCCCACUUCUAAAUGGACACAAGGGAAAAGACAUGAUUUUGAGAUAUUGCCCUACAAUUUGCAUUUUUGCAUACUUGAAUGUUCUCAGAAUGGUAUAAAUAAUGCUUCGAGUGUCUCUUCUUUAUCUUGCUUUUUUGUAUGCAGGCAAACACUACAGAUGAAUUACCAGAGCGACUGAUUGGAGUUGUACGUGUUUCUAGUCUGCUAUUGUCCCAAAGUUGGAACCAGAGACAUCAUCAUGACUGUGGUUUCAUUUCACCUCAACUGUUUUUUUUUUUAAUUGAAAAAAAAAAUCAUUUGUUUUAGGUAUACGUACAUGUAUUUUGAUCCCGUUUUCAUUGUAAUUUCUCAUUUACUUUGAAAGAAAGUCAUUGGUGUUUUCGAAUGGGAAUUUUGCAUUAAAAAAUGAAGAAUACUUAAUAGGAAAUUUCAUGAUUCUUUAGUUACUAUUUUUGGAAUGAGUGUAAUAGUAUUAAAGUUGGUUUCUACUCGCAAACAAGUGAACUACUCGAUCCCAACUGCGACCACGCUAAUUGUCAUUGUUUAAUAGCUACUACUUUUAAAACUCAACAACUAACAAAAAUACUAAAAAAAAAAUGAUUUUCUUAUGAUGCUGUGAAAACAUUUAUGGGUUCACUUAUUUCCACAAGAUCUAUAACAUGGUCUUGACUUCACGAAAUUCUUUUAAUUUAAAGGGUGCUGGUCUGAGAAAGUCAGUUUGACGGAUUAAUUCUUUUUAAUAAUGGUCGAGUUAAUUUUACUAGACUCAUAAAAUUAUUCUUAUUCUGAUAAUGCCACAAAUGUUAUGUUGUUUUCUUCAGCUAAUGAUCUUCUAUCAGGACUAGUUGGAAAUCAAAUGCUUAAAACACCAAUUGAAUGAAUAAUGCAGAAGUUUAAACAGUAUCUAAUUGAAAAUUGCAUGAAACUUGAAACAUCAAUUCAAGUCCUUCCUUAAACAGAGAAUGCAUCAAACAAAUCCAAAGUGUCUUUCAAGUCUGUAGCAUGACUAAAAAAUUGUAAAUGCCUUCAGAACCAAAUUAUUCAAGUACAGGAGAACGAGCAAGUUGAAUCAUGUACAAGAGGUUGGCUUGGUUCCAGAUAGCUUCUUCACUGUACCUGAAGGGUUGGCUCAAUCUUUUCUUUAGAAUUCUGCACAUUUUGUAAUUACUCAUGUAAGCAAGCAUACAUUACAACCAUAAUAAUAAUAAAGCAAGAGUAAUGAUACGACCACAACCUCUUGUGCACAAAUAAUAUUGUACAAACUAAUAUGACAUAAUAUGAUUGAGUAAUGAUACGACCACAAUCUUUUGUGCACAAAUAAUAUUGUACAAACUAAUAUGACGUAAUAUGAUUGAUUAAACAAAAACAUAACAUAACCCUCAUAAUUUAUUUAUUAUUAUUUUAUAUUUUCAAUCAAGCAAUCAUAUUAUGCCACGUUAAUAGCUAUAGAAAUAAUUUGCUAGAUAGUGCAACACUUCAUUGAUACUCACCAUUUCAUUGAACAAUUUUUUUAUGGUGUCAUUGAGGUUUCCUUCCCAACAUCCUUCGUCAUCACCAUCUUCUUCUUCGGUGGGUUUCACUUUGUUUAGCUUCGGUGCGUCUACGACUCCUUGAGAGAAAAUCUUCAUUGUUGGGCACUGUCUCACAACUACGUGUUCCAAGGACGGGAACUCAAGAGCGUAAUUACCCAAACAAAAGCUUGUUAGGCUUGGCAAACAAUCAAGUCCCAAGUACUCCAAUUUCCUGAAAACAAUGCAAUCUUCCGCUUCUUCUCCAACCUGCGAUUGUAUGAUUUCUUCUAUCAUUUUGCAAUCAGCUAUCUUCAUUCUUUCGAGAUUCACUAGAGUUUUAGAUGUUGAGAGCGUCAACACAUUUAUCAACCCGUGACACUUCGAUACUUCUAGUUCCCACAGAUUUUCCAAAUGCCACGAAGGUGGUACUAAUUUUUGCAACUUACUACAUUCCGAUAUUUCUAGACUUCCCAAGUUUGCAAACGCUUUGCUGGAUUCGUCAUUUUCCUUCCAGAGAUGCUGCACUUUGUGUAAUCCAGAUACUUUAACUCUAUCAAUUGAGGGAAUGCAACCUAAAAAUCAACAAAAUUAAGUUGUAAAUGAAAAUAUGUAUCCAAUCUCUGCAGUCUUCCCCUGCAUAUUUUAUGGACAAGAUUAAUCACAGCAUUUUAUAUUUUUUUUUCCAAAUUAGUAUGCUUUGCAGUAGGAUCCCAAAUAUAAGUAUCAAAUCGAUUACCCUUUGAAACACAUAAAUGAAAUCUGAUGCUAAAUCUAAUAUGAAUUAGCUAGGAAAACAGAGAUGUUACACACAUAAUUAAUAUAGUUCAUCACCUCGUGUUACCAGGCAUCCAAUUAAUUUCAGACACUUUUAUAAUUCAUACUAUAAAGUUAGUUAAUAAUUGCGGUUAUAUUGUUAAAUCAGAUAUAAAUUAAGACGACAUGUAAAAAGAUGAGUCAUUAAAUUUGAUUUGAUUCUAAUGAAAUUACAACUGUGCGAAAGAAAGUGAAGGGAAAAAUAAUAAUAAUGAUUACCUUUUCAUUGAAGAGAUGUUGUAUUUGAUCAGCUACCAAGAGGUUCUUUUCUGAUUUUAAUUUUUGAGCUUCCUUAUUAUCUGCUGUCAUGUGCAGUACAGAUGUAGAAUUGGAUAUGAAUGUUUCCAUAUCAGGGCAAUUCUCAAUAGUUAGAUAUCUCAACUUAGGCAGUUCAAUUAUAUUCCUAGUGAAGUUGAAAAAUCUUUUGAGUUUUGGAAGGUCAGUGAGCCCUAGCUUGAAAAGCUUAGGAAACAGGGGGCCUAUAUGUUCUUUGUCAGCAUUAAUUAGCUCUUCCAAAUGAAGCACCUCUUCAAGUGAAUCACAAUUCCUCACUUCCAGGUAUACCAAAUUGUUCAAGCACCGUAGCAGAUUAGCAGGAAUAGCACUCGACAUAUUCGUGCAGUCAUCCACCACCAGGUCGAAUAAAUUGUUGAAGAAGCUGACAGGCAGUGCUUGGCCAUGCCAUAUUUCUUUCAAACGUGGAAAAUGCGAGAGUUGCAAAUGUAUUAUGUCACGAAAUCCAAUCUGCACAAACCAAAACAAUUGCACUGGAUAUAUACAAUUUUUUCUUUUUGAAAGGCAUAGAUAUAUAUAUACAUUAAACUUAUAUGUUCAAAUGUGCAAGUGCAAGGGAGAUGCAUAAGUAAUUUCGACGAAUCGAUUUAACACAUACCAUUUCUUCGUAACACUUUUGUAUAGUGGAAUUAAGGUUGCCUUCCCAACGGCGCAAUUCACCCUCUUCCUGUUAAGAAUAGAAUUAGUUAGUUAAUGAGUAUGCUGACAUGGCAGCUGAGUCAGCUAAAGGUUGUUAUAGAGGUUGUUAGUAGUAACCUGUGCGUGUGUGCAAUGUGUGUAGAAUCUUCUAUGCACAUAUAAAAAGGCUUGUAAUUUCCAGAUUCAUUAGAUCAAUAAUAACAGAAUUCUCAGCUUACAGAAGUUUUCUUUCUUCCUAUUUUCUUAGUAACCUAACAACAUCACAGUUUCAUAUAAAACUUAAUACUUCCUUUUACUCACUUGCACUUUGCAUAGCUUUGGUGUGGAUAAGAUUCCCUGAGAAAAAGUCUUCAUGUUCAGACAAUGUGUCAUAGAAACUUGUUCCAAUGAUGGGAAUUCAAGAGUGUAAUUCUCCGAACAAAAGCUGGUAAGCCUUGGUAAAUAAUCAAGUUCCAAAAGUUUUAAUUCGCUGAAAGCAAUACGAUUCUCCUUCGCUUCUUCUCCAACAUGUCCUAUGAUUUCUUCUAUUUUUUCACAGAGUGAUACAUUAAGAUUCACUAGACUAUUGGGAAUUCCAACCUGAAAAUAAAGAGUAGCAUUCAACUAGAUUCAAAGUAUGUCAAAAUCAUACAAUUGUUUUAUGAAAAAUAACAAACCAUGAAUGUCUACUAGAUAUUUUUUGUUAAAGAAAAAAAGGAAAAAAUUAAAACAAAAAUAAAUAAAUAGAAGUCCAGAAAAACAAAGAUAAUGAAAAUGCAUUUACACUAUUUAGUAUUAGGAACGGAGAAAGAAUUUCAGCUAAUUUUUAAAUAUUAUAAAUUCAUUUUUCAUCUUGAUGCUAGUUUUUAAAAAAUUUUAAUUUUCAAACAUGCCUAUUUUUAAAAUAACUAAACUAAAACGCUGUAUUUCCCAUUUUUUUUUCCCGAUAUUCAUGCUUUUAAAAAUGGAAAACAUUUCUGGAAAACACUUCCCAACGCCAUCAACAUGGGACUGUUAUAGAGUGAAUAUUUGAGGAAUUUUUUUAAUCAACGGUCGAUUCAAAAUGACCAUCAUGAAUUUGUGCUUAAUCAAUGGCGUAAUCAAUUCAUAACUAAACUAGAGAUAUUAACUACAUUUGAACACUUUUUUUUUUUAAAUAGAAAUCUAAAGACCCAAGGAAAAGAGAAAUAUAUAUGAAUUUGUGAACUUAAAAGCUGAGUAAUUAAGUAUCUUUUAAUUUCUGAAAAUCUUAUUUAUUAGGAUUUAAGAAAAAAAAACAAUUAAAUUGAAUUAUAUUAUGCUGUUAAAUCGUGUUUAAAACAAUUAUAUUGUUGACUUUAAUGCAGGUGAACCUAUAAAUUAGAUUGAAAAUGCAGAGUUCAGAAUGGUGAUUUGAAGUUCAAUACUUUUGUUCCCUCCAGAAGUUUGAAGUACAAUACUUGCAAUAAAUAAUUUGUGAAUGAAAAUUAUUUGUAAACACAAAAAUGAUUAAAAUAAUUGUUGAAUGUUAUUUGAAAUAAAAAUUCAAAAUGAAUAUAGCAAUCUUACCAAUGGAGGAAAAAUAUUCAGUAGAUUAUCACACUCAGAUAUCUCCAAUUUUUUCAAUUUGCUAAAAGACUUCGAAGCAAGCUGGUGGUGCCAUAUUUUUCUCAACUUAUCCGCCUCACUAAUAUGUAAUACCUCCAGACUUGGGAGUCGUACCUGAAGUUAAAAAUUCAAUGCAAUUAGAGAUGUAUAUUAAUUAAAUUUGAAGACUCAACGAAAAGAGAAAUUAACUAUUGAGAAUAAAAUUAAUUUAAAAAAAAAAAACCUUUUCAUCAAAGAGGGGUUGAGGUUGCAUUUCAGUGUGAAUGACGUCUUCUGGUGAGGCAAAGCUACAUAGUUUUGGAAGACCAUCGAGCCGCAGGUAGUGUAGUUUGGGAAAAACCUUUAAUUCAUCUCUUCCUCCUAACCCCCCCGUGGUGUCGACUACCCCUUCCAUUGACUCACAAUCCCAUAUCUCAAGAUGUUGGAGUUGCCCAAGACUAUUAACCAUAGAACAUGAAAACAGAUACUUCACACAAUGACACCUUUCCACAGUCACUUUUGUUAAAUUUUGACAACAAUACAUUCCCUGAAAUUGAUCGAGCCAUAAUUUUUCGAUGUUUCGUAAAUCGAAAAGUUUCAGUUUCUCCAAACGUGGAAAAGAAACCUGCAAAGCAAAACCGUACAUUUUUGUUCCUUCAACUACAACUUCUAAUAUAAUAUUCUUUCGAUGAUUGAAGAUCAAUCGUAAUAAUAUAUUAAUUAAUUAAUUAUUAAACAGAAAAUUAUUACCUGUUGAACAGGAUCAUCCUCUGCAUUGAUUUCUGUGAAUCCCUGAGUAGUUGUUGGUUUCUCCAUGUCGGGCCCUAUAAAUGAACAAAAACAAUAUGUAAUAAACAUCCGUGUUUUUUUUCACCAAAAAAAGAAAAAGAAAAAGAAAAAAAGAAUGAGUCAAUGUCAAUAAUCCUACCAAUAAUUAAUUUCAAUACUUACCAAUAAUCAUUUUCAAAUCAUCGCAGUUUUCCACUUCUACUUUUUGAAGCCGCAAUAGGUUUUUGGCCAUAGAGAAUGAGAAGAGAUACUUCAAUUUUGGACAGCAAUCUACGUUUAUAAUCCUUAAGUUGCUGAAAGAUUGAUCUUCUCUGAGUUGGCUGUAGCAUAUCGUCUCCAAAUUAGUUAAAAACAUAAGAGACAAUGACUCCAGCAAGGGAAAGACUUUGCAACGAACCCGUCUAACUGAACCGACAAUAUGUAAAAUCUCAGAACAACUUUUUACAUGAAGAUGCUUCAAUCGUGGAAAACCUUCCCCAUCGUCUAAUUCAUGAACAACACUUUGAACACCCUCCAAUGUUUCUAGCCAGAGACCUUCAGUUCUCUGCAGCAACAUUUUUGUCCCAUCAUUCUCCUGAAGAAUGCUAACUUUUUCUAGCCCCUUGAGCAUCAUCAAUCUUGGUGCUUCAGAUUUGACGAGCAAUGGGUCAAACUCAUCUUCGGACUCAUCUCCUAUGCGUAUCCUAUAUCUUUGCAAUUCCACAGAGACAAAAUUCGGCGGCAGAAUUUCGGCAUCCGCAACUUCUAUCUCCAAAGUAGCUAGCUUUGUCAACCUCUCCAACUCGACAAGACUGGCAUUACUUCCUCCUUCAACCUUCUCCCACCCUGAAAAGCUGUUACCCAUAUACAAUUCUUCUAAUUGAGAUAAUUUUGAUAUGACAUUCGGUGCUAUCACCUCAAGCAACCAACAAUUGCUCAAAUCUAGCAACUGUAACCGCGUCAAUUGUCCAAUUUCAAGUGGUAACUGCUUGAUAGUGGAACGUGCAAGGAUGAGAAUCUCUAAUUUCUUUAGCUGUCCAACUAUUGCUAUAUCUUUUAGUCGGCAAUAGUCUAAACACAAUGUUUGGAGGUUAAUGAGGCAACCAAGUGAUGAAGGUAAUGAAGAGAAGUGAAUUCGAGUAAAAUUCAAAACUUUGAGUCCUUCCGUCCCUUUAAAGAAGUGAUCUGAAACUUGCAUAGAGCCAUCACCCUCCGUAUGCAAUAGCUCAAGACAGGGACAUUGCAACCUUUCAGGAAGCACUUGAAUACCUCCAUAAGUUAAAGAAAUAGCAAUUGGAUCUUUUCGUAUUGUCUCUUCCAUCUUUUUCUCCAAGUCGGCAACAUUUGGAAUAUUAAACAUGCGCUUCUCAAAUAACUGCAAUGCUUCUUUUCGUGGCAAAGCAUCGAUCGGAAAAUUUUUCUGACAACUCAUAUCAAUGCGCAAUAAAUCUUGCUUUCUAGACGUCAAUAUUAUUGUGCAUCUUCUCUGAUCAUCCUUUCUAUCUUUCUCAGCAACAUCCCCAGAAGGAAUUCCAACAACAUCCAACUCAAGUUCUGUCCAAAUAUUAUCCAAUAUAAUGAGGACCCGCUUCUCUUUCUUCAAUCUUUCACGUAAUCGAUCAGCUCUUUCGAAUUUAUUCUCAUCCGAGCCAAAUUUCAUGCCUAAGUCAAAAGCAAGUUUCUUUUGAAUUUCCUGAUGAUCUGGGGUCUGUGUUACCUCAGCCAUAACGACCUUAUCGAACAACUUAUCUUCCAUAACUUGCUUUGCAACUUGCUUGACUAGCGUGGUUUUACCCACGCCGCCCAUGCCGUAGACCCCAAUAAUGUUGAGCUUAUCAUCCUUCAACGCCUCCACAACAUCUUGAAAUACUUUCAUUCUUGAAUCAAAGGCCUCGUAAUCUUUCACUUGCAUAUGUUCUGCCCGCUUUGGAGCAGGACGGUAGGAAACAUUAGAGAAGUUUCCUUUUCCCAGGAGACUAGCGGCAGCUUCUGCGGCCUUUGCUGCUUGUUUACUAAGCUUGUAACGAGAAAUCAAGUUUGGGCACAAUCCUUUGAAGCAGGACUUCUUAGCUCUAUCUUCAUCAUCACUGAUGGAUUUUGCAACCCCUUCACUGAAUUCAUCAACUUGAUUUAGCCAGUCUGUGACACCCUCAUAAAUCUCAUCCCCUUGUAGUCUAGCAUGAUUAACAGGUUGUUGCACCGUUUCUCUUCUAUAUCCCAGCUGCUUCACUUGAUCUUUUAGGCCAUCUAUGUAGCUCUGGUACUUGAACACAUAAGAUAUCUGCCGUACAAUCGGUUUGAACAGUGACUUUGCACCUUCUGCUACGAUGCUGGAAAAAGCAGCCAGACCCACUUCUGCCAUCGCCUGCUGCUUAACAAAUCUAAUAAUAUGUCAAAGAAAGGAAUACAAAUAAACUAAAAUGAACUAGAGGGAAAGACAAAAAAUGGAAAAGACAGCAAACAGUAUCGCAACAUUGAUCUUGAAUCAACUGAAACAUGAACAAAGCAUUUUUUCUUCUUUCUUAAGGAUCAGAGUUUUUGCUAUUAACAGAAACGUACUUCAAGUGUCUAAAAAAAAUUAACUAUAAAUGAACAAUAACUACAAAACUCAAGCAAAACAAGCCAUAAAAUUUUUAUCUUGGAAAGUGGAUGGAAAUUAAGAAAGAAAUGGUAUAGAGAUCAAGCAUCAGAGAUUAUGCUAUUAAAAGAAAUUAAUUGAAGGUUUUAGAACAAGUGCACCUGUUUAAUUAUGUGGGAUCAGAAAGUUGAUGAGCUUAUGUAAUCGCCUUGAAUAUUUAAGAACAAUUUCAAUGAGCAAAAAAUUUCUGUUACCUGCAGAGGAAUGUGAUUAUAGAGAGCUUAUGAGAGUAAUGACAAUGAUUUGGAAAAGAAGAAGACUUAAUCAUGCAGCCCUUAAUAUUUAUUGAAUGACUUGUGAUCAUUUCUUUUAUGAAUAAAAUGCCAACAGCAAAAAGAGAAGAAAGGGCGAAAUUUACUAAGUCUUAUUUUAUUUUUAAUUUCUUUUAUUUUCAUUCGGCGAAGAGGGAAUCUCUCCCUCUUUUUGUUUUUUUACGGGGAAUCUCCUUACCUAAUGUGACAUAAUGAAAGCAAUCUGUAAAUAGUAAUAUAAUGUAAUAAUUAAAAAUACCCACAUAUUUAUAAUAUUAAUGAUGGGAUCCAUAUGUUUAUACUGAUUAAAUUGGUGGACCAGAAUUUAUUUGACCGUACUUGUUUUCUAUUUAAUUAAGAUUGAAACGAUAGAGAAAAAUUUGUCGUAUUGAUUUGUUUCGAUUGUGGAGUUCCAACACUGAAAGUGAAGAUUUCAUCAACUUUCUCACAUGGACACGUACCGUCAUGCAUAUUGCAUUAUUUUCCUAGAAAAGCAAGAUUAAUUCUUUUAAUAAGCAAACGCGUAGGUGGGAAUCCAUUCAUGAAACAAGUGGAACGACAAUAUCAAACCAAUGAUAAUUCAAAAUCUGAAUCCGCCUGAUGGACGGCAACUAAUCUGAACCAUUCUCCUUUAGUAACAGGGGAAUGAAAUUAUAUCGAUGAUAGAUAAUUUCAAAACAGGGGAAUGAAAACAGAGGAACCUGUUUUUCCUUCCUUUUCUUCUUUCCCCCAACUCUUCUUCUAUUUAUAUUUUCCUUGGAAUUUUCGGCAAACGAAAAAAAAUUGGGAAUGAUUUCAGGAAAACAGGUGGAUAAUAACUAAAAUAUUUAUUUUUAUAUUUUUGAUAAACACACUCACUAUUAAUAGAAUUCAUUAGAUAUCAUAACUUAAAUAACUUCUUGUGAUUAAUUGAGGGUACAUUUGGGAUUUCUUUUAUUUCCCAAUAAUUAGCUUCUAUGUUGAUUCUCAGAAAAUUAAUUUUACGAAUAAUUUAGUAGGGUGUUUGGUAAAUGAUGAUUAUUUGACAACCAGUUUUCAAAUAAUCUACUAUACAAAUUUGAUAAGUAAAAAUUAGAAGUGUAAUAUUCAAGUGCAAAUGUGCAAUGAUAAAAAUGUAAUUGUUUGUUUAUUUGUAGUUUAUUUAGAAUAUUAUUACUAACAUCAUUUUUUUAUUUACUGGAUUUUUAAAGAGUAUAUUCUAUUUUCUUUAUUACAUAUCUAUAUCAAUUUUUUAUUAACUAUUUUAAUUUGUAAUAAAACUAACUUUAAUUUUUUUUAACUAAAAAAUUUGUUAUGCAGUUUGUUAUAUUAAAAAAAAAAUUCGGACGGUGUCUAAACAUGGUCACCAGUGAUUGUUAUAUUAAAAAAAAAUCUAUUCAAUUUUUUCUCUGAUUUUGUGUCGAUAUCUUUCUUACGUAUGUUGAUAUCAUAUUAAAGUGAAUUCAAGACCCUAUAUUAUUUUGCAUAACAUCAAAAUUUAGCCGAAUGGUAAUUAAGAAUUUCCUUUUUUGUUUGUCCCACAAUUAUAUAGUCUCAUUUUUUACAAUAAGCUCACAAUAUGCACGGAAAUGAAGAUCUAUUAAAAACUUCCCUAUAAUAUUAAACACUAAACAAUAUCACCAUGUUAUGCAUAUGGUGCCUCGUCAACAAUUUGAUGUUUAUUUUGUUUCUCGGGUGAAUAUGACUACUUGCGUUGCGAGUCCAUGCUUUUGUCGUUUGGAUGGAGGACGUGCCAUCUUUUUAUUUUAGAUGGUUUGUAAGACUUCUGAUUUAAUGAUUGAAUGCAGUCAAUUAACAAAAGCUUACAUAUUAUGUAGGUGCUGAUAUGUCUGUUCUUGAUAAAGUAGAUUUAUUUACAUCCAAGCCAACGGAGCCAAAGACAUUUCGUUAAUAAAAUACACGAUAAUUAUUUUUGUUAAACUGAUUUCUGGUUAAUAAGACCUAUAACAGCAUUCAAGGAAGCCACCGAACUCAAAGGAAAGGCAUGGUUAAAUAUACUGCGAAGCAUGUGAGUUCGUUUUUUAAUCUCUUGAUCACUCAUAAGCUUUUCUAUACCACUCACUGUAUCAUCCUUUUGAAUCGAUUUUGAUUGAUCAUCAGAGAUCAUGUACCCCACCUUAAGAUGAUUGAUCACAAAUUUGGCAUUGUAAUGUUGGUCACCUCUAAUUGGCCAUGCUAAAAUUGGGACUCGACAACCAAUUGCUUUUACUGUUGAAUUCCAUCCACAAUGAGAUAAAAAUCCACCCGUGAUUGAUGACUCAAUAUCAAUAAUUGUGGCGCCCAUCCAUCUAUUAUCAAAUCCUUUUUACCGACUUUAUUAUCCAAACCACUACGAAAAUAACUGCCUUCAGCUGGUUUGUCCAAAUGACGUAGAGGAUCCAAUCUACCUGCACCACCUUGAAUUACCCAAAUAAACGAUCGAUUUGAUGCUUCUAAAGGAUUAGCUAGUACUAAGUACUCAUCUAAGGUCAGAUCCACUUCAGUACCAAAUGACACAUAUAACACAGAUCCGCGUGAUUUCAAAUUCAACCUUUGAACGAUCUCAUCUUCCGUCAUAUUAGAACUCCGCCGGUUGGUUCUCAUCUCAUGAUCAUCAAGCACUGAACCGGCCGAUUUGUAAAAUUGUUCAGGUAAUAGUGGGCCCACUCCCCACAUCGGCUUUCCCAAUUCAUUGGCUAAAUAAUUAAUAAAUGGUCCCUCAAGACCAUCACACGUGUUGAACAUCAACGCCAUUGAUCCCUCCACUUCCUUCAUCCAGUGUGGUUGAUCACCGGCUUCUGGUGGACCUAUUUUCUCGGAACCGGGUGCACCUCUCAGAGGUGGUGGACCACCAGGAGGGGGCCCAUGAGGCCUGUGUUUUAGGUCCGAUUCAAAUAAAGCCAUAUCCUCGGGUAACCGAGGAAGUAAACGGGCCUCUCCCGGUUUGACAUCUUGGAUGCGAGCCUGCCACAUGGCACACUCCGCAGCUGCCGAGCAAGCACCAGAAGUGAAGAACCCAACAAUGGGAACUUCAAAAAUCUUGAAAACAUCAGCCGUCCAGCCCAUCAUAACGUCGAUGACUGCACAAACGGGUCGGCUUUUGGGUUCCCGGGUUGAAAGGAGGUUUCGAACUUCGAAGGCCUUGAAGCAUUUGGCUGUGCAUGGCAACAUGAGGGUGAGGAGGCGAAGGAGGGUAUUUCAGUAACUUCAAAGAGAGGGUAUUGGUGAAACGAGGAAGGGAUGAUGCUGGGGGCGGAAAUGUGAGAGGGAAUGAUGAGGGUAGAUUUGUAAUUACGAGUAGCGAUUUGCUUGCAUAAUUCAAUGCAUGGAAACAGAUGUCCCUGACCGAAGAAUGGGACAAUCCAAACCUCGGCCUCAGCAGCAGUAGCAACAGAGCUUGACAUCUUUUUGAAUUAUUUGAUACUUAAUUGUUACUGUUUGCUUUUACAUCUUUCAUAAAACACUCUUUGUUAUAUAUAAAGAGAUGACUUAAUGGAGAAGUAAGUGUUUUAGUUUUACAGUUUUACUAGUAGGUGAGCUCUGAGUUUGAUAAUUUGAUUGUUAGUUUUAGUUGGUUAGUUAUGAGAAAGCAUCUUUUAGAAAAUUCAUUCCAGUUUCAACUAAAAUUAAUAAUAUUGUUCAAAUUAAUUACUCGAUAAAUAAAUAAUUAGAGAUAAAUCUAUCCCUAAUCUCACAUUUAUAAAAUAAGGAUUGAAAUAAGUUCUUGUGGAUUCGAACUCAAGCCCUCAAGCCGAGUGGCUGGAUCUUGACUACUUUGACUUAAUUAUUAUUAUUAUUAUUAUUAUUAUUAUUAUUAUUAUUAUUAUUAUUAUUAUUAUUAUUAUUAUAUAUAUAUAUAUAUUUCAUUCUUUCAUUGAACAUCUUUUGUUAUAUAAUAAAGAAGAUAAGUUGACGGAGAAGAGUUUUACUUUUACUAGUAGAUGAGCUUUGAGUUGAGAACGUUAGUUUUAGUUGAUUAAAUAUCUACCAUCCAAAUCAACAUUCCUUAAACUAUUAUUCAAGUGAGAUGUCUGAGUAACAUACGCUUGAGUUAGUUGGUGCCUAACAAUUCGUGUGAUACAUGAAACCAACCAAUAUGAAAACCAAAUCAAGUUGGUAGGAUUACAUUAAUUUAAAUUAACUUUCAAGUUCCAACAUUAUAAGAUAAAUAAAUAGCAUAAACUAAUUUUUUUUUUCAAGUAAAUAUGUUUAUCGUUUAAAAAUUAUUUUUUCUUGCGGUAAAUGCAACACUAAAUAAGGAGUGAAGAGGGUAUUUUGUAGGGUAUACCCCCACCUUUUAUUUCAUUUCAUUAUUAAAAAAUAAAGGCUUGAUUCAACAUUCAAGUAAAAUUAACAAUUCCAUGAUAAAAUUGCUUGAGAAUAAGAAUUAAAAUAAAAAAAGAAAACAGCAACUCAAAAACGACAUACAAAUACCGCAUAGAGGUUUUUCGUCACGAGAUAUUUUUGGGUUGAGACAACAGUUGUAUAACAGAGCAUACAGACUGAAUGACGGUGAGAAUAAGAAGGAAAACGGCGCCACACACCGAAAUGCCAGCCCAUGGAGUAUUGAAGUAAUUUUGUUUCAAGUUUGCCCUCCAUUUGUAGCACGUUCUUUUGCAGUGAUCAUUCAAUCCUUUGCAUAGCCCAGAAAAAUAGAAGCUAUUAGACAGCAGAGUAGUACCUCUAGAAAGGAACACAUAAUCAUUUAUGUAACACAUAAUCAUUUAUGUAAUUCUCUGAGUAAUGCCGUUGUUCAAAGGCAAUGAGAUUACGAAAUAAGGAUUCUGUUUCUAGCUGUAGCUUCAGUUUCGGAAUAUGCGAUGUCCUGUUUUUGAAUUCUAUGGCGAACAAAUCAUUGCUCUUGCUCAAACUGAAGUGGACUCCAGCUUGGUGGAGAUUAGUCACACUUGGUGCGGUUUUACCUUUGUGGUAUUGCUGACCUUCUUGUUUUUCCUGAUUCCUCGAUGAUGGGAGAUGGCAAAUCCUUAGAAAAUCAAGGAAAUGCUCUACCCUAGCCUUAGUGUAAGGAGGGAAUUUUUGCUGAUUACCUUGUACUACCUCUAAACCCUUGAAAUACUCGUAUGUGACUGUGAUGAUGGUUGGAUUUUCAUGUUGGUCGGGGAUUUCAAUUGCCGCUAGAGCAAAAAGAUCCUCAAGAAUGAAGAAAGGAAGCUGAUUCUCAAGCAACCACAUAUCAUACCGUAUAUCCUCUAUUAAAUAGGGUUUAUGAAAUAUAUGAUCAUCUUUUUUUUGAAGUUGACGGAAAUGAUACCUCAAUAAGAGUUCAAUGAUGAAGGCAGCAUCCAGCAGAAUCAUUUCAACAAAUUUAUCACUACUUAGUUCGACUUUUUCUGCAUAAGAACCUCGUAAUUCUGCUUCUCUGAACUUUAUAAUUUGAACAAACUCGUCAAAGCUUAUUUGGGUCCGUUGAAGAAAGUAAUGCAGGUACCGCUGUUUAUGUUCUUCCAUGAACUGUAAGUUUGCUUUGCCAUGCUGAAGAGGGCCAAUUGAGACUACCUGAGGUGUAUGUACCUUUUCAUUUAUCUGACGUAAUCGCUCUGGAACUCUGUAGAUGCAGCAGUUUGAGGGCAAUGGUGAUAAUUUUUUCAACUUAACUUGCAAGCAUUCUUCCAUGUUAUAAACUGAAAACAUGGCGCGAAAUUUAAUCAAUUCAACACUUAAUAAGGCAUAGUAAUUAAAAAAGAAUUAAAAAAAAAAACCAAAUACAAGAGCAUUCUUACACGUACAGAAGCACCUCAAUCCCUACUAUUUGCAGAGCUGUAGCCAGGAGUCAAUGAUAGACCAGACUGAACUAAAAGGAACAACUUUCUUAGGAAUAUGUUAUCGGUAUUUUCUCUGGCCUCAGGCCAUCAACAAAGCAGUUUCAGUGCUUCUUAUAUAAUUCCAUGGAUUAUUCCUUGCCUUUACAGAUGAUAUAAGUCACAAUUCAUAUAUUAAUUUCUCCAGAUUCCGUACAAGUGGACCAUAACUAUGGAAAAAUUCAAAGAAUGCAACAGCCAUUUGAUUGGUCCAUGUCAGAAGUUAAUCUGGGGAAAGAAGCUUGAUCUAGCAGUAAAAUUCUCUCCUUCAAUCAGUCAGUUUGGGGCAGCAACAAGAUCAAAGCCACCACGCAAACAUUUACUAAAGUUUAUAUAAUAUUCACUAGUUUAUAUAAUAUUCUUGAAACUCAUCUUAAGUAAAGCAACAAAAGCCUUCACUGUUUCUUAACAACUUUAUUGCUCUAACACGUAGCAUAACACUUUUAAAUUUGCAUAAAGCACAAUAGUACUUUAGUUUGUAACAACAGCACAGAUAAUAAAUCGCAUUUUAUAGCUUUAACAAAAGCAUACAAAAUUCUUAAACCUUGUUUCAAGCAAUUCAUUAAUGCCACAAGGAUGUCUUUUUGCUUCCUACAGUUUUUAUUGAAAUUCAUAUAUUCUUCUUUAUCAAAUUAAGUAAUUUUCCUUUUUCAAAAAAUCAAGAAGGUUUCGACUGCAUGGAAAUACAGCACACAAUUACUACUAUUCCCGGAGUAAGAAAUUCAUAAAUGCAAUAUAAACAUACAUUUUCAUAAGACAUCAGAAUCAAAGAAUCAUCAAUGCAUCAAAUCUGUACACCCAAAAAAGUUGAAAGCAUCAAGAGAAAAUUAUACCGCAUGGACCCUUUACAACCCUUAUAACGAGUUCAGACAGCCUAAUCCAAUUUAAUAGAUUUGAGGACAGCUACAAUGUGCAAUACAAAAUUUCCCAAUACUAUUUAGAACAAAGUCUAGAAAAUAAAACCUAUAUAUUGUACAAAAUCACGAAAACCAGAAAUGACGAAAAACCUGCGAAUGUAAUUUUUGGGUUUCUUCAACAUAUCUUCCAUCCAAAUCAAACAAGAAUCGAUAAAUCAACAACAUUCAUCUUUAAACGACAUAUUACCACAAUAAAAUUGUCAACCAAGCCUCAUAUAAACCUUUUUUGUGUUUUUUGGUAAAUAUAUUUGUUAUUCUCUAAGAAUACUAGGGAAAAAAGAAACCCACUUUCUUAAUCAAGAAUCAAAUAGUAUAUAUGAAUCUAAGCUGAAGUAAGUCUUGGGUUUGAUGAAAAAGCUUGCAUUGUGAUUUAGAUUGGAAAGGAAGUUGAUUUUUGCUGGUUGAGAGAGAGAGAUUUGAGACUUAAGGAGUGUUGCUAAUCUUCGAUCGUGUAAACAAGGGUAACUGGGUCAUAGUUCAAAAUAAGGGUCCAAAAUUUACUAAAGCUAUUAAGGAGCCCAAAACUCAUAAUGGCUUCCCCAAAAUAAAUAAAAUUUUCUAGCAUUAAGUUUUUGUUUCUUCUUGAGAUUUCCUUGUCGUACUUACCCAUAUUUCGAUAUUGCCUCCAAGUAAACUUAUAUAUAUUGAUUAACAAUAUAAACAAGCACUAUGAAGUUUUAGGCCUGAAAAAACAUUGAGGUUGAAAUGAAAACCAUCUAUUUAAGUAACAAAAUCUUCUGAUAAUUUGAUGCUUAAUAAAUAGAGCAGAGAUGACAUAUUAAUCACGCUAUGAUGUGGAAGUUAUGAUUAUAUUCAUCUUAAGAAUAAGAUCUUUCAAACACUGGCAGAUUAGUAUCAAAAUACUCAGCAUAAGACCUACAAACUAGAAAUCAUGAACCAAUUAUUGAACUCAGUACAUAAGUUGAUCUUUUAUAAGCUAUAAAACAAAUCUGCUAUAACAUAAGAAAGUGGGAUUUAUCACCAGACAAAUAUUUUGGUGAAACUCAAGAUGACGGAAGGAUAUCCAAAACAACCUCCUUAAGGGAAGGCAUCACUUCCUGCUGAUGCAAACAUAUAUAUUUAUUACUCACUUUCUUGAGGACCUUCCAGGAACCUGGGUAGCAUCUAACAGAAAGUGGAAAAGAAUAAAAUGUAAAAUAUAAGUUAAACAGCAGGAAAACAGUGAGUGAUACUAGGCAAGCAUUAAUAGGUUGCCGCAGGAAAAGUGUCAGUAACUAGCUAGCAAACCUGAAAAGGGUUCCUCCAUUGCGACCCUUAAAAUUGUGAAUGUAAUAUAUGGUCUCCAUCACAGGAAAAAGUGUAUUGGAUAGUGCAGCCAGCUUAGUGUUGCGGACCGCCCAAAUUCGUAGCCCAAUUUAUUCACCAAGAGCCCAACACAAGGCCAAGAGUGCUACCUUGGCCCGAUUCCGGAAAAUUCUAGGCAACUCUAGCACAUUGAGCUUGUAAAUACUCUAGAAUUCUCCAUAGAAUUCCAGCACAUGUAAAUAGCUAGGAAAUGGUAGAAUUCUCUAGAAUCUCUAGAGCUUGGCAAGCCUCCCCUAUAAAUAUGGGAUGGCAUUAGGCAUUUGUAUCCAACAAACACUACAACAAGCAUUGUAAGCAACUCAAGCAAUGUAAUUCUCUCUUUGUGCAAUACAAUUUCUCUUAUUCGGCUCUAUUGCUCUCUUCUCUAGUUCGAGAAGCUCUAAGCUUACUUAGCAACAUUCGGCAAAGUUGUCUAAGUGCCGCACGAGUUAGCUGCGCAAAAUACUCAUCCCGUGACAAGUGGUAUCAGAGCUAAAGUUUGCACGCACGCAAAUUAGCUCACGAGCAAUGGCCAACCUUUCAAACGUAGCACAAUAGGGUGUUGUUGGUGUGGAUGUUCCACUGGAACCAAGCCGCGACCAAGAGGGAGAACGCUCCCAAGGCAAGACUCGUGGCAAGUCCAAGGCCCCAUCCGUGGAUGCGUUGGAGCCUCGUGUGACUACUCUCGAAAUCACAUUGUCCGCCGCUCAAGAAAGUCUCGAGGGAUUGGAGGAACGAGUGGACGGUCUCGAGGGGGAAUACGCCGAGUUCACGGUGGCAACAAAAGCUCUCAUCCAAGAGCAAGCGAACACUCUCCGAGGUGAGUUUCGUUCUUUCCAUGAUGAGUUGCUCAAACUUCGUAGCUUUGUUCAGGAUGAACUACGAGCUGUCCGUGCAGAAGUGGAUGAAGUCCGCUCGGAUUGGGCAUGGCACAAGUGCACAGUCUCUGCUAGUCCAGCUUCCGCAAACUCGAGUGAUGCGCGCCGCAUUGACGUGCCAAAGCCCGACACCUACGAUGGCACACACAAUGCCACCAUCGUGGAUAAUUUCCUCUUUGGGCUCGAUCAAUACUUCGAUGCCAUGGGUGUCCGAGACGAGGCAUCGAAAGUGGGCACUGCACCCACCUAUCUUAGAGGCGCUGCACAACUAUGGUGGCGUCGCAAGUAUGGCGAGAUGGGCAAGGGCAUUUGCACCAUCGACACUUGGGCCAACUUCAAGCAAGAACGCCGAAAGCAGUUCGCCCCAAGCAAUGCGGAGAAGGAAGCACGAGCGUGCUUACGUCGCCUCAAGCAAACGGGUAGCAUAUGGGACUACAUCAACGAGUUCACUACCCUUAUGUUGGAGAUAAGCGACAUGUCCGACAAAGAUUCGCUCUUCUACUUCCAAGAUGGCCUCAAGGAUUGGGCCAAGACUGAGCUUGAUAGGCGUGGUGUUCAAACACUUGACGAUGCCAUGGCCGUUGCGGAGUCGCUCACCGAAUACUCUAUCCAAUCCAAGGACAAAAAGGCCAACCAAGGCAAAGGUGGGGGAGAGAGUCGCAAGGACAAGGGCAACAACCGCAAAGAUUGGGGGUAGAAAAAACUGCCUAGCAACAAGAGCGAGCAAGGAAAAUCGGAGGGUAAGAAGGAGGCGCCAAAGCCGCGAAGCCCAUGCUUCAUAUGCAAUGGUCCUGAUUGGGUACGCGACUAUCCGGAGAAGAGGUCGCUAAACGCUCUUGCUGCCCAACUCAAGAGCAACCCUACAAUGUCCACAGAGGAACCCCAACUCAGCAUGGGUUCUCUCCAACGCCUCGGCGCACUUAAUCACUAACAGCCUGCACUCGUCAAGAAAGGGCUCAUGUAUGUAAGCGCAAAGGUAAACGGUCAGUUCGUUCGCGCGCUGCUAGACACGGGAGCGACGCACAACUUUGUGUCCGUAGACGAGGCCAAGCGCUUAGGCCUCAAGGCCACCAAGGAAGGAGGCACGAUGAAAGCGGUGAACUCACCCGCCAAGCCAAUUGCGGGGAUCGCACAAGGCGUGCACAUUAUGCUUGGAACAUGGAGCGGAAAGCUUGAUUUCUCCAUCGUUCCCAUGGAUGACUUCAAGAUGGUCCUCGGCAUGGAAUUCUUCAACCAAGUCCAUGCCUUCUCGCUGCCCGCUCCGAACUUCCUAAGCAUCCUCGACGGGAGUAAGGCAUGCAUGGUUCCCACGGAACGAGGCAAGUCCGAGGAGAAGACACUCUCUACCAUGCAAUUUAAAAGGGCUUUCAAGAAGGACCCAAGUUUCUUGGUCUCCAUUCGGGAACUAAACGAGGUAGGAAAUAGCGGAAUCUCGCCAAACCAAGUCCCUCCGCGAAUUCAAGCCGUCCUUAAUGAGUACAAGGACGUGAUGCCUCCAGAACUUCCGAAGAAACUCCUACCUCGACGAGAGGUUGACCAUGCAAUUGAGCUGGAACAAGGCACGAAGCCACCAGCCUUGGCGCCCUACCGCAUGGCGCCACCCGAAUUAGAGGAGUUGCGGAGACAACUCAAAGACUUACUGGACGCAUGCUACAUUCGCCCCUCAAAGGCCCCAUUCGGUGCACCUGUGCUCUUCCAAAAGAAAAAUGAUGGAUUGCUGCGGAUGUGCAUCGAUUAUAGAGCGCUCAACAAGAUCACCAUCAAGAACAAGUAUCCGAUUCCCUUGAUCGCGGACUUGUUCGACCAGCUUGGCAAAGCGCGGUACUUCACCAAACUCGACUUGCGCUCCGGGUACUACCAAGUGCGCAUCGCCAAGGGAGACGAACCAAAGACAGCGUGCACAACAAGGUACGGGUCUUUCGAAUUCCUUGUGAUGCCUUUUGGCCUUACUAAUGCACCCGCCACAUUUUGUACGCUCAUGAACAAGGUGCUCCAACCAUUUCUCGACCGCUUCGUGGUCGUGUACUUGGAUGACAUAGUGGUGUAUAGCACCACGCUCGAGGAUCAUGCCCAACACUUGCGACAAGCCCUCCAAGUACUUCGAGACAAUGAGCUAUUCCUCAAAUUGGAGAAGUGCUCGUUUGCCCAACGAGAAGUGGAGUUCCUUGGCCACAAGAUUGCGGGCGGGAAGCUCAUGAUGGAAAAUGCCAAAGUGAAGGCCAUUCUCAAAUGGGAACCUCCCUCGAAAGUGCCCGAGCUUCGCUCAUUCCUUGGGCUGGUGAACUACUACUGCCACUUCAUCAAAGGCUAUUCGGCCAAGGCAGCACCCUUGACGGAUAUCAGAACGUGGCAUUAGUUCGAAGAGUGCCAACGCGCAUUCGAGGAGUUGAAGAAGGCAAUUUCAGAAGAACCUGUCCUCGCUCUACCGGACCACACAAAGCCCUUCGAAGUCCAAACAGAUGCCUCAGAUUUUGCCAUAGGUGGAGUCCUUAUGCAAGAAGGCCACCCCAUAGCGUUCGAGAGUCGAAAGCUAAAUGAUACGGAGCGUCGCUACACGGUGUAAGAGAAGGAGAUGACAGCCAUCAUACAUUGCUUGCGUGUGUGGCGACAUUACUUGCUAGGCUCACACUUCACGAUUAUGACGGACAACGUGGUGACAAGCUACUUUCAAACUCUAAAGAAGUUGAGUCCGAAGCAAGCACGGUGGCAAGACUUCCUUGCGGAAUUCGACUAUUGGCUCGAGUACAAACCGGGGAAAGCCAAUGUCGUUGCGGACGCUCUAAGCCGCAAGGUGGAAUUGGCAACACUUAGCAUGAGCCAACCGAAGUUCGACCUUAUCUCACGCAUCAAGGAAGGCCUCCAACAAGAUCCGCUAGCAAAGGAUUUGCUGGAGAAGGUGCUCGAGGGAAAGACAAGGCGUUUUUGGCAAGAGGAAGGCAUCCUCCUCACCAAGGGAGAUAGGCUGUUCGUGCCAAGGUGAGGAAACUUGUGGAAGGAAGUUAUCAAGGAGUGCCACGACUUCAAGUGGGCUAGUCACCUAGGAAUCGAGCGCACCACCGCACUAGUUCAAGCCUCGUAUUUUUUGCCACACAUGAGGGACGACAUCGAGGCAUAUGUGCGAACUUGUCUUGUGUGCCAACAAGACAAGGUGGAUCAUCAACUUCCAGCGGGAUUAUUAGAGCCGCUAUCGCUAGCAACAAGACCAUGGGAAAGUGUCUCCAUGGACUUCAUCACAUCGCUGCCUAAGUCCGAAGGAUGCGGAAGUAUCAUGGUCGUUGUCGACCGAUACAACAAGUAUGCCACAUUUAUUGCCGUACCAAUCGAUUGCAAAGCGGAUGAGGCAUCUCGCCUAUUCGUCAAGCACAUUAUGAAGCUUUGGGGAGUUCCAAAGAACAUUGUGAGCGACCGAGACCCUUGGUUCACUGGGCGUUUCUGGACGGAGCUCUUCAAGAUGUUAGGGACCGAUCUCAAGUUCUCGACAAGCUUUCACUCACAAACGGAUGGGCAGACCGAGCGCAUUAAUGGCCUCCUCGAGAUGUACUUGAGGCAUUAUGUGAGCGCUCAUCAGCGAGAUUGGGCGAAGCUAAUCGACAUCGCCCAAUUUUCUUAUAACUUACAGCGAAGCAAGGCUACGGGCAAGAGUCCGUUCGAGAUCAUCAUGGGAUUUCAGCCCAUGACCCCCAACGCCAUAGCCUCGACUUACGGAAGGAAAAGCCCCGCGGCACACAAGCUCACCCGCGAAUGGCAUGAGGAAGCGAACACCACGCAAGCCUAUCUCGACAAAGCCGUGAGGAAAAUGAAGAAAUGGGCGGAUACAAGGAGACGACAUGUUGAGUAUAAGGAAGGUGAUCAAGUUAUGAUCAAGCUCCUACCCCAACAAUUCAAGAUGUUGCGGAAAGUCCACAAGGGGUUAGUGAGGCGCUACGAGGGACCCUUCCGAGUUGUUCGACGUGUGGGCAACGUCUCGUAUCAACUCCAACUUCCGCCAAGACUCAAGAUCCAUCCGGUCUUCCAUGUGAGUCUUCUCAAGCCAUAUCACGAAGACAUGGGAGACCCAAGUCGCGGAGAAUCGAGGCGCGCACCAACUGCCGUUGUCACCGCGUUCGACAAAGAUGUGGACUACAUCAUUGCGAACCGCGUGGUUUCGAGGAGGGGCGUGCCAGCACAUAGCGAGUACUUGGUGAAGUGGAAAAACCUCCCCGAGAGCGAAGCCACUUGGGAACGUGAAGACAAUUUGUGGCAAUUCGUUGAGCACAUCCAGAGGUUCAAGCACGAGAGCGCGAUGAGGACGCCGCGAGGUUAGGUGGGGGAGGAUGUUGCGGACAGCCCAAAUUCGUAGCCCAAUUUGCUCGCCAAGAGCCCAACACAAGGCCAAGAGUGCUAGCUUGGCCCGAUUCCGGAAAAUUCUAGGCAACUCUAGCACAUUGAGCUUUUAAAUACUCUAGAAUUCUCCAUAGAAUUCCAGCACAUGUAAAUAUCUAGGAAAUGGUAGAAUUCUCUAGAAUCUCUAGAGCUUGGCAAGCCUCCCCUAUAAAUAUGGGAUGGCAUUAGGCAUUUGUAUCCAACAAACACUACAACAAGCAUUGUAAGCAACUCAAGCAUUGUAAUUCUCUCUUUGUGCAAUACAAUUUCUCUUAUUCGGCUCCAUUGCUCUCUUCUCUAGUUCGAGAAGCUCUAGGCUUACUUAGCAACAUUCGGCAAAGUUGUCUAAGUGUCGCACGGGUUAGCUGCGCAAAAUACUCAUCUCGUGACAUUAGGGUAGAAGAAUGACGGAUAAUCUUUAGCUCAUUUAAGGAAAUCCUCUCUGAUCCUUUCAUUGCACAUUCCAAAACAACUCUACUACAACCAAGUUACCAAUUCUUUUUGUUAAGUCAUUGUUAUUUGUUAAAAAAAAAAAAAGUCUUCCUUGCAACAUUUUAUUGAAAGAUAUAACAUGAUCAUCCCUAUUAAUUCCCUUUUAGAUUUCUGUGAGUGAAUUUCAAAUUAUUGUAUUCAAAAAUAGAAGCAAAAGACCCACUUUACUUUCAAUUUCUGCAACAAGAUACCAAUUGAAGGACCAAAAAGUUGUAAACAAGCAAUUCAAUGGGUGGGCAUCUAGAAACUGCUAAAUAGCAUCAAAAUCAUACUAAAUUUACAGAAAGUACAAUAAUAAUGAAAGAAUGGUGAAGGAUACACCCAGACCUUAUCCGGUCAAGUUCUCUAUUGAAUAUAAUCAGUUUCUGGGCAGUAUUGAAGACAGCUUCUUUGUAAAGCUCUUCAACGACAAGCAUUUCUACAAGACGAAAGAAAAGCAAAAUUAAUUACCUUAAGGAAUGAAUAUCAAUAAGAAGACAAGGUGUAAGACUACCAUUGACAUUAAAAUAUGGAUAGGCGACUAGAAACAAUUCAUCUUCUGGCUUCACACGGUCUGCCAUUUUAACCUUCUCAGUGAAUCCAAAAUCCUCAAAGAAUGAAGGUUUUGUUAGAUAGUCCAACUUAAAUAAUGAUCCUUCAAAGACCGAUUUUCUUGCAUAUUUGACUUCAUUUGCCUCUGGGAAAAACUAAAAACCAAAUGACAGACCAAGAUCACGAAACGAAUCAUGAACAUAGAUAUCAGAUAAUCAGAAAUGGGCAUUAAACAGACUACUAACAAGUAGGAAAUGCAUACAGAAAACAUUAUUCAUACACCUUAUGCACAUGAAAUAUAUAUGCAGAGGGAUCCUCUUGUGAAUUUAGUUUAUAUCCUAAUAUGAGACAAUGAACAAUUGGAUGGCAUCUAAGGGCUAACAUUUGUUUGAUUAUUAUAUGAAAAAAAAAAACAAAACAGAGUUGAUUGAUGGCCUUUGAUGGAUUGCCUACACUCUUAAAGUGCAGAGAGCCUGAUUAAUUGCUUUACCUGCCCCCCCCCCCCACACACACUUGGUUUUAUUAUCUCUCUUUUCAAAUAUAUAAUCAUUGGCUGUCUUUCAUCCUGAUCCGGCUCUCCUUCCAGGCCCCAGCUGUGUUUUCUUCAAUUCAGUGAAACAUUCACAUUCAGGUAAGAAUAAACUUGUCCUUCCUCAAAAAUCAGCUUCUCACCAUGAAGCUUUCUUUUUUAAACCAAUUACUAGUCUAGCAUAACGCAUCUAAUUGAAGACAACUCAGAAUUGAAAAAGCCAUACUUUAAUGUCUGUUGUUGGGACCUCAAGACCAGGAACAAAAAGCUUCUUUCUAACAGUUGGAUUAACAAGUAGAAAUAGCUUUUUUUCUGAAGGACCCAACAUUGCAUUGAAAAAUUCAACAAAAGGAAUGGCAUCAUAUUUAGUCCUGCUAGAAUUUUGUGCACUUAACACAAUGGUUAAUAAUUGGCCCAGCGGACACUUUGUCGAACUAUUGGCAACCUUGACUGUGGAAAUGCAUAUUUCAAAUGUUGGCAGGCUCUAGCUUCUUGAUGUACUGUUGAUAGAAAUGCCUAUUUCAAAAGUUGGCAGGCUCAAACUGCCGAGACUUUGGUUUCUUGCAUUUCAAACCCACAAAUAAAACUUUGGCAGAACCCCAGAAAGAGCUACACCUCCCAAAUUUGAUGACAAAUGAAGAGACCAUGCCUAGUGCUUAGUUCGGCAAAUGAGUAAGUUUGAAAGAAAUUAAGGGAAACCUUUCCCACAGAGAGUCAUAUUGAAGGUUACAAUUUGAAGACUUUGUCCCCUGUCGCCCACAACCUUCUUUGAUCUCUUUGCUUAGUCAUAAAUAAUCAAACAUAUGUUAGUCGUUGGAUGCAAUCCACUCACUGACAUCUCAUGUCCACAAUCAAUCAACCAUAUUUUAAUAGAAAUGAAAACAUUUUAAUUAAAAAAGAAUGAGAUAGGAACAAAAUGAAACUUGGCAGACAUGGGUCUAUGAGAUUUUAAAGAUGCUUGGUGAAAGUCGUAUUCAAGAGUUCAACAGUCAGUUCUAUCACCUAUGGCAAAGUAACCACCAUAACUAAAGCAAUUACAAAACAUCAAGAAGCUUGAACUUGGCAAGAGGUCUCAUUAACAGUAUACCUCAGAAAUUAAGACAGACUUAAAGUACAAGCUUUUGGAUUUAUUUAAACACUGAAAAUAAUAUGGGUAGAAGCUCCUAUGGUCACAGCAAACAAUUACAAAGCACAAAACCCAAAAAAUAGAUAUGCAAAAAGCUGCAAAAGAACAUUAUUAGCAAUUGACAUCUGCUUUGCUCAGACAAAGGUUCUCAUAACAAAGGACUUAGUGAUUAUCUUUCAUAUGUUUAUGUUAAGGGGAAAAAGGAAGUUUGUUUUAGUCAAUCUCAUGUCUAAUGGCAUUCAUAAGGAGCCCAAAAAUAAAAGAAAAAAUAAAGAGUUAGUAGGUGUUUCUCGCAGUAUAAAGAAAAUUUAUCAUCCAUGAAAAACUUAGUAUGGAAAAAGCUAACUCAUUUAUCUGCCAAUGGAGAAAAACUUGUUGUCCACCCACUAAGGACCCACCAUUGGGAGAUGGAUCCCAUGGAUGGGAACCACAAAUAUUUUAUUCUAAAUGAAAUGGGUAUUGUACCAUAUCAUUUAAUUUGUAGAUUCCACUGAUGGAACUCAUCAAACUUUUCAAAUGGUAGGUCCUUCAUGGGUAGGCGCAUCACUUCAGCAUCCUUCUCCACCGAUGACUAAAUCUGGACUCAUUUAAAAAGAAUACAAAGCAAAACUAAUUGACACAAAUUGCAUAGAGGUCUAGGAGCCAAAUCAAUGUUGUUAACUCAUCCAAUUAAUACAUUCUCUUAGAGGUCAUACCUUGGUAACUCAUUUCAAAAGAAAUUAAAAGAAAAACGACUGCACAAAUUGUACUGAGCUCAAGAAGACCUGUUCAAGGUGUUCACUUGUCCAACUAAUAAAAGUCAUCAAGGAUUGUAUCGGGGACUUGGGACCAAUCCUGCCUUAACUAGAGAAAGGGAAUUUAGGAUGAAGAAGAUAACCUCUUCUCCUAGAGCCCUUUUGGACAAAAAUGAAUUCCUACUAAUUCUGAGAAUAAAACCAUAGACAUCUAACUUCUGAUAUCUAGUCAAUCUGGUAAAAUCUUGUCAGUUGCACUUGGGGCAGAAAUUAGUUCCACCUUGGUUUACAGGACAGAAAUUCGUCAUAUGCAUGUAUUUAUUUAUGUUUUAUACACAAACGCAUACAUGUACACACAAACACUACCUUCACUUUGAAGAAAAGAUUAAAAUAACACUGCUCACAUACACAAUACUUACUAUUCUAGUUCGUGUAACUUUCUCUGGAGUCACAAACAGGUCACAGAAUUCACGUAUUAACCGCAUACUUCCAGUCAUUUCUAUUCCUCCUUCACCAUCACCUGUCCCACAAUUACAAAAAGUGAGAGGUAAUAACCAACAUAUUUGGGUUGCUCUUCGGUAAGGGGUGGGAGGUAAGGGUUAGUUGUGGAGGGCACCUGGUACAGAAUCAAGGCCAGCUGUUGGGAAUUCGAUCUCUUGUAACAUAUACUUGUUCAUCAUAAACUAUAUACUUAUUCUGCAGUCGAUGUGUGCAUAUAGCUCUUCAAUUAUCCAGUAAUAACUCACCAUCAACUUCCUACCAUCCUUCAUGGCUAAUUCAGCAGCCAUUUUUGCCUGUUUAAAGGUCAAAAGCCCAAACUAAGCAGAUGCUCCUACUCCGAUACUUAUUAUCUAACUACUACAGAACAGAUGAUACACAUCAAGUUGUAUCAAGAGAGACACCAAGUUGUGUUUUCCAAGAGGUUCCAAAGAGGAUCUGUUUCUUUGUGUAAUUUUUAGACUGCUUUGACAACUCAUCUUAAAGGUGCCACUCAUCCAAUAUGAUGUGGUGACAGUAGUUUAGAGUUUUAAACUAAAUGCAGAGCUAAUAGUAUUUUGGAAAUAUAAUCAUCCUAAGAUACUAUAACACAAGGAUUCUUACACAAAAACAACAACUUCGAUGUAGAGAGAAGAUGAUUUCACAAAAGCAGAUGUUUUGAUUUAAGUCUCCAAAACCCCCACCAAGAAAAUGUUCAACGGAUAUAGAAAUAUGAUCCACAUAUCUGUAACUUAAACUGUAAAAGUUGUUGAUGUUGUUCUAAAAUUGCCACAAUCUAUCUACCCCAUGAAUGUUUUUGGAUAAAACAAGAAGCAGGACCCAAUGCCUGUUUUCUAAUAGCUUCAAAAAGGCCAAAUUGGUUUUGAAAUGUCUCCAGCUUUUCAUUUAACAAGUUUAAGGAUCCCUUCGGCAUUGCAAUUGGGGAGCUCAGAUAUAUAAAAGUGCCUGGUAAACUCUUACAGCCGCAGCUUUUGAGCAAAAAUAAUUUUAUCUCAUAAUUGUUUGACUAAAAACAUAUAUCACCUUUUAUCAGUUUUGUAAAAAAUAUUAUUUAUAAGUCAUAUUUACCAAACACAGUCAACUUUUACAUCACAACUAUAGCUUUUUUUUUUUUUUCACCACACAUAUAUAGUUAAAAACUACAAGAACUCGAUAUCAAACAGAUCCUAAAGCGUAAUCUAAUAAAAAGGUAAAUAAACAAAUGCAGAAGCCAGCGUACUUGAUCAAGAAGCUCUGAAUAGUCACUGGGAAAGGGAAUAUCGACGUUAAUGGGGUUAUUGCCAUCGCUUGAAACCGAAUUGGUGAGACAAUUGCGUUUUCUUCUGUACGGCGAAAAUGUGACGAUUGAGUAACAACUUAUAUCGAACUUUAGGUUAAAAUAAUUACUAUGGAAUAUUGGAAUACGAGAUUAUUAGCAUUUGAGUGCUUGAGUGGGAAUCAAGAAAACUUAAAAUAGUUCAGUUAACCCAAAAAGAAAAAGGGGGGAAAAAACCCAUGGAAAGUGCGAUGAAUGUAAAUCCACUUUAAAACUUUAAUCAUAAAUGGUUAACUAAUUUUAAGUAAUUUGGAUUAACUUGACAAAUUGAAAAACCAUGCACUAGAGGAAAAUGUUCAUAUUUGGAGGUCCGAAUUUAUCUACCAUUCAACCCUAUUUUCAGCUCCUGCAUGGAGGAUAAGUUAGUUUGGUGAAUCUACCACUAGCUAAUUAGCUAAUUUUUUUUUUUGAAGAUAGCUAAUUAGCUAAUUAAGAGAGCAUUAACGUUGAUAAUUUGUCCUAUCUAAAAUGAAAAGUAAGAAAUUUACACUAGUAAAUUUUACACAAUCACAGUUGGAAUUUCAAAGAAACAAAAACGGAUCAAUAGUGCAAUUGUAAUUCAAAUUUGCACUUUAGGCCACACGUUCGGCCCAGUUCUUGUAUUAACACUUCAAUACUUGACAUGUGGCCAUUUUUUUAUUCGUCCACGUUCUUUGCAUUCUCAUGGUAGUACUCGAACAAGACAAAAUUUCACGAAUAUUCAGUUGAAUUGUUGUUGAAACAUGUAUAAGAAAUCAAAUCUCGUUAGUUUUGAAUAUUACCAGCAACUCAAAUUAUUUUAACCUAAAGUUCAAUAUAAGUUGUUGUUGGGGGUUAACGGCAUUUUGAACCACAAAGUAAAGAGAGAGAGAGAAGAAACGCUCCCCUUUCAAAUACCGUGCUCUUUUGUACCUGGGAAUUUAAUAAUUCAUGCGAAUAAAAAAAUUAUAAAUUUAGUAAAUUAUUUAUUAAAAAAUAUUGAGAGGUUGUGCAUUAUUUUAUUAGUAAUGACAUAGUAAUCAUCAAAUUAGUUGAAUUAAAAUAGUUGUUGACUCACGUAAUUUAUUUUUAUUAUUUUUAAAAAAAAUGGUCUGCGUUAAUAAGGUUAAGGGUGACAACUGGGAUCAAUAUACAGUUUAUUCGGGUGCUUAAAACCUAAUAAAUAUCCACUAACUCAUAUAUAGUUAAAAUAUAAUUAUUUUUAAAUAAAAAAUUUAAUAUAAACUAAACAAAUUGAUCGGAUUUUGUUUCUCAAGGUACAUCAUUAGAACGUUACUUUUAAUUGAACAAAAGCACACAUAACUAGCACAUUCGCCACAAAAGCCUCGGCUUAGUGGUCGGCUUAUUAAUUAUCCUAAUAAAAUCAUGGUCAUAAAUUUGAGUCCCCGUAGGUUAGGUAGCUUUUUUAGACUACACUAUAAAUACAUGUAUUUUACUUCUCGCGGGUAUUGCUUCUAGUAGUUAUCCAUCCGAGUAUAGAGCUUUGUAGCUUUCUUCAUGACCUUCCCCAAUUUCAAUGCUUGUUAAACAAUCUCCACAGAAAAUGUGAUAGAAAUGUCCCGCUGCCACUUGUUGUGCAUAGUCCAAAUCUGCAAUUUAAGGUCAUCAUUUCAUUUAAUUUUCCGUUAUAUAUAUUCAUCUUUCUUAGAGGCCAAGAAGUCUUCGACAGAAAUGUGAUCUUUUUCUAGUAGCCUCCCGGUGAUGAGCUUCUCCCAAGUUUCAAUUAAUUCGCUUUGAGUGAGGAUAUUUUCUGGUGGCCUCAAAUACAAUGUUUUGUUCAGCACUCGAGGAGCAUCUAUUCUCUUAAUAGUAUAUAUGGCAACAUCAUCGAUAUGCACCAUAGAAAAAAAGAUAAUCAUUUUGUUUAAUAUGAACAUAAAUUCUUACAGUCUAACUCAUAUUAUAGUGAACGAUGUUGUUGUGUGGUGCGUGCAUGCACUAUCUAUAGUUUUAAUAUUAUUAAUAAAGAGUUAAAAGUCUUGAUUUAAUUUUAAAUUGUCAUUCCUCUAACUUCACCGUCUUCAUAGAUCCAGACUUUAUCUUUUGAAGGGCGAGGGUAGCUAUAUUUGAGAGAGGUGUCCGGGGAACCAACCAGCAAAAAACAGCUAGCAGAAACAUAAAUGACAGGGAUUUGAGCAGCCUUGAUUGCCCUUCUCACACAUGUGCUCUGCGUUCUCCCUCUCGCUCUCACUCACUCACGCCCAAAUCUCACCUCACUCACGCCCAAAUCUCACCUCACUCACGCAUCUCUCCUUCUGACCGGUGGUUUUCUCUCUCUCGCCGUGGGUCUCUAGGCUGGCAGGGAUUUCUCGACUUGACUACUAAAACAUAAUCCAAAAACUACUAAGAGAUGUAUAUAUUACUCUGAUAUACACAAUAUGAAGAAACUGCAGUUAUAUUUCAAAUAUUAUAUGAAGGAAGAGGCUGUAUGGAUUAUCCAAAGGUGCUGAAAUUAAGAGACCCACACCAACCGACAGACCCCCGGUGAUAGAGAGAAAGUCGACCGUGAGAUGCAUUCAAGACGGGGGAAGAGUGAGAGAGAAAACUGCCCGGUCAGAAAGAGAGAUGCAUGAUUGAGGUGAGAGAUUUGGGCGUGAAUGAGUGAGGAGUGAGGGAGAGGGUGCCGCGUGUGUGGGAUGCGUACAGUGACAAUUUAUACUUACAUCAAAACGCCGAGUUCGGUGCCAUGUGUAGGGCUAACUGUGGUUUGAAUCUCACUUUGGUAACGGAAAUGACUUUGCAAUUGACAGUUUUUGUCAAAAGUUCGCACUGCAUGAAACUAGUGUUAAUAUAAUUUAAAAAAUUAAUUUCAGUAUUAAUUUUUAAAAUGUUAAUUAUUAUAUUUAUUUUAAUAAUAUAUUUAUAUUUAUAAUAAAAAUUUUAGUUAAAUAUUUGUGUUAAAUAGAAUUUAUAAUUAAUAUAAUAUAUCUUAGGUAUUAAUUAUUAUAAUUAUUCUAUAUGCUAUUGAAAAUCAUUUAAAUUUUUAGAUGUUUAUUUUCAUACUAAGUUUCUAUUUAUUUUAAAAUUUAGUUUAAUAUAAUAUAAGCAAGUAAAGUAUUAAAAUAUUUUUUAGUAUUUUUAAAAUAUUAAAAUUAUUUUAAAAUAUAAGUCAAUUUUUUAAGUUAAUAGAACUAAUAUUUACAGUUUAUUUGAUGGCCUCAACAAGCUAAAGCAGCAUCAAAAUUAUGUGGCUCCUUAUUUUAUUUUUUCCCUUUCAAAAAGGGAAAAGGAUAAGUUUGGGAGAAUGUUUAUAUUUUUAAUAAAUUCUUUUUUAUUAUAAUACUUUUUGUCUUUAUUAAUUUAAAAAUAUUGACUCUUAUAUUUUAAAAAAUAUAAAUAUAAUAUUAUAAUAAAAUAUAACAAUAUAUAUCAAAUAUUUAAAAAAAAUUUAUAAUUUUAUAUUAUAUUAAAAUAAAUUUUUAAUAAAUAAAAAUAAUCUAUUAAAAUAAAGUACAAAAAUUUAAAUUAUUUUCAUUAUCAUCUAAAAUAAAUUUACUAUUAUUAAUGCAUGAAAUAUAUUAUAGUAAUUGUAAAUUUCAUUUAACUCAAAGAUUUAUUUAGAAUGUUUAUAAUAAGUCCAAAUAUAUUAUUAAAAUAAUUAUAAUAAUUUACAUUUUAAAAAUUAAUACUGAUAUUAAUUUUUAAAUUAUAUUACUCUACCAGAAAAAUUAAACUAUUAAAUUAUAUCAAUAUUUAUUAAAAAAAUUGAAAUUAAUUCUUGUUAUAUUUUUAAUUGGAAUUUUUUCAUGUGAUAUAACCACAAUUGCUACAUUUUUUCCCCUGAAUAAAGAUGGAGUUAUAAAUUAUUUGUAUAAGUGUCUGUGUGGAAACUAAUGUGACAUGAAAGUAAUAGUUGAAUAACAAUAAUGGGGCUUUAGGCAAUUUUUUCAUGAGAUUUUCUUGCGAUUUCAACACUUAAACAGACUUGUCCUUCAUCCCAAUUUAUUUACCCCAUUUGGGCCCGUUAUGACAUAGACAUAUUCUUGUGGAAUGAAAAACUUCAUGAGAAGAAAUUGUUUUAUUAUAAUAGAAAAAAGUGGUCCAUAAGUCUAUUCAUUACUUUUUUUAUUCAAUAUAAAUGGCUAACUUUAAAAAUGGUAAAAAUCACAUAACGCGCAAGCGAAAUCUAAGAUUUAUAUUUUUUAAUACUCUCCAAGUCUCUCUUUCUCUUUUUCUUUUUUUAAAUAAAUGUCAAUAUAAAAUUAGAAAAAUUUUAGAUAUAAAAUUUGGCGAUGACCAAACAAAAAUUGUAGAGGAAACCUUGAUAUCAUUGAAAUACUGAUCAUAGACACUACAGUAUAAAUAACUUAUUGUGAUCCACUCAACUUGUAACACUUUAAUCCAUAUUCUAAAAUUUUCAUGUUUGUUAGGAUUUUUAUUAUUGAUACUACUGUAUCAAUAAAAUUAUAAUUUAUUCAUAUGGAAUGAAAACAUCAAGAAAGGACCUCUGAUUUUUAUUAUAACAGAAAAAAAUGGUCCAUAAGUCUAUUAAUUAUUUUAUUUAUUCAAUACAAAUGUCCAACUUUAAAAAUGGUAAAAAUCACACAAUGCACAAGUAAAAUAUUACAAUUACAUUUUUUAACUCUCUUUGAGUCUCUCUCUCUCUCUUUAAAAAAUAAACCUCACUAUAAAAUUAGAAAAAUUUUAGACAUAAAAUUUGACAAUCACCAAACAGAAAACAUAGGGAAAUGAAAAUGGAGGAGCCCUAUUUUCAUUAGAAUAUUGAUCAUAGAUACUAUAAUGUAAAUGAUUUGUUGUGGUUCAUUCAACUUGUCACACUCUAAGCCAUUUUCUAAAAUUUGUAAGGUUUAUAGUAUUUUUAUUAUUGCCAUCAUUGUAUCAAUAAUAUUAUAAAUUAUAUAUUCUAUUGUAAUGAAAAUUUGUGUAAUCUUAGGUAUUUAUUAUAUUAAAUUGUGUGGAUUAAUUAAGAAUAUUUUUGGAGACAAAAGAAGUGUGUGUACGUAGGAUUAAUGAUAAAAAAUUUCUAAAUAAAGAUGAUUGCUUCAUUGACAAGCACAUAUUUAUAUUCCUCUAUUAAUAUUUGGGUUGUAAACUCUAUAAUAAAGUUGGUUGGUGUGAGUGGUUCGGCACUCUCACUCCUUAAGAAAGAUCAGGGGUUCAAGCCUCGCUCUCGUAUGGAGUCACCACUUUGGCCAGCACUUUACCUCUUACGGGCCGACCCGAUGCGAGCAUGAAUUAGUAUGAGUUGUGGUACGGGCUUAAAGGUGCCUCCCAUAGUUUGGGCCCACUUAGGAUCACCUCGUGGUUCAAACAAAAAAAAAGUGAAUAUAUUGUGGUAAGCGAUGUGGGCAAUAUCGGUUGCGAAAUAUUGAGAGAUCAUUAAUGCAUAUAAUUAUUGAAGAUGCAUAUAGAGGGAAGAGUGUAGAUCUGGCUGUAACAAUUAUGAAGCUUUCCCCAAGUAUACUCAUGCUUCCUUAAUUGUUCCGAAGUAUUUUUCAUAGUGUGCAGAUUUACUUUAUGGUGUCUUAAUUCGUCUUAAAUGAUUACUUUAGUUGUUUUGGGAUUUAAUGUCAUUUAUUGUGUUAAUUUUAAACAAUAGAAAAAAUAAGUAAUGGUAACGAAAGACUAAUUUGUGAUAUUGAAGCAUACGGGCUUAACUCAAUCCAAAAAUUAGUAAGUUAGCUCAAGAGUUAAGAGUUGUCCAAAUCUUAUAUGCUGAAUCCAAGUUUAAUACACAAUUGAUGCGGGAUGUUAUUCCUAACACCUUCCAUCAUGCGUAGGAUUGGCAAAAAAAUUCGGGUCAGUCCCACCUAAACCUGCAGGCUUUAUGCAUGGCUCGCAUGAUGAAGUUACGGAUAUUAACCUAAAAAUUUGAAACUUACUAUGAAUGGCCUUGCUUAAAGACUUUUGCAACUUUAAUUUAUAACAAGUAUGUAUAUAUACACACACAUAAGCUUAGAUUGCAUUUGGAUGGCUUUUUUAAUCAAUUCAAACAAUUUGAAAUUUAUCGGAUUAAUCUGAAUCUUAUCUGUAUCCGAUUUUGUCCGCCCCUACUAUUUAUAAGCCCAGGUGACUCUCUUUUACUAAUUAAUAAGAGAAUUUUUGACCUUAUAUCCUUGCUGUGGUGUUAGACUGUUGGUCAUUUUGAUUGUUUCCUACCUUCCAUUUACGCCAGCUAUAACAUUGUAUUAUCACCAUUUUAGCCAUUUAAAUGAAAUUUUAUUUUUGUCAAAAAUAAAAUGACACCCUUAAAAUUAAAAAAGAAAUAGUUAUGUAGACCUCAAAUUUUUAAUAAAGAAUGCCAAUACCCCUUUUAACUACAAGAUUCUUAGUAGAUGAUAACUAAAAAAAUUAACUUCAAAAAUUUUCACUAAAUGUAAAUCUGAUUGAAA